UUCAUUCCCAGAUGAGCUUUGCCAUCUAGGUAGGCUGGCUGAAUUGGCCUUAUUGGACAAUAGGCUUUCAGGAUCUAUACCUUCUUGUGUAAGUAAUCUCACUUCUCUAAGAUCUCUCUAUUUAGGGUCCAAUAAGUUUACUUCUGUUAUUCCCUCAACCUUCUGGAGGCUAAAAGACAUCUUGUUCUUUGACUUUUCAUCAAAUUUCUUGGUUGGUCCUCUUUCUUUAGAUAUAGGAAAUUUGAAGGUGCUUCUAGGAAUAAGUUUAUCAAAAAAUAAUUUAUCCGGUGAUAUCCCAGCCACAAUUGGAGGACUGAAAGAUCUUCAAUUUAUGGACCUAGCAUAUAAUAGAUUGGAAGACCCAAUUCCCAAAUCAUUUGGUGACUUGACAAGUUUGGAGUUUUUGAAUCUGUCAAAUAAUAAAAUCUCUGGGUCUAUUCCAACAUCCAUGGAGAAACUCUUUUACCUCCGAGAGUUAAAUCUCUCUUUCAAUAAACUAGAAGGUGAGAUUCCUAGUGGAGGAAUUUUUGCCAACUUCACAGCUGAGUCAUUUAUGGGAAAUGAGUUAUUGUGUGGUUUACCAAAUCUUCAAGUCCAACCAUGCAAAAUUAGCAAGCCGAGGACAGAACAUAAAUCAAGGAAAAAGAUACUGCUCAUUGUGAUUGUUUUGCCAUUGAGUAUUGCUCUAACGAUAGCAAUCACUCUAGUUCUCAAAUAUAAGCUGAUCGAAUUUGGAAAAAGAAGCACAGUGUUAUCAAAUGAUAGUAUCUUGUCAUCACAAGCAACACUAAGAAGAUUUUCAUACUUAGAACUUUUACAAGCAACAGAUAAUUUUGCUGAAAACAACAUAAUUGGCAUAGGAGGUUUUGGUUCUGUUUAUAGAGCAAGACUUGAAGAUGGGAUGAAGAUUGCAAUAAAAGUGUUUCACCAGCAAUGUGCAAGCGCAUUGAAGAGUUUUGAGGCUGAAUGUGAAGUGUUAAAAAAUAUUCGCCAUCGAAAUCUUAUCAAAGUUAUCAGCAGUUAUUCAAACAAUGACUUCAAAGCAUUAGUCCUAGAAUACAUGUCCAACGGGAGCUUGGGGGAUUGGUUGCAUUCCAGCAAUUAUAUGCUUAAUAUAUUUCAAAGGUUGAACAUAAUGAUUGACGUUGCAUCAGCUUUAGAAUAUCUCCACUUCGAUCAUUUACCUCCUAUUAUUCAUUGUGACUUAAAGCCUAGUAAUGUAUUGUUGGACGAAAAUAUGGUUGCUCAUUUGAGUGAUUUUGGCAUUGCAAAGCUUUUAAGUGGAGAGGAUGAGUAUGUGAUGCGAACAAAAACCCUUGCCACUAUAGGUUAUAUGGCACCAGGUUUGCUUCAAACAACUUUUUUUUAGUUCAUUUUAAAUUUUCCAACUUAUUGAUUUUUACAAUCCUCACAUCAAAAUGUUAUUGAUUAUUUAUCUAAUUGUGAAAUUAAUUUGAUUCAUAGAGUAUGGCAUAGAAGGAGAAGUAUCUACAAAAAGUGAUGUGUACAGCUAUGGGAUUAUGUUAAUGGAAACUUUUACCAAGAAAAAACCCACAGAUGAAAUUUUUGUUGGAGAAUUGAGCUUAAAGCGUUGGGUUAAUGACUUGCUUCCUACUUCAUUAGUGGAAGUUGUGGACAAAACUCUGCUAAGUGGAGAGGAAAAACUUUCUGCAGCAAAGGAGCAAUGUCUGUUGUCUAUCUUUAGCUUGGCUCUGGAGUGUACAAUGGAAUCACCGGGAAAGAGGAUUAAUGCAAAAGAUAUUGUUACAGGAUUACUCAAGAUAAGAGACACAUUGAGUAAAAGGAUAGGAAACUUAAGUUAAUUUCGUUUGCUUUCAUUGAUAGUUAAUUCAAAUUCAUGUAAUAAGUGUAAGAAUCUUAUAUGCUUUCCUUAGAUUUUUUUUUGUUUGAGAAAACUGUUGUAUUCAUCUUGUUUCCAUGGGCAGAGUUGAUUUAGUUCUUCCAAGAAAUGCUACUGAUGACCUUUGUUUUAUACUUUCGCUUUUUUUUGCAUGUGUUUCGGUAGAAUAGUGGUUUGGCUCACUCAAAGAAGUCAAACUGCACUAAAAGAAUAUGAUUUAAUUUAUUAAACAAAACUUCAAGUUCAAGAAAAGUAUCUCACUGCCCCCAAUGCUUUGGACACCUAUUGGUAGGUUUGUACGUGUCCUCAACUUUUUUUUAGAGCACAAAAUUCGAGUCCCAUGGAGACUCAAACAUUCCUUUUCCGCAUCCCGAGCGUGCUAAAUUCAUCAGACUGACAAUUGGGACAUAUAGAAGAGUGAAAUGUUUGGAGCACGCUAAGUUCGAGCGAAAGAGAUUAAUUUACAGAAACUAAAGCCAAGAGAAUAAAGGACAACACUUAUGUGAAGCGACAUAAUUGUAUUGAUAGCACAAUGUCAAAUUCAUACAGAGAUCUAGUAUACUAUUUACAGCCGGUAAGGGCUAAGAAUUGAUGUAGCUAGAAUACAAAGACGAUAAGGUAUGUUGUGCACUAUUGUUUUAUUCUACGAUCAAUCUUGACCCUUGAUGCUUGGCUCUCAAUCUUGUCCAUUGAUCUUCUUUGAUUUUGUACACUUCAAGACCUUUCAGUAUCAUUCCUUGUUGUUGGUGUCUUCCGUGCUGUAGAAUUCAUAUACAAGCCUUCCCGCCGACUUGCGAAGUAUUCGUUCAUUGAUGCAUUUUAUCAAACAGCUGGGCUACUUAUACCAAACACCGCGUGGUUUAACUCCCCCUCUCUAGCUUAACUAUCUGGGAAGGCAAUUAAUUGAGAUAUGAAUUAGAAAAUUAAAUUUUAAAAAUUAUAUUCGGACUCUACAUUUUGUAAUGAACAUUGGUUUGACUUGUUAUACAUUUACGCGUACAUAAUUAAUAACCGAUUCUCAAGUGCGGACAUUCAAGAGCACUGCUUAAAGACCAAAUAUUUUGAUUUACUAUUUUUUGUCUUUCAAUUUUCUUUUACGUUCUGAUGACGUCCGCAUUUUAAAAUCCUGUGGAACAAAGGUCGAAUUGUAGAGGGUAAGCAAACAUUUAUCCGAAUUAUAUUAUGAUAAAUCCUUUUCCAAUUAGAAUUAGGAAACCAUAGAUAUACUGAUUUUUUUUGUUUAAAUGAUUUUGUGAUUUACUUGAUUGAUUGAGUGAUUGAAUAUUGUUUGAUUGCUUCAUAUCAAUUCUAGAAAGUUUAUUUCUUUGUGAAAUUUCAACGAAAUAUGUUUUUUAAAAUAAUAAAGGUGUUUUAAGUAAUUUUAAAAAAUAAAUGGACUAAUUAGAAUUAAUUAUUAAGUAAUUAACUCGAACUGUAGAGGAUAAGCAAACAUUUAUCCUAAUUAUAUUACGAUAAAUCAUUUUCCAACUAGAAUUAGGAAACCAUAGAUAUGCUGAUUUUGUUUUUUUAAUUUCUCUUUGCGAAAACGGAUUAGAGAACUAGAAAACAAUCCUAGUGAGACUAUUGUUAGGUUUAAAACACUGCAUAGAUGGUAAAAACAUGCGUGGUGAAUAUUUUGUCGCAUGCAAACUUUUUGUUUUAUGCAAAUCGUGCUGAACAUUGGGACUGAUGUUUAAGAAAAAAAUUCUGUAGUUAAAGAAAAACAAAAAAAUUCUGAUGUUUAUGCAAAAAUAGAUUACGAUAGUUUAUUCAAUUGGGAGUUUUUUUUUCUUUAAUUUUUGUUGUACUUGAUUGAGAUUUCUCCUUAGUCCUUACCGUCUUAAGUUUGGAUACCGUAGGAUUAGUAAUUUCGUACUUCCUUUGCAAGCUGAAUAUAAGGAUGAAAUUUUUUUAAGAAAUUAAAAAAAAAAGAUUAAAAAAAGGGCAUACCAGUAGGCAAUUAUAAAUUAACCACAAAUAAAUAUAAACAAAAUGUUUAUGAAGUAAAUUAAACAUGCACAUAUUAUUUUCUUUUAUUUUCUGCUUGGAAACCCAUAAAUACACUAAUCCAGUACUACUAAUUUCAGACCGAAAAAUUUGAACUCUAGGCUGCAGUUUGACUCAAAAUGAUGAUCACUGGCUUCGCACCAUUUAACCGGUAUACAUUUCUACAAACUGAACAAGGCUAUUGAUUAUUAUUAUUAUUAUUAUUUUAAUUUGUUUAUAAAUUACUAUUUUAAUUUUCACUUUUUAUUGGGUUGUUUAACGGAUUAGUGAAGUUGGUGGUCGUUGAUGCACUCACAAGGUACAAUUUUAUUUUAUAAUUUCAAAUUCGUAUUUUAAAAUGCAGGCACAUUAUGUAUACAUAAUUAUUGAUUUUCAUAUGUGGGUGUUUUGAAAUAUUGCCAAAAGACCAAACUUUAAUAAACUAUUUUUGAUCUUUUUUUUCCUUUUUAGCUAAAGUUUGAGUGAUAUCCGCAUUUUAAAUUCAUGUGGAACAAAAGCUAAUGUAUGCACAAAAUUCUUUUAUUUUUUCCGAGAAAAAUGGGUAAGAGAAGAAGAUUUUUCUCUUGAAAAAAGAAAAACCAAUACGAUGCAAGCAUAGGAAAGAGUUCAGUGUUUUGGAUUUGAAUUUAGUAUUGAGCUGAAUUUUAUGCUAAGCUCUUUUAUAGUACUGCUAAUAAUAAGCUCAGGAUUUGCUUUUGCUUUUACGUCAAGUAAAAGAAAGAGGAAACCUUUUGUUUUCUGUUUGAUUUUUGACUAUAUAUGUUACCUAUAUAGAGAGUUGAGGUAGCUGCCUUAAGUGAUGGUGAUAAAAAGAUUAAGCAACGCACACAAUCUUACUGUUGUCCAGACCAUCCAGUGAUGCUCUAGUUUUUUGGUUACAUUAGCUUUAGUGGAAAGAAGGGUCAAUUUAACAAAGACUAGAUUUGGUGGCUUACUAUAAUGCUUAUUCUCAGGGAAUCUAAUGUUAUAAGAUGAUUGAAUGAUCUUCUAUGAUUGUGUGUAGUACAAUAUAAUUGAAAGGAACCUGGGCUCCUAUGAUGAAUAACAGCAACACAUUACUAUGAUUGAGAAAACUCAGUUACAAUAAACUCUUCAUUUAUUCAUUGCUGAGAUUGAAUGGCAAACAGAGAAUAGAAUGAAGCAGAGGAAUCUCAUUGCCGGUAAAAUUGACCAUAUUUAAUGUUACUUGCAGUUUUUAUUGUAAAAUAUAUAGGUAUUGUCAAAGCCGGUGGUGGCCUAGCCAAAAUCAAAUUGGCUUUGGCAGCCGCCCAAAGAAAUAAACAAAAGAGAAAUAGAAGAAAAAGAGAUGAGGGAGAUGCCGCCUAAAGAAAUGAAGCACACGGCUUUGACUUGUUCUAAAAAAAAAAAAAGAGCCAAAAUUUUUUGCUAUAUAAAGUGGGCUUCCCACCCUCAUUUUUGCAUUCCAUUUAAGAGAGAGCAAUCUAGUAUUUUUUGAGAGAGAGUUUUGAGAGCUUGAAAUUAUAAGCUUUUGUUAUAGAAAUUUGAGAGUUUGGGUGUAUUGGGGUUUUGGGAAGUGGGCUAAAAUACUACAAUACUUGUAAUUUCUUUUUACUAAUAAAAUAUUUCCUUCUGUCUUCGCCCGUGGACGUAGGCUAAAAGCCGAACCACGUAAUUUCUAAUAUUCUCUUUUGUGAUUGUUUUUUAUUCUUCUUCCAAUUUUAUUUUAGCUGCAGUCCUGCUUCACCCACCAAUUUCCUAAUAGUGGUAUCAGAGCUAUUGGUUGUAUUUUUUGGAGUCGGGUACUAUUCACGUAAGGGUACUAUUCACAUAUAUGGUAUUGUUCACGUAUACGAUACUAUUCACGUGAAAUGGUGAGAGCGAUCCAAGAAUUUGGCGGUGCAAAAGUAGGGAAUAGUGGUGUGAGUAAAACAACUGUGUGGUUUUGUACAUGUCUAGGAAAGUUCUGUCAUAAAGACGAUAAGAGCUUAAGGAGUCUGGGUUUUAAGUGGGACCAUUGUGACCCCUCCAGUCUUUCUUGGAAACUUUCCUGGUGUGCAUAUUCACACAUACUCACAACUAUUUAAGGUGAUACACUAGUUUGUGUACAAUAUUUAUUAACAAAAUGGCGGCAAAGUAUGAAAUUAAGAAAUUUAACGGAAAUAAUUUUUCGUUGUGGAAAAUAAAGAUGAAAGCUGUAUUGAGGAAAAAUAAUUGCUUGGCAGCAAUUAGAGAAAGGCCUAUGGAGAUAACUGAUGACAAGUGGAACGAGAUAGAUGGCAACGCCAUUUCUGAUUUACACUUGGCGCAUGCAGACAGAGUAUUAUCCAGUCUGGCAGAGAAAAAUACAGCAAAGGAAAUAUGAGAUACACUCACAAAAUUGUACGAGGCCAAGUCACUACACAACAAAAUCUUCUUGAAGAGGAAACUCUAUACUCUUCGAAUGACGGAAUCUACAAUGGUGACUGACUACAUCAACAUCUUGAAAACUCUAUUUUCACAACUCACAGUGUUGGGUUAUAAUAUAGAGGAGAAUGAACGUGCAGAGCUUCUACUUCAAAGUCUACCAGAUUCGUAUGAUCAACUCAUCAUCAACCUGACAAACAACAAUCCAGCGGACAGUCUAGUUUUCGAUUAUGUUGCAGCCUCCGUAUUAAAUGAGGAGAGCAGGCGGAAAAAUAAGGAAAACAGCAAGCAAGUUCGCAUCAAGCGGAGACGCUAUUGGUGACGAGAGGGAGAUCAACGGAACGUGGCCCCAGUGAGAGUCAAAAUCAUGGUAGAUCAAAAUCUAGAAGUAAGAAGAAUGUUAAAUGCUACAAUUGUAGCAAGAAAGGGCACGUCAAGAAAGAAUGUUGGAGUAAUUAGAAGAGAAAAGAGGGCAAAGAACCUGAGUCAUCAAAUGCUCAGGGUUGUGUAGCAAGUACCUCGGAUGAUGGCGAAAUUCUCUACAGCGAGGCAACAACUGUUUCAGAAGGCAGAAAACGACUAUAUGAUGUUUGACUUAUAGACUCAGGAGCUACCUGGCACAUGACCUCUCGGAGAGAAUGGUUCCACACAUAUGAACCUAUCUUAGGAAGAUCUGUAUAUAUGGGUAAUGAUCAGGCCUUGGAGAUCACUAGUAUUGGUACUAUCAAAAUAAAAAUGUUUAAUGGUAUAAUUCGCACAAUUGGGGAGGUACGACAUGUCAACGGCUCUAAGAAAAAUCUUUUGUCUUUGGGACAAAUGGAUAGUCAUGGGUACAAAACUCAUGUGGAGAAUGGAAUUAUGAAGAUCGUUAAAGGCGCGCUUGUAUUGAUGAAGGCAGAAAAGAUCAAUGCUAAUCUAUUCAUGCUUAAAGGAGAAACACUACAGGAGGCUGAUGCGUGUGUUGCAUCAAAUGAAGAAGAGUCAACGAUGAUGUGGCAUCUCAAACUUGGCAACAUGUCGGAACAAGGUUUGAAGAUUCUCUCUAAGCAAAAAUUGCUUCCGGGGCUCAAAUCGGUAAAUUUACCAUUUUGCGAGCAUUGUGUUACAAGUAAGCAGCAUAGAUUAAAAUUCAAUAGAUCUAUUGCUAGAAGUAAAUGCAUUCUAGACUUGAUUCAUUCUAAUAUUUGAGAAUCACCGAAUAUAUCCAUAGGAGGUGCAAAAUACAUGGUGACUUUCAUUGAUGAUUAAUCCAGAAGAUGUUGGGUGUAUCCAAUUAAGAAAAAGUCAGAUGUAUUUUCAGUGUUUAAAGAAUACAAAGCGUGGGUGGAACUUGAAUCUGGUAAAAGGAUAAAGUGCUUGAGGAUAGAUAAUGGUGGAGAGUAUACAAAUGGCGAGUUUCUUGCUUUCUGUAAACAAGAAGGUAUCCAAAGGCAUUUCACGGUGGCAUACACUCCUCAAUAAAAUGGAGUGGCGGAGCGGAUAAACAGAACUCUUACAGAAAGAAUAAGAGCUAUGUUGAGGACUGCUAGUCUACCCAAUUUAUUCUGGGCAGAAGUAGCCAAAACUGCUUGUUAUAUAGUAAAUAGGUCGCCAUCUACAGCCAUUGGGCUGAAGACCGCGAUGGAGAUGUGGACUGGAAAGCCAGCUGAUUAUUCCUACCUACAUGCAUUUGGAUGUUCUAUGUACGUGAUGUACAAUGCCAAAAAAAAAACAAAGCUGAGUCCAAAAUCUAGAAAAUGUAUCUUCUUGGGGUAUGCUGAUGGAGUAAAGAGGUAUCGUCUAUGGGACCCCACUGCCCACAAGAUUGUCAUCAGCAGAGAUGUUAUGUUUAUAGAAGAUCAACUGCAAAGGAAAGAUAAGGAUUAUAGCAGUGUAAAAGAAAAGUCAAAGACUAUACUGGUAUAUGUGGAAAAUAAUCCAGAAGAUUCAGAUUCUUCUGAAGCAGCACCAGAGCACGAGGAAUGAGAACCAGUCGAGUCUGGGGCUCCAGAAGUUCGUCGGUCAACUCGUGAGAGAUGAUCGCCAACGUGGCACUCGGAGUAUGUCAUAGAGAUCAAUGUUGCAUACUAUCUUCUAAUAGAAGAUGGAGAGCCUUCAACUUUCUAUGAAGCUUUAAACAGCUCAGAUGUUGCUUUGUGGAUGACAGCAAUGCAGGAAGAAAUUGAAGCUCUACAUAAGAACAAGACAUGGGAACUUGUACCACUACUACACGGAAGAAAAGCCAUUGGAAACAAAUAGGUCUACAAGAUCAAGCGUAAUGGCAAUGACCAAGUGGAGCGGUUUCGUGCAAGAUUGGUAGUGAAAUGAUAUGCUCAAAAAGAAGGUAUUGACUUCAAUAAGAUAUUUUCGCCGAUAGUUCGACUCACAACAGUCAGAAUAAUCUUGGCAAUGUGUGCUACAUUUGACCUACAUCUAGAGCAGUUAGAUGUGAAAACUGCAUUUCUUCAUGAAGAACUUGAAGAAGAAAUAUAUGUGCUCCAACCAGAAGGUUUUAUAGAAACAGGAAAGGAAAACUUGGUUUGCAGGUUGAACAAAUCUCUAUAUGGUCUCAAACAGGCGUCGAGGUGUUGGUAUAAGAGAUUCGAUUCCUUCAUCAUGAGCCUUGGAUACAACAGAGUAAGUUCAGACCAUUGUACAUAUUAAAAAAGGUUUGAAGAUAAUGAUUUUAUUAUUUUAUUGUUGUACGUGGAUGACAUGUUGGUAGCAGGCCCCAACAAAGAUCGAGUCCAAGCAUUGAAGGCACAGUUGGCUAGGGAGUUUGAAAUGAAGGAUUUGGGACCAGCAAACAAGAUUCUAGGGAUGCAAAUUCACCGAGACAGAAAUAGCAGGAAGAUUUGGCUUUCGCAGAAGAAUUACUUGAAGAAAAUCUUGCAGCGCUUCAACAUGCAAGAUUGUAAGUCAAUUUCUACCCCACUUCCUGUUAAUUUCAAAUUAUCCUCAAGUAUGUGUCCUAGCAAUGAAGGAGAGAGGAAGGAGAUAUCUCGAGUACCGUAUGCAUCAGCAGUUGGAAGUUUGAUGUUUGCUAUGAUAUGUACAAGACCAGACAUUGCACAAGCAGUGGGAGCAGUCAGUCGAUACAUGGCCAAUCCCGGUGGAGAGCAUUGGAUAGCUGUGAAGAAGAUUCUGAGAUACAUCAGACGAACCUCAGAUGUUGCAUUAUGUUAUGGAGGAUCAGAGUUUACUGUCAGGGGCUAUGUGGAUUCAGAUUUUGUAGGAGACCUUGAGAAAAGAAAAUCUACUACUAGUUAUGUGUUCACACUUGCGGUAGCAGCUGUAAGCUAGGUUUCGAAACUGCAGACCGUUGUGGCUUUAUCUACAACAGAAGCAGAAUACAUGGCAGCUACACAAGCUUGCAAGGAAGCUAUUUGGACACAAAGAUUAUUGGAGGAGCAUGGGCACAAACAACAGAAAAUUCAUGUGUUUUGUGACAGUCAGAGUGCCUUGCACAUUGCAAGGAAUCCAGUCCUUCAUUCCAGGACAAAGCACAUAGGAGUUCAGUAUAACGCCGUUCGAGAAAUAGUGGAAGACGGAAAUGUGGAUUUACAGAAAAUCCAUACGAAGGAGAACCGAGCAGAUGUUUUGACCAAGCCGAUAAAUACUGAUAAGUUUGUUUGGAGUAGAUCCUCUUGUGGCCUAGCAGAAACGUAGGCAAUAUGAUUAUGGCGAAGCAGAAAAGAUGGUGUGGAGAUUGAUUGAUUUUCAGUCAAAUCUCCAAGUGGGAGAAAUAUCAAAGCCGGUGGUAGCCUAGCCAAAAUCAAAUUGGCUUUGGCAACCACCCAAAGAAAUAAACAUGGCUUUGGCAGCCACCUAAAGAAAUAAACAAAAGAGAAACAGAAGAAAAAGAGAUGAGGGAGGUGCCGCCCAAAGAAAUGAAGCACACGGCUUUGACUUGUUCUAAAAAAAAAAAAAAGAGCCAAAAUUUUUUUCUAUAUAAAGAGGGCUUCCCACCCUCAUUUUUGCAUUCUAUUUAAGAGAGAACAAUCUAGUAUUUUUUGAGAGAAAGAGUUUAGAGAGCUUGAAAUUAUAAGCUCUUGUUAUAGAAAUUUGAUAGUUUGGGUGUAUUGGGGUUUUGGGAAGUGGGCUAAAAUAUUACAAUACUUGUAACUCCUUUUACUAGUAAAAUAUUUCCUUCUGUCUUCGCCCGUGGAUGUAGGCUAAAAGCCGAACCACGUAAUUUCUGAUAUUCUCUUUUGUGCUUGUUCUUUAUUUUUUUUCCAAUUUUAUUUUAGCUGCAGUCCUGCUUCACCUACCAAUUUUCAAAAAGGUAUGACCAUGGUCAUUGCAGUUAGGUUUUGAUGAUUUCAGAUGCUUUUUUAAAAAAAAAUUGUGACUGACGAUUACAAUCAUUACAGCAAUGCUGAUGAGUGAUACAUCACUUGAAAUUUACUUGUCAGUUGCUGAAAUGAUGAAAAAAGACCAUAAACAAUAAGAUUAAUAAUGUUCUCUUGCUGAAUUCUAAUUUUGACUUUCAACUCUUGGUUUUUAUGGAAAGUAAAAUGACUUGUAUAUUGUUUAGAAACUCGAAUCUAACCAGUAACAAACUCGAAUCUAUCAUUAUCUAAACAAAAAACCAAGAGUUUCUAACCAGUAACAAACAAAGCAAUCUUAGUCUUUCAUGGAGCGGAACCUUAGUCUCAGUAUGAUCACUGUCUCAUUAACCCACUGCCUGCUUCUUUGCUUGGUUGUUGCAGCAACAGCAGCAGCAAGCAACAAUAUUAUCACAUACCAACAAGCUCUUCUUGCCCUGAAAGAUCAUAUCACUUAUGAUCCAACCAACCUUUUUGCCCAUAAUUGAACCUCGAAUACCUCUGUUUGUACCUGGAUUGGCAUCACUUGUGAUGUCAAUAGCCAUAGAGUCACAACCUUAGAUAUUUCUCAAUUCAAUCUACAAGGCACCAUCCCUCAACUUGGAAACCUCUCUUCACUCACAACACUUAAUUUUAGUCAUAAUAAGCUUUCUGGAAACGUUCCCUCCUCCAUCUACACCAUGCAUACGCUAAAAUUAUUAUAAGUGAAUAUGAAAUAGUUCACUCAAAGCAAGGAUAAAUGGAUGAAAGUACUACUCAUUUUAUUCACAAUGAGGUUGCCUUUUAUAGGCGUUACAUGAACAAACUUAAUGAAAUAAUAGCAGCUAUUAUUCAGCAAAUACUGCAGCCACUUUCCAGUAACUAUAGCCUAAAGACUAGGUAAACACAAUCUUGCAAAUAACAUUACCAACAAACUUCCUAAAGACUAGGACCAUAAAAGCAACUUAUUGACAUAAGGAAAUUCCAACAAUCCCUCCCUUAAACUAAAUGUUAUUAACAUUCAGUUUAAACAUUCUGCAGAAUCUUCCUCAAAUUGCAAUUUGCAAACUCCAAGUGACUUUCUCAACUUAAAAAAACUAGCCAAUUUGAGGGGUUUAGUAAAGAUGUCAGCAACUUGGUCUUCACUCUUGCAAUAAACAAGAUCAAUGACUUCAUUUUUUGUCAAGUCUCACAAGAAAUGAUAUCUCACAUCUAUGUGCUUGCAUCUUCCAUGUAGAACCGGAUUCUUUGAAAGUUUAAUUGUUGAACUAUUAUCACAGAAGAUUUGUGUUGACUUUGGUUGCUUAAACUGAAGUUCAUGAAGAAUAUUUCUUAGCCAAAGUGCUUGACAUGCACAAGAAGCUGCUGCAACAAACUCAGCUUCAGUUGUUGACAAAGUAACUAUCGGUUGCUUCUUAGAUGACCAUGAAAUAGCUGCUGAACCAAACAUAAAUACAUAUCCAGAUGUGCUUCUUCUGUCAUCCAAAUCUCCAGCAUAAUCAGUGUCUAUAAAGCCAUACAAAUUUGAUUUUUUACCCUUUUUAUAGAACAACCCAAAUUCAGCUGUACCACGCAAGUAUCGAAGAAUUCUUUUUGCAGCUAAAAGAUGAUCCUCUCUUGGACGCUCCAUAUAUCUGCUGAUGGAACUAACUGCAUGCAUUAUAUCAGGUCGAGUUGCCGUUAAGUACAUCAAGCUUCCAACAAUCUGUUUGUAAAGGGUACUAUCAAGCAGGAUCCUUAACAAACUUCAAUCCUUUUUCAAUUGGAGUAGUGACAGAGUUGCAGUUCUUCAUUUGAAAUCUUUCUAAGAUCUCUUUCACAUAUUUCUUUUGACAAAUAAAAUUUCCAGCAUCAGAUUGUAUGACUUCUAAGCCAAGAAAAUAAUGCAGCAAACCAACAUCAGUCAUAUCAAAUUCAAGCAUCAUGGAUUCCUUGAAUUUCUCAAACAUUACUCUGUCAUUUCCCGUGUAAAUCAAAUCAUCUACAUAUAAACAUACCAUAAGCAUUUUCCCAUCAUCUCCAAUUUUUAUGUACAGAGUAUGCUCAUAUGGGCAUUUUCGAAAACCUUCCUCCAAGAAAUAAGCAUCUAUAUGACUAUACCAAGCUCGGGGUGCUUGUUUUAGUCCAUAUAGAGCUUUUUUCAAUUUAUAGACUUUAUGCUCACUGCCUAAUUUCACAUAUCUAGGAGGUUGUUCGAUAAAUACCUCUUCUUGUAGCUCCCUAUGCAAGAAUGCUGAUUUCACGUCCAGUUGAAAAACAGGCCAUGAAUUUUGUGCUGCAAGAGCAAUAAUCAAUCUGAUCGUUUCAAGUCUUGCAACGAGAGAAAAUACUUCUUUAUAAUCCGCGCCGAACUCUUGCUUGUAGCCUUUGGCGACUAGGAGUGCCUUGUAUUUAUCAAUUUCACCAUUUUCCUUCAAUUUUGUCUUGUAAACCCACUUGACUCCUAUUGUCCUCUGCCCCAUUGGAAGUUCAGUCAACUCCCAAGUAUUAUUUUUUUCAAUGGAUGCAAUUUCUUCGUCCAUGGAUUUUAGCCAUUUUUGUUCUUUGACAGCUUCUUUAAAAGUUGUAGGAUCACAUUCUGAAAACAAGGCAAAGUGUAUGAGUGGAUUCUCAAGAGUGUUAAAUCUUGUUACCUCAUAAUCUGACAUCCAUGCAGGCCUUCUUCUAUCACGUUGAGAACGUGAAUCUGUAGCUUCAACUUGUUCAUUAAGUUCAUUUGUUGCUGGUGGAGUUUCUACUGAGACUCUAUUUUGCGGCAGGUCAGGAGCAGAGACUGUUGAAGGCUGAAGUUGCUGUGAAUUUUCUUCAAUUUCACCAUCGAAAUCUGCUGGAAUUUGCUGCCCAAUAGAACUGCAUCUCCACAUCCAUGUCUUCUCUUCAUAAAAAAUGACAUCACGACUAAUGACAAUUUUCUUGAUGAUGGGAUCAUAUAAUUUGUAGGCCUUUGAAUGAUCACUAACACUAAGAAAACUGCACUUUACACCUUUGUCAUCUAAUUUUCUUCUUUUCUCAUCUGGUAUGUGGACAUAUGCUAUACAUCCAAAUACCCGAAAGUGAUCUACUGCCGGCUUACAUCCACUCCAUGCUUCUUCAGGAGUUAUAUUUUGAACAGCUAUUGUGGGGCUUCUGUUCAAAAUAUAAACACUCCAAACAACUGCUUCAGGCCAAAAACUUUUGGGAAGACCACUCCUCCGCAGAAGGCUUCGUACCAUAUUAAGAAUUGUACGAUUUUUCCUCUCGCAUACACCAUUUUGCUGAGGUGUGUAGGCUGUUGUCAAUUGUCUUCUAAUUCCAUGAUUUUUGCAAAAGCUUCCAAAUUCUUGAGAGUUGAACUCUCCACCACGAUCAGUACGCAAUAUUUUAAUUUGGCUGUCAGCUUCUCUUUCAACUAAUGCUUUAAACAUUUAAAAGGCUGUGAAAACUUCCGAUUUUUCUUGCAAGAAAUAAACCCAGGUUUUUCAACUAAAAUCAUCAAUAAUUGAGAUAAAAUAUCGUUUACCUCCAUUUGAUGUUGGCUUGAUUGGCCCACAUAAGUCUGAAUGCACUAGCUCCAGCACUUUCUUUGCCCUCCGGGAUUUUCCUUUUGGAAAAUUAUCUCGAUGUUGCUUACUGACAAUACACUCUUCGCAAAGCUGUGAAGGUUGCUCAAAUUUCUAGACUUCACGGAUAACCAGCUCUCUGGUUCAGUGUCUUCCUUCGUCUUCAACAUGUCUUCAAUAUUAGACAUUCGUUUGACUAAUAACAGACUCUGGUGAGCUUCCGAAAAAUAUUUGCAACUAUAUUCCUUAUUUGAAAGCCCUUUCUUUAGACAAAAACAUGUUUCAUGGCAAAAUUCCUUAUGCUUUAUCAAAGUGCAAACAACUGCAACAAUUAAAUUUGCAGUUCAAUAAUUUAUCCGGUGCAAUACCGAAAGAAAUCGGCAACUUGACUAUGCUCAAAGGGAUAUAUCUCGGCUACAACAAACUCCACGGUAUGCUCAUAAUACUAUACAAAUAUUAUCUUUCUUGAAUACUUUAGAUAAGAUCUUGUAUGUGAGAUUUUUUUGCAUCUAUAUUAAUUUUCCAGGUGAGAUACCGCACGAAAUCGCUAAUCUUCGAAAUCUAGAGGCUUUAGCGCUUGGAAUGAACAACCUAGUUGGUGUGGUAUCAGCUCCAAUAUUCAACAUGUCAACAUUGAAGAUAAUUAUCCUCAUAAAUAACUCCCUCUUCGGAAGUCUUCCAUCAAGAAUAGGCCUUUCACUUCCAACUGUUGAGCAUCUUAACUUGGAACUUAAUAGAUUUUCUGGAACCAUUCCUAGUUCCAUCACCAAUGCUUCUAAGCUCACCCUUCUAAAGUUGGGAGGAAACACAUUUUCGGGCCUUAUUCCGGACACAAUUGGUAAUUUAAGAAACCUUGAGUGGCUCGGCUUGGCUUAUAACAACUUGACAUCUUCAACCUCAAAAUUGAGCUUUCUUUCCUCUUUGGCAAAUUGCAUGAAAUUAAGAUCCUUAAACUUAAUAGGCAAUCCACUUGACGGCUUCCUUCCAAGUUCAAUAGGUAAUCUUUCUAUGUCCUUGGAAACACUUCUCAUCACCAAUUGCAGUAUUAGUGGCAACAUUCCUCAAGCAAUUUCAACCAAAUAUCUUUUUCAAAAUAAUUAGGGUGUUUUAAGCAAUUUGAAAAAUAAAUGGAGUAAUUAAAAUUAUUUAGUAGGUAAUUAACUUGAACGGUAGAGGGUAAGCGAACAUUUAUCCCAAUUAUAUUAUGAGAAAUCCUUUUCCGAUUAGAAUUAGGAAACCGAGGUAUACUGAUUUUUUUGUUUUUUUAAUUUCCCUAUGCGAAAACGGAUUAGAGAAUAAGAAAACAAUCCUAGUGAUAUUAUUGUUAGGUUUAAAACACUGCAUAGAUAGUAAAAAGCGAACUAGUCUGUAGAGUAAUUUGUUAAUUGCUAUCGCCUCUCCAUGCAUGGUGAAUAAUUUGUUGCAUGCAAACUUUUUAUGUAUAAGAAAAAAAUUCUGUAGUUUAAGAAAAACAAAAAGGCAUGUUGAAUAGAUUACAAUAGUUUAAGGAAAAAAAUUAUUCAAUUGGGAAUUUUUUUUUCUUUAAUUUUUGUUGUACUUGAUUGAGAUUUCUCCUUAUUCCUUACAGUUUUAAGUUUGGAUACCGUAGGAUUAGUAAUUUCGUACUUCCUUUGCAAGCUGAGUAUAAGGAAGAAAUUCUUUUAAGAAAUUAAAAAAGAUAAAAAAAAGGCAUACCAGUAGGCAAUUAUAAAUAACCACAAAUAAAUAUAAACAAAAUGUUUAUGAAGUAAAUUAAACAUGCACAUAUUAUUUUCUUUUAUUUUCUGCUUGGAAACCCAUAAAUACACUAAUCCAGUACUACUAAUUUCAAACAGAAAAAUUUGAACUCUGGGCUGCAGUUUGACUCAAAAUGAUGAUCACUGGCUUCGCACCAUUUAACCGGUAUACAUUUCUACAAACUGAACAAGGCUAUUGAUUAUUAUUAUUAUUUUAAUUUGUUUAUAAAUUACUACUUUAAUUUUCACUUUUUAUUGGGUUGUUUAACGGAUUGGUGAAGUUGGUGGUCGUUGAUGCACUCACAAUGUACAAUUUUAUUUUAUAAUUUCAAAUUGGUAUUUUAAAAUGCAGGUACAUUGUGUAUACAUAAUUAUUGAUUUUCGAAUGAGGGUGUUUUGAAAUAUUGCUAAAAGACCAAACUUUAAUAAACUAUUUUUGAUCUUUUUUUUCUUCCUAAAGUUUGGGUGAUAUGCGCAUUUUAAAUUCAUGUGUAACAAAAGUUAAUGUAUGUAUAAAAAUUCUUUUAUUUUACUGAGCAAAAUAGGCAAGCGAAAAAGUUUUGGCAAAUGAGUUGCAACUGAAUUCAAAACCAAUACAAUGCGAGCAUAGGAAAGAGGUCAGUGUUCAGGAUUUGAAUUUAGUAUUAAGCUGAAUUUUAUGGUAAGCUCUUUUAUAGUACUGUAAUUAGUAAGCUAAGCCCCGGAUUUGCUUUUGCUUUUGCUUUUACUUCAAGUGAAAGAAAGAGGAAACCUUUUGUUUUUUCUUUGGUUUUCAACUAUGUUACCUAUACAGAGAGUCAAGAUACCUGCCAUAAGUGAUGGUGUUAAAAAGAUUAAGCAGAGCACACAAUCUUACUGUCGUCUAGACCAUCCAGUGAUGACUCUAGUCUUUUGGUUACGUUAGUUUUAGUUGAAAGAAGGGCCAAUUUAACAAAGACUAGAUUUGAUGGCUCACUAUGUUUAAUGUAAUGCUAAUUCUCAGGGAAUCUAAUGUUAUAACUUAUAAGAUGAUCUCCUAUGUUGAAUAACAGUAACACAUUACUGUGAUUGAGAGAACACAGUUACAAUAAACUCUUCCUUUACUCAUUGCGGAGAUUUAAUAGCAAACAGAGAAUAGAAUGAAGCAGAGGAAUCUCAUUGCCAGUAAAAUUGACCCUCUUUAUUAUUAUAUGGCACAGGUGUGGAGGAAGAACAAGUUACUUGCAGUUUUUAUUGUAAAAUAUACAGGUAUGACCAUGAUCAUUAUAGUUAGGUUUUGAUGAUUUCAGAUGCUUUUUUUUUUUAAAAAAAAAUUGUGACAUCUUUGAUUUACGGUAGUUUUGCAGAAAAAAAUAUCUAAAAAUUAAGAGGGAUGAGUUAACUGACGAUUACAAUCAUUACAACAAUGCUGAUGAGUGAUACAUCACUUGAAAUUUACUUGUCAGUUGCUGAAAUGAUGGAAAAAAACAAUAAACGAUAACAAUAAUAAUGUUCCCUUGCUGAAAUUCAAUUUUGACUUUCGACUCUUGGCUUUUAUGGAAAGUAAAAUGACUUGUACAUUAUACUCAUACAAUCCACUCUACAUAAUGAUAUCAUUUUAAUAAGGCAAUGGCUGAUGAUCUCCAUUGAAAAACUACUUCAAUUUUUUUGCUUUAUUUAACUUUUUGGUUGUUGAAAAUAACCUUAAUUAUCAAAUAUUUGGAGAAAGACAAAGGGUGCUUGCAGAAGUGGCAAUAUAUAUAUAUAUAUAAAAGGAGAAGUUGAAGAGAAAGGGUGCUUGCAGAAGUGGGUGUCAAAGAUAAAUCGGUCCAUAAGAAUUAUUACGGUUAUUUUUUGGCAAUAUAAAAAUUUUUUAGCAAAUAAAAAUUAAUUUUUUUCCAAUUUACUAAAAAAUUAAUUAAAAACUUCUGCGAUGGCAUUUUUUAUGGGUGCAUAUACCCUCCCUUUAAAAGAAAAAAUAAUAAUUAAUACUUAAUAUAGUAUUAAAUACGAAAAUAUCAAUAUUUGACUACUCAAAUUUAUAUCAAUAGGUCCUUAAAAUUUAAAAUUGAAGAUACAAGAGGAAAUAUAUAUAAAUUUAAUUCUCAUCGGAAAGGAUCCUCUUAUAAUUUUAUAUAUUUGAGCUUUGAAAGAUUUUUUGAAACAAAUGUACUUUUAUUUAUGUACAAUCAAUAUUUACUUAUUCAUUAUAUAUUUAUUUACUAACUAUCAAUCAUGUUAAUAUAUUUAGUCAGAAAAAUCAUAUCAAGAAAAAAUCAUGAUCCCACGCACAGAUAAAUACGUUAAUUUCUAUACUAUUCACUUACCUGUGUAAUCAAUUAUCUAAAAUGCAAGUUUGUGGCUACGGAAAACUCUCCAAAGAAAGAAGAUAAUAACAAUUGAGCAUUGAUAGCAAAACUAAUGCAUCAUUUUCUUCUUGACUUGAUGAGAUGACGCCAUGAUGUAAAAACAAGUACCUAAAUUGACCGGCAUUGAGUGAUGUGAAUACUACCAGCCGGUUCAUCUCUUCCAGUCUUGCUUAGUUACAAUCACAAACACCACGAGAUCGACAUUUGCAUUAUAUAUAUCUUCAGCAGUCGAAACACCUUGCAUUACCAAUAAACCAGUAACAAACAAAGCAAUCUUUCAUGGAGAGAAACCUUAGUCUCAGUAUGAUCACUGUGUCAUUAACCCACUGCCUGCUUCUUUGCUUGGUUGUUGCAGCAGCAGCAGCAGCAAGCAGCAAUAUUCCCACAGACCAACAAGCUCUUCUUGCCCUGAAAGAUCAUAUAAUUUAUGAUCCGACCAACCUUUUAGCCCAUAAUUGGACCUCGAAUACCUCUGUUUGUACCUGGAUUGGCAUCACUUGUGAUGUCAAUAGCCAUAGAGUCACAACCUUAGAUAUUUCUCAAUUCAAUCUACAAGGCACCAUCCCUCCUCAACUUGGAAACCUCUCUUCACUCACAACACUUAAUCUUAGUCAUAAUAAGCUUUCUGGAAGCAUUCCCCCUCCAUCUACACCAUGCAUACGCUAAAAUUUCUAGACUCCACUGAUAACCAGCUCUCUGGUUCAGUGUCUUCCUUCGUCUUCAACAUGACUUCAAUAUUCGACAUUCGUUUGACCAAUAACAGACUUUCCGGUGAGCUUCCGAAAAAUAUUUGCAAUUACCUUCCUCAUUUGAAAGCCCUUUUUUUGGACAAAAACAUGUUUCAUGGAAAAAUUCCUUCUGCUUUAUCAAAGUGCAAACAACUGCAACAAUUAAAUUUGCAUUCCAAUAAUUUAUCCGGGGCAAUACCAAAAGAAAUCGGCAACUUGACUAUGCUCAAAGGGAUAGACCUCGGCUACAACAAACUCCACGGUAUGUUCAUAAUACUAUCUAAAUAUUUUAAUUUAUCACUUGUUAAUUUUCUUGAAUACCUUAGAUAAGAUCUUGUAAGUGAGAUUUUUUGCAUCUAUGUUAAUUUACCAGGUGAGAUACCACACGAAAUCGCUAAUCUUCGAAAUCUAGAGGCUUUAGUGCUUGGAAUGAACAACCUAGUUGGUAUGGUAUCAGCUACAAUCUUCAACAUGUCAACAGUGAAGGUGAUUAUCCUCAUAAAUAACUCUCUCUCUGGAAGUCUUCCAUCAAGAAUGGACCUUUCACUUCCAACUAUUGAGCAUCUUAACUUGGCACUUAAUAGAUUUUCUGGAACCAUUCCUAGUUCUAUCACCAAUGCUUCUAAGCUCACCUUUCUAGAGUUGGGAGGAAACACAUUUUCGGGCUUUAUUCCAAACACAUUUGGUAAUUUAAGAAACCUUGAGCUGCUCGACUUGGCUAAUAACUACUUGACAUCUUCAACCUCAAAAUUGAGCUUCCUUUCCUCUUUGGCAAAUUGCAAGAAAUUAAGAACCUUAAGAUUAAGUGGCAAUCCACUUGACGGCGUCCUUCCAAGUUCAAUAGGAAAUCUUUCUAAGUCUUUGGAAACACUUGUCAUCGUCAAUUGCAGUAUUAGUGGCAACAUUCCUCGAGCAAUUGGCAAUUUAAGCAACUUGUUGGCCUUAGUAUUAGAAGCCAAUAAAUUGACUGGACCAAUUCCAAUUACAUUCGGCCGACUACAGAAACUCCAAGGCUUAGAUCUUGCAUUCAAUAAGUUGGUAGGUUCAUUCCCAGAUGAGCUUUGCCAUCUAGCUAGGCUGGCUGAAUUGGUCUUAUUUGGCAAUAAGCUUUCAGGAUCUAUACCUUCAUGCCUAAGUAAUCUCACUUCUCUAAGAUCUCUCUACUUAGGGUCCAAUAGGUUUACUUCUGUUAUUCCCUCAACUUUCUGGAGCCUAAAAGACAUCUUGUUCUUUGACUUUUCAUCAAAUUUCUUGGUUGGUCCUCUUUCUUUAGACAUAGGAAAUUUGAAGGUGCUUGUAAGAAUAAAUUUAUCAAAAAAUAACUUAUCCGGUGAUAUCCCAGCCACAAUUGGAGGACUGAAAGAUCUUCAAUUUAUGGACGUAGCAUAUAAUAGAUUGGAAGGCCCAAUUCCUGAAUCAUUUGGUGACUUGACAAGUUUGGAGGUUUUGAAUUUGUCAAAAAAUAAAAUCUCUGGGUCUAUUCCAACAUCCAUGGAGAAACUCUUUUACCUCCGAGAGUUAAAUCUCUCUUUCAAUGAACUAGAAGGUGAGAUUCCCAGUGGAGGAAUUUUUGCCAACUUCACAGCUGAGUCAUUUAUGGGAAAUGAGUUAUUGUGUGGUUUACCAAGUCUUCAAGUCCAACCAUGCAAAGUUAGCAAGCCGAGGACAGAACAUAAAUCAAGGAAAAAGAUACUUCUCAUUGUGAUUGUUUUGCCAUUGAGUAUUGCUCUAACAAUAGCAAUCACACUAGCUCUCAAAUCUAAGCUGAUCGAAUGUGGAAAAAGAAGCACAGUGUUGUCAAAUGAUAGUGUCUUGUCAUCACAAGCAACACUAAGAAGAUUUUCAUACUUAGAACUUUUACAAGCAACAGAUAAUUUUGCUGAAAACAACGUAAUUGGCAUUGGAGGUUUUGGUUCUGUUUAUAGAGCAAGACUUGAAGAUGGGAUGAAGAUUGCAAUAAAAGUGUUUCACCAGCAAUGUGCAAGCGCAUUGAAGAGUUUUGAGGCUGAAUGUGAAGUGUUAAAAAAUAUUCGCCAUCGAAAUCUUCUCAAAGUUAUCAGCAGUUAUUCAAACAAUGACUUCAAAGCAUUAGUCCUAGAAUACAUGUCCAACGGGAGCUUGGGGGAUUGGCUGCAUUCUAGCAAUUAUAUGCUGAAUAUAUUUCAAAGGUUGAACAUAAUGAUUGACGUUGCAUCAGCUUUAGAAUAUCUCCACUUCGAUCAUUCAACUCCUAUCAUUCACUGUGACUUAAAGCCUAGUAAUGUAUUGUUGGACGAAAAUAUGGUUGCUCAUUUGAGUGAUUUUGGCAUAGCAAAGCUUUUAAGUGGAGAGGAUGAGUAUUUGAUGCGAACAAAAACCCUUGCCACUAUAGGUUAUAUGGCACCAGGUUUGCUUCAAACAAUUGUUUUUUUUUAAGUUCAUUUUAAAUUUUCCAAAUCAUUGAUUUUUACGAUCCUCACAUCAAAAUUUUCUUGAUUAUUUAUCUAAUUGUGAAAUUAAUUUUAUUCAUAGAGUACGGCAUAGAAGGAGAAGUAUCUACAAAAAGUGAUGUUUACAGCUAUGGGAUUAUGUUGAUGGAAACUUUUACUAAGAAAAACCCCACAGAUGAAAUUUUUGUUGGAGAAUUGAGCUUAAAGCGUUGGGUUAAUGACUUGCUUCCUACUUCAUUAGUGGAAGUUGUGGACAAAACUCUGCUAAGUGGAGAGGAAAAACAUUCUGCAGUAAAGGAGCAAUGUCUGUUGUCUAUCUUUAGUUUGGCUCUGGAGUGUACAAUGGAAUCACCGGAAAAGAGGAUUAAUGCAAAAGAUGUUGUUACCAGAUUACUCAAGAUAAGAGACACAUUGAGUAAAAGGAUAGGAAACUGAAGUUAAUUUCGUUUGCUUUCAUUGAUAGUUAAUUCAAAUUCAUGUAAUAAGUGUAAGAAUCUUAUAUCCUUUCCUUUGAUUUUUUUUUUUUUUUGAGAAAACUGUUGUAGUCAUCUUGUUUCACUGCCCCCAAUGCUUUGGACACCUACUGGUAGGUUUGUACGUGUCCUCAACUUUUUUUAGGAGCACAAAAUUCGAGUCCCAUGGAGACUCAAACAUUCCUUUCCCACAUCCCGAGCACGCUAAGUUCGAGUGAAAGAGAUUAAUUUACGGAAACUAAAGCCAAGAGAAUAAAGGACAACACUUAUGUGAAGCGACAUAAAUGUAUUGAUAGCACAAUGUCAAAUUCAUACAGAGAUCUAGUAUACUAUUUACAGCCGGUAAGGGCUAAGAAUUGAUGUAGCUAGAAUACAAAGACGAUAAGGUAUGUUGUGCACUAUUGUUUUAUUCUACGAUCAAUCUUGACCCUUGAUGCUUGGCUCUCAAUCUUGUCCAUUGAUCUUCUUUGAUUUUGUACACUUCAAGACCUUUCAGUAUCAUUCCUUGUUGUUGGUGUCUUCCGUGCUGUAGAAUUCAUAUACAAGCCUUCCCGCCGACUUGCGAAGUAUUCGUUCAUUGAUGCAUUUUUAUCAAACAGUUGGCCGACUUGCCAAGUAUCAUGCCUUGUUAUAGGUAGGCUUGGUAGGAUUAUGGGUCGGUCGGUAGAUGUACAUGUGUUAAAGCUUUUGAAUUUAUGCCAAUUGAAAAUAAAAAAGAAUCUACAUAAAUUUUCAACGAGGCUAUUACCACAAUAAGCAUUUGGAUGAAUUAUUAUUGAAUCCUUUCUGAGAAGUAGGACAUGUCAGACAUCAAAGCACUGAGAUAUCUUCAAAUAGUGGUAACCCCCACGCAACAAGGCACAAUAAAUUAUACAGAUAAAAUCCUUCACUCUUUCGUAAUCAUCAGUGUAGGCACGGUGAUGCGUCAGACAGAUAUGGGUCGGAUCCACUCCAGCUCCAUAUCAAGAUUCAUAAACCAUGACAAAAAUAGAGAAUCAUAGGUGUUGCAGAUAGUGAUGGUUGUUGAUGCACUCGUGAUUUAAAAUUUUAUUUUAUAUCUUCAAGUUCGCAUUUUAAGUGUCCUUUUUUUUAAUUUUUUAUUGUGAUCAUUAUAACUUGUCAAAUCUAUUUUUAAAUAAUUUUUUAAAAAUAUUUUAUUAACAAUGAUAUGAAAAUAUUCGAACACCUUUUCAUAGUAAAGUGAAUUAUUAUCCGACGAUCCAACUCAUGUUUUCAAAUUGUAAAUUGCAAAUCGUGUGUUUGCUCCAUUACAGAGUUUCAUCAAUUUGAAAUAGAGAAUCAUUUGUGUUCUAGAUUAAUCGAGGGUCUAUAUCCAAAUCUAAAAAUUGACUAACUUGGUUUCUAUUAAAUUCUUAAUCCUAACAAGAAAAAUAGAAGAUUAAAAAUGACUAAUUUGGUUUCUAUUAAUUUGAGUAACGAUCGAAUUACCUAAUUUAUUAAGAUUUAUCAAAAUCCUAUGUCAAAAUCCAUUAAUGAUAUAGGUUCAAUGACGAAAUAGUCACUUGUUAUUAUUUUUGACUUCAUAAAUAGAUGAACGGAUGUUAUUUUUGGAUUCUGGAGAAUCGAAAAUAUCAGGAUAGGUGAUAAAUGGAAUUAAGUUGUAGAUAAGAUAGAAAUGGAUUUGGAGAGAGAUUGGAAUCCUGGGUAAUCCGGAGUACGUUGUUGUGUUGAAUGCUCGUUGACUUCACGUUGACUGAAACAUUAUUGGAAGAAGUGAGCAAGCUUAUUUUCUUCUCUCAUUUUUUAAAUUUGUCUUAAGUUUAUUGAUGUGAGGCCUUUGAGAUUGUAAGUUUCAAAUCUGAGAAGAAUAACCACACACCCAUUAUCCUAUUACUCUUAUUUUAUCACAUGAAGAGAAUUCGAAGUUUGAUAAAUUUGUGAGGAUUGUGAGGGUUGAUGCAAUAUAAUUUAGAUGCAAAGUGUUUACAAGUACGAUGCUUCAUAAGUGUUCUUGAAUCAUUAUAAACUCACGUUAUUUUUAUAAUGAUUGUUUCAUCUGCACAUGGAUAUAAUCAUAUGUUGAGAUUUUUUCCUAAAUUAUGGUCUUAUUUGGUAUUGAGGUGUUAGAUCUUUUAAGUUACAAUUACUAUUGGAAAAAAAAGUGCAACUAUGAAAUAAAAGUUAAUAUUGUGUACUAAAUAUAAUUGUUAAAUAAUAAUUUUGACAAAAUUAGUGAAGAUAUAUAGGUUUUUUUUUAAUCAUCUAAGUGUAAAAUCAAAUCAACUUAACUUCUAAACUAUAUAGCAGCUACUGUUUACCAAAUACUUUAGUACUGUAACUUUUAAGUUAUAGCUGCCUAACCUCAGUCUCAAACAAUGGCUAUAAAGAUCAAAGAUUUCCUCAUAAAAAUUAUACGUCUUGUGAUUGCUUAUUUAAUUUAUAUUUUUUUAUUUAUCUUUAUUAAUUACAGUCAUCUUUUAAUAAAUUACAAUUGCAGGAAGUUGAUGUUCGAAGUGCUUAUGUCGACUCAAAGUUGUUGGGAAUUAAUGCAUGUAUUGAUUUAUUGGGAGUGUUUAAAUGAUUUUGUGAUUUACUUGAUUGAUUGAUUGAAUAAUGUUUGAUUGCUUCAUAUCCGUUCUAGAAAGUUUAUUUCUUUGUGAAAUUUCAAUGAAAUAUGUUUUUUUAAAUUAUAAGGGUUUUUUAAGUAAUUUUAAAAAUAAAUGAACUAAUAAGGAUUAAUUAUUAGGUAAUUAACUUGAACUAUACAGGGUAAGCGAACAUGUAUCCUAAUUAUAUCAUGAUAAAUCCUUUUCCGAUCAGAAUUAGGAAACCAUAAGUAUAUUGAUUUUUUUUUCCAAUUCUCCUUUGCGAAAACGGAUUACAGAAUUAGAAAACAAUCCUAAUGAUAUUAUUGUUAGGUUUAAAACACUGCAUAGAUAGUAAAAAGCUAACUAGUUCGUAGAGUAAUUUGUUAAUUGCUAUCGCCUCUGCCUGCGCGGUGAAUAAUUUGUUGCAUGCAAAUUUUUUAUUUUAUGCAAAUCGUACUGAACAUUGGAAUUGAUGUAUAAGCAAAAAUACAAGAGUAUUUAUGUCAAUACAAAUUUUUUUUUUCCAUUUUAAAUAAACACAACGCGAUGUUUAUCUGCUCCGCGUUUUUGCAAUCUGUUUAUUCGUUGUUUAUUUGCUUCUUAAGGCCUCAAACUUUGAUAACCAAAAAUUUCACCAAACUAUGAAAAAUAUUCUGCAGGUUAGUUUUUAUUUUCGGAAUAAUUAUUUGAGAAUACUAAAACACAAUAUAAAAUAAGAAAAUAGGGGGUUAAAAUUUGAAAAAAAAACAAAAGGGCAUGUUGGAUAGAUUACUGUAGUUUAAGAAAAAAAUUAUUCAGUUGGGAAUUUUUUUUCUUUAAUUUUUGUUUUACUUAAUUGAGAUUUCUCCUUAAUCCUUACAGUUUUAAAUUUGGAUAACAUAGGAUUAGUAAUUUAGUACUUCCUUUGCAAGCCGAGGUUAAUGAUGAAAUUCUUUUAAGAAAAAAGAUAAAAGAGCAUACCAAUAGUCAAUUAUAAAUAACCACAAAUAAAUACAAACAAAAUGUUUAUGAAGUAAAUUAAAAAUGUGCAUAUUAUUUUUUUUUUAUUUCUUACUAAUCUUUGUAUUUGCUGCUUGAAAAACCAUAAAUACACAGAUGACCAUUGGCUUCGCACCAUUUAAUUGGGAUACAUUUCUACGUACAAACUGAACAAGGCUAUUGAUUUUUAUUAUUAUUUUUAUUUAUUUAUAAAUUACUAUUUCAAUUUUCACUUUUUAUUGGGUUGUUUAAUGGAUUAGUGAGGCUGGUGGUCGUUGAUGCACUCACAAGGUACAAUUUUGUUUUCCAAUUUCAAAUUCGUAUUUUAAAAUGCAGCACAUUAUGUAUACAUAAUUAUUGAUUUUCAUAUGUGGGUGUUUUGAAAUAUUGCUAAAAGACCAAACUUUAAUAAACUAUUUUUGAUCCUUUUUUGUUUCUUUUUUCCUAAAGUUUGAGUGAUAUCCGCAUUUUUAAAAGCUAAUGUAUGCAAAAAAUUCUUUUAUUUUUCUGGGGAAAAUAGGCAAGAGAAAACGUUUUGGCAAAUGAGUUGCAACUGAAUUCAAAACCAAUACGAUGCGAGCAUAGGAAAGAGGUCAGUGUUUUGGAUUUGAAUUUAGUAUUGAGCUGAAUUUUAUGUUUAACACAUGAUUCUAUUAUAGUACUGCGAUUAAUAAGCUCAGCCCCGGAUUUGCUUUUGCUUUUGCUUUUACUUCAAGUGAAAGAAAGAGGAAACCUUUUGUUUUUUCUUUGGUUUUUGACUAUGUUACCUAUACAGAGAGUCAAGAUAUCAGCCAUAAGUGAUGGUGUUAAAAAGAUUAAGCAGCGCACACAAUCUUACUGCUGUCUAGACCAUCCAAUGAUGACUCCAGUCUUUUGGUUACAUUAGCUUUAGUUGAAAUAAGGGCCAAUUUAGCAAACACUAGCUUUGGCGGCUUACUAUGUUUAAUGUAAUGCUUAUUCUCAAGGAAUCUAAUGUUAUAAGAUGAUUGAAUGAUCUUCUAUGAUUGUGAGUAGUAUAGGAUAAUUGAAAAGAGCCUGGCUCCUAUGAUAAAUAACAGUAACACAGUACUGUGAUUGAAAAAGUUCAGUUACAAAAACUUAGUUACAGUAAACUCUUCAUUUAUUCAUUGCGGAGAUUGAAUGGCAAAAAGAGAAUAGAAUGAAGCAGAGGAAUCUCAUUGCCAAUAAAAUUGACCCUCUUUAAUGUUAUAUGGCACAGGUAUGUUUACAUCAAGAACAAGUUACUUACAGUUUUUAUUGUAGUUAAGUUUUGAUGAUUUCAGAUGCUUUUUUUUUUUAAUUGUGACACCUUUGAUUUAUAAUAAUAUUGCAAAUAUAUAUAUAUAUAUAUAUUAGUAGUUUUUUGGUCCGAAAUUUUAAAGUGUGAGAAAGUAUGAGAAAGCUUUAAAACCGCACGGUGUUAAAGGCUUACAGUUUUAAGCAUUUUAAUCCAUGCGGUUUUAAAGUUUUACUGGAUUUUUCCGCACUUUAAAAUUCCAGACUGAAACAUUUCUGUAUAUAUAUACAUAUAAAUAUAUAAAUUAAGAGGGAUGAGUUAACUGAAGAUUAUAAUCAUUACAACAAUGCUGAUGAGUGAUACAUCACUUGAAAUUUACUUAUCAGUUGCUGAAAUGAUGAAAAAAAAACAAUAAACAAUAACAGUGAUAAUGUUCUCUUGCUAAAAUGACUUGUAUAUUAUACAAUCCACUCUACUUAAUGAUAUCGUUUUAAUAAAUGUUUGAUGAUCUCCAUUUAAAAACUACUUCAAUUUUUUUCUUCAUUUAACUUUUUGGUUGUUGAAAAUAACCUUAAUUAUCAAAUAAUUGGAGAAAGAGUAAAGAACAUUUAACAAAUUUAUGUGUAAAAAAAAAAAGGAGAAGUUGAAGAGAAAGGGUGCUUGCAGAAGUAGGUGUCAAAGAUAAAUCGGUCCAUAGGAAUUAUUUGUUGAGAUAUAAUUAAUAAUCUAGUAAAUUGAGCAAGAAGUUUGAAGGGUUAUUUGGUUUGUUUUUCAACAUGAAGUAAAGGGUAGAAUUGAUGUUUGCAAUGUAGCUUUGGAAAUGUAAAGCAUGAUUAAUGUAAUCUCUAGAGUUGUCUAUAAUGCAUAUAAAUAUAGAACUCUGGUUGUAUGAAAAGUAAGAGAGAAACGAAAAAAUGAAUUAAGCAAUAAAGUUUCAGAAAUUUCCAGCAAAAUACUCUGUUCUUAAAUAAAAAUUUUUCUGCACUUCCGCUUGCACCCAACAAAUUUGGUAUCAGAGCUAUUCCAAAACACCCUCAAAAUGACAUCAAACUUCUCCCUGUUUUGAGCUGGAAUAAGAGCAGAAAGCUGUGGGAAAAGGCACUAUUGCUGUCCAUACAAAGGAAGGUACUGAUUUCCUUAUUGUUUGCCUUUAUGUUGAUGCUGCAACAACAAUUUAUUGUGACAACAUGUCAGCCAUUGCUCUAACAAAGAACCCCGUAUUUCAUGCUAAAUCUAAGCACAUUGAGCUGCGUUAUCACUACAUCCGUGACUUAGUAAACAAAGGAGAAGUUAAUAUGGAGUUUAUCAGCACUAAUGAGCAGCCAUCAGAUUUUCUGACCAAAGCAAUCAACAUUGAGAAGUUUGAAAAAUUCAAGAAGCAAUUGAAGAUUACUAAUUAAGAGGGGGUGUUGAGAUAUAAUUAAUAAUCUAGUAAAUUGAGCAAGAAGUUUGAAGGGUUAUUUGGUUUGUUUUUCAACAUGAAGUAAAGGGUAGAAUUGAUGUUUGCAAUGUAGCUUUGGAAAUGUAAAGCAUGAUUAAUGUAAUCUCUAGAGUUGUCUAUAAUGCAUAUAAAUAUAGAACUCUGGUUGUAUGAAAAGUAAGAGAGAAACGAAAAAAUGAAUUAAGCAAUAAAGUUUCAGAAAUUUCCAGCAAAAUACUCUGUUCUUAAAUAAAAAUUUUUCUGCACUUCCGCUUGCACCCAACAUUAUUUUGGUUAUUUUUUAGCAAUAUAAAAAUUUUUUAGCAAGUAAAAAUUAAUUUUUUUCCAAUUUACUAAAAAAUUAACUAAAAACUUCUGCGAUAGCAUUUUUUAUGGGUGCAUAUACCUCCCUUUAAAAAAUAUAUAAUAAUUAAUGCUUAAUAUAGUAUUAAAUACGAAAAUAUCAAUAUUUGACUACUCAAAUUUAUAUCAUUAGGUCCUUAAAAUUUAAAAUUGAAGAUACAAAAGGAAAUAUAUAUAAAUUUCAUUCUCAUGGGAAAGGAUCAUCUUAUAAUCUUAUAAUAUUUGAGUUUUGAAAUAUUUUUUUGAAACAAAUGUACUUUUAUUUGUGUACAAUCAAUAUGUACUUAUUUAUUAUAUUUUUAUUUAUUAACUAUCAAUCAUGUGAGUAUAUUUAGUCAGAAAAAUUAUAUCAAGAGAGAACCCUAAUUUCACGUAAAGACAAAUACAAGACAAAUAUGGCAAUUUCUAUACUAUUCACUUUCCUGUAGAAUCAAUUAUCUAAAAUGCAAGUUUGUGGCUUCAAAAAACUCGCCAAAGAAAGAAGAUAAUUACAAUUGAGCAUUGAUAGCAAAUCUAAUGCAUCCAAUUCUUCUUAACUUGAUGAGUGACGUGAAUACUAGCAGUCUGUAACGCCCAAAUUUUUAUUAUUUUAUUUAUUUUUUAAUGGAAUUUAUAAAUGACAUUUUUGCCCUUAUAAAAACGGUUAUUCAUGGAAUAAUUUUUAGGAAAGGGUUAUUUUUCCAAAUUCAAUAGGGUUUCUUAAGACUCCCUAUAAAUUCAUAUUUUUCUCCUUCCAUAACCCUAAAAGCACGACGUUUCUUCUUCUUCUAUGCUGCUCAUUACGCUCUUACCCAAACCCUAGGAUUCAAACCUUUGGUUAAGAGAGAAUCAAAGCGAUUGGUAAGUUUAUUCCCCUUAUUCUCCACAAGAUUCCCAAUCACUCUAUCUAGGGUUUAUAUUGGCACGAUUUUAGAUUGUUAUAGAUCAUAAUGCAUGAUUUAGAAUGUGUUUAGGCUUUGUUUAGAGUUUUGAUUUAUUAUGAGUUUAGUUAAUCAACCUUGACGUAUUAAGCACAUAGAAUAGUUCCAUAGAAUAUUAUGUUAUUCUGAGUUUUAGAUUAAGAGUUAAAAUUCUGAGCAUCGGACCUGUACGGGUACGAAUUAAAAAAACCAGGUUCUUAGAAUAAGUUAUUAAUUGUCAUAUAUUGUAUUUGUUUAAGGCGUUGGAGGUGAUUGAGGCUCUUAGAGGGUUAGAGGUGUGUUAAUUCAAAUUCUUUUGUCAAGUUAAGUAACUUUAUUCCUAAUGUACUGGAUAUAUAUAUAUGAUUAUUUUGAUAUUAUUAUAAGUAUACGAAUUUUUUUACUACUUAGAAGAUUAAUGGAUUUUCAUAACAAAAUCAGUUUGUGUAAAUGUUUUCAAACCUAAAUUCUUUUUAAUAAAUUAUUUUGUAAAGGCUUUUAAAUAUGUAAGUUAUUUUAUGACAUGACUACCUUUUAUAAUUUUGUCUAUGAAAUAUUUGCAAGCCUAAAUUGUGGUUAUGGACUUUCAUGAAACUGAUACAAAUGUUUUGUACCUAUGUAUGAUUUCAAUUAUUUAUGAUUGUACGGGGGCCACCUCUUGGGACUAUAUGGGGGCCACCUCUUGAAAGCCAAAGCAUCGCAAAGUGCCACAUAUAAGUCAUUAUGUUUUGGCUCAUUGUCCAUAGUUAUUCUGAUUCUGAUUCUGAUCGUAUAAUACGAUAUAUGUCUGUUCUGGACCAGUACUGGGUUUUUGUUUUGAGUGUGCACACGAUAUUCUGAUUCUGUUUUUGGCCGAGUCACCAGGACUAUAGGUGACACUAUGUGACAUGAGCUAACCUUUUGUUUUAUGUGAAUGUGAUAUAUGAUUUGCUUUUGUAAGUAACUAUACUUUUGAUAUUCUGAGUUACAAUGAAUUUAAAUUAUUUUAUAGUGAUAUAUCGUUUUAUGAAAUUUAUGGAUUAUGAUAUAUGUUUUAAUUAAAAGAAGGCUUGCAAUAUUUUUGGUAUCGAUAGGCCUAGUGUGUUAGGAAUAGUUUUACUUACCGAGUUGACGGCUCACCCCUCGUCAUUACUUUUUGCAGAUUAAAUUUCUUUUGAGAGGUGCCCUUAGCUUUGGAGUUAGUAAUUUUCUGUUUCCGUUUGCCAUUUGAAUAAGAUGAGGAAUAGACUCAUGUUUCUAUUUAGUUUAUUUCUGUUAUGGACGUGUAAUUUGGAGUUUGAGACUUUUGUUAUUUUUUUUAUGUCCUCGGGAGAGAUUAUUUAGUAUUAGACGUUUGAAUUUGUGGAUUUAUUCGAAUAAGAAUUUGAGGUAUUUCAGUUUGAAACUUAUGAGUAAAGAUUAUGAUUUGUAAGUAACCUCCUUCUUCACGUGCUCCGCACGUGUUAGAUUUGGGGUGUUACAAUUGUGGUAUCAGAGCAUUAGGUUUGGGAUUCUGUAGACUUUAUUUGAGACUAGAUUUCUUAAGCACAAUCAAUUAGUUCAAUGGUAUUGCUUGCCAUGAGGUUAUCAGAAAGAGUAGAUCUUUAAGGCGAGGAGUAAUUUUGGUCUUUUUGAUUUUCUAGUUGCUUGUGACUUUGUAAUAACUCCUUGAUAUAGGAUUUUGGUAUUAACGUAGAAUGAAAUAUUUGUUUGCUCUUGUUGUCAAUCACUAAUGUUUCUCAGUUAUACUACUUACUCAGUACUUUGCGCACUAGCAAGGCCUUUAACUAUGAAUUAUUUACCGUUUUAUUUAUUUAUUUAUUUUUAUUCUUCGUGUUAUAGUCAAAAGAUGUUGCGUAGGGGAGGUGCUAGGCAUGCCUCUAGCUCGAGAGAUGUUUUAGGAAUCGCUGAUGACGUUGACCCAACCUUGCGUGAGAUGGCUAACGAAGGGAAUCCUAUGAUGCGCGCAAUGGUUAGAUUGAUGGAACAACAAAGUAAGUUGAUUCAAGAUAUGGCUAGAGGUAAAGUUGGGGCACAGGAGAAUGUGCCAGUUGAAAGACAAGGUGGUGGAAGAGAUCAGGGAGGUAUGAUGAGCUUAGAGCGGUUUAGGAAAUUGGGACCACCUACCUUUCAGGGGACUGCCGAUCCUAUGGUUGCAGAGGCAUGGUUAAGACAGAUGGAGAAAAUAUUUAUGGCUAUGGGUUGUAAUGAUGAUCAUAGGGUGAUAUUGGCCUCAUUCGUCCUUUAGGGCGAGGCAGACCACUGGUGGGAUGCCAAAUCCCGUCUUUUGAGGGCCGGGUUACAAGAUGCACCUAUUACUUGGGAGUUAUUUCUGGAGGCUUUUCAUGAAAAAUAUUUUCCUGAACGAGUUCGACAUCAGAUGGAGGUUGACUUCCUGAAAUUGACUCAAGGAACAAAGUUUGUUGCGGAGUAUGAGGAGCAAUUUACUGCUCUAUCUCAUUUUUCUCCUACCUUAGUUGCUAAUGAGGGUAGUAAGUGUAGGAAAUUCUUGGAAGGGUUACAUCCAAACAUCAAAAGACGGUUGACCAUCCUUAAGCUUAAUAAUUAUGCCGAUUUGGUGGAUCGUGCGAUUAUUGCAGAGAGGGAUAUAAUUCAAUCUCAAGUUGCACGAUCUAAUCGACAUAAUAACCAGCCAAUAAAACAUGAUAGUAAUGGUAGCGAAGGUGAACAUAAGGACUCUAAUGGUGGGUCUAUUCAAGAGAACAAACCAUUCUGUAAUCGUUGUGACAAGUACCAUAAUGGCACGUGCUAUUUAAAGAUAGAAGCUUGUUUUGGCUGUGGAAAGAUGGGGCAUAAGGUUAUAGAUUGCCCAAAAAAGCGCAGUGGUAACAUAGAUUCUGCCGAGAACCAAAGGAAAAAGCCAUGUGUCUUCGCCAUGGUGGAGCAAGAUAUUAAGAAACCGAAUAACGAAGCCUCAGGUGCAUUACCUAUUUUCCAUAGAAAGCCUUGAAUUUUUGAGUAAUUGGUAUUGUGCUUUUCCUCCAUCCUUUCUGAUUGGAUGCAUCGUAGCUAGAGUUUUUAGCCUAAUAAUUUCUUUUUUCAUCCAUUGAAUUUCUAUGGUACAUUAGUAGGAUAUGACGUGUGAUUUUAUAAGGCCAUUAGGAUUAACUUAUGGUUGGAUGGAGUAGGGACUAAUAUGAUAUUUAGUAGGAUAUGUGAUGAAGAUUGCAAUAAAAGUGUUUCACCAGCAAUGUGCGAGCGCAUUGAACAGUUUUGAAGUUGAAUGUGAAGUGAUAAAAAAUAUUCGCCAUCGAAACCUUAUCAAUGUUAUUGGCAGUUGUUCGAACGAUGACUUCAAAUCAUUAGUCCUAGAAUACAUGUCCAACGGGAGCUUGGAGGAUUGGCUGCAUUCUAGCAAUUAUGUGCUUAAUAUUUUUCGCAGGUUGAACAUAAUGAUUGACGUUGCAUCAGCUUUAAAAUAUCUCCACUUCGAUCAUUCAACUCGUAUCAUUCAUUGUGACUUAAAGCCUAAUAAUGUGUUGUUGGGUGAAAAUAUGGUUGCUCAUUUGAGUGAUUUUGGCAUAGCAAAGCUUUUAAGUGGAAGAUGAGUCUACGAUGCGAACAAAAACCCUUGCCACUAUAGGUUAUACGGCACCAGGUUUGCUUGAAACAACUUUUUUUUUUAGUUUAUUUUAAAAUUUCCAAAUUAUUGAUUUUUACGAUCCUCAUAUCAAAAUGUUAUUGAUUAUUUAUCUAAUUAUGAAAUAAUUUAAUUCAUAGAGUAUGGCAUAGAAGGAGAAAUAUCUGCAAAAAGUGAUGUUUACAGCUAUGGGAUUAUGUUGAUGGAAACUUUUACCAAGAAAAAACCCACAGAUGAGAUUUUUGUUGGAGAAUUGAGCUUAAAGCGUUGGGUUAAUGACUUGCUUCCUAAUUCAUUAGUGGAAGUUGUGGACAAAAUUCUGAUAAUUGGAGAGGAAAAACAUUUUGCCGCAAAGGAGCAAUGUCUGUUCUCUAUCUUUAUUUUGGCUCUGGAGUGUACAAUGGAAUCACCGGAAAAGAGGAUCAAUACAAAAGAUAUUGUUACCAGAUUACUCAAGAUAAGAGACACAUUGAGUAAAAGGAUAGGAAAUUUAAGUUAAUUUUGUUUGCUUUCAUUGAUAGUUACUUUGAAUUCAUGUAAUAAGUGUAAGAAUCGUUUAUCUUUUCUUUUGAUAUUUUUUUCUUGAGAAAACUGUUGUAGUCAUCUUUUUUCAAUGGGCAGAGUUGAUUUAGUUCUUCCAAGAAAUGCUAUUGUUGAUCUUUGUUAUAUACUUUUGUCUUUUUUUGCAUGCAUUUAGGUAGAAUAGUGGUCUAGCUGCAGGCUAACAAGUCAAGCUACGCUAAAAGGGUAUGAUUUAAUUUAUUAAACCUAACUUCAAGUUCAAGAAUUGUAUCUCAUUGCCACCAAUGCUUUAGACACCUAUUGGUAGGUUUGUGUCCUCAACUUUGUUUAGAGCAAAAGUUCCAGUCCCAUGGAGGCUCAAAUAUUCCUCUCCUACGUCCCGAACACACUAAAUUCAUCAGCCUCUUGAACCCUCUCCUGAGGGCGCCUUCUGUCCUCUGUUUUCUGUUUCCAUACACAAAUAGCAAAAAGAAUUCAGAAUGACAACUGGGACAUAUAUAAGAGUGAAAUAAUUAAAAAAAAUUAUGCUUUUUUGUUUGUCGUGUUAAAAUCGUAAGGUAUCUAAGUACUAUGAAAGAGAUUAGUUUACGAAAACUGAAGCCAAGGGUUCAUAAAAAAGUGCAAAGAGAAUAAAGGACAACGCUUAUGUAAAGCGACAUAAUUGUAUUGGUAGCACAAUGUCACGUUCAUACAGAGAUCAAGUACAUUAUUUACAGCUGGUAAGGGCUAAGAAUUGAUGUAGCUAGAAUACAAAUAUGAUAAGGUAUGUUGUGCACUAUUGUUUUAUUCUACAAUCAAUCUUGACCCUUGAUGCUUGGCUCUCAAUCUUGUCCAUUGAUCUUCUCUGAUCUCGAAAACUUCAAGACCUUUCAAUCUCAUGCCUUAUUAUUGGUAUGUUCUAUGCUGUUAAUUUCAAAUACUAGCUUUUCCGCCAACUUGCCAAUUAUUUGUUCAUUGGUGCGUUCUGUCAAACAGUGUGGAUACUUAUACCAAACGCUUUCUGUUUUAACUCCCCCUUUCAAGCUCAACUAUCUGGGAAGACACUAAUAAGCUUGUUUCUCAAGUAUAUGUAUCUGAAAAUUAAAUUUUCAAAAUUAUAUUCGGACUCUACAUUUUCUAAUGAACAUUGGUUUGGCUCAUAAGCUUAUUAUACUUGGGCUUGGUAGGAUUAUCGGUCGGUAGAUGAACAAGUGUUAGAGCUUUCGAAUUUAUGCCAAUUAAAAAAAAAUCUAUAUAAAUUUUCCACUAGGCUAUUACCACAAUAAACAUUUGGAUGAACUAUUAUUGAAACCUUAUUGAGAAGUAGGACAUGUCGCAUACCAAUGCACUGACAUAUCUUCAAAUAGUGGUAACUCCACACAACAUGGCACAAUAAAUUAGAGUUAUAUAGAUAAAAUCUUUCACUCUUUGGUAAUCAUCAAUGUCGGCAUGGCAAUGCGUCCGACAAAAUUCAUAAAUCAAAACAAAAAUAGAGAAUCAUAUUUGUUUCAGAUUGUAGUGAUGGUUGUUCAUAAUUCACAAUUUUAUUUAAUAUCUUCAAAUUCGCAUUUUAAAAUGCACAAAUGUUUGUGUAUACAUAAUUAGUAAUCGAUUCUCAAGCUUGGACAUUUAAAAGCACUGCUAAAAGACAAAAUUUUAAUUCACUAUUUUUUGUCUUUUAAUUUUCUUUAAGUUUUAAUGAUUCCGCAUUUUAAAAUCCUGUGGAACGUACAUGUAAAAUUCUUUUAUCUUUUAGAGGAAAAUGGGCAAGAGAAGAAGAUUUGGCAAAGGAAUUGCAACCGCAUUUGGAGCUAGUUUUAAUUUUGUCUUUUAAUUCUUUUACACUUGGCUUUUGUUAUUGAUGUCAACUUCGAUGUGUGUGCGUGUGCGACUGAAUUCAACUUACAUGCUAUUGAUGCAGCCACCAAAAAGGGGUGGUCCAUCAUCAAUCAACAAGGUUUAUUAUUAUUUCCAUAUUGAUUUUCUUAAUUAUAAAUAAUACUAAUGUUAUUUCAUAGUUAUAAAUAUAUUAGAAUUAAUCGAAAUCAUUUUUUAGUGUGGCAUGGCUAAAACUACCUUUUUUUUUUAUAAGUAAUUACUACUUUCACAUUAAGAAAAAUACUCCUAUUUUUAAGGAAAAGUCAAGUACCUGUAGUUGUGAAGACUCAAGCUCACUCCCUUAUGAUAAAUCUUCAUAUUAAUUACGUAAAUAUCCUCUAAAAUUUUAAAUUAGCUAUUCAAAAUUUGAUGUUAUACGGGUAUUUCAUUUAUUUGAGUAGGGGUUAGGGGUCAAUUGGAUACAAAUUCAAAAUUAUCCUUACUUGAGAAGGUGAUAAAAAUUGGGGAUUUAGUUUGGAUGUCAUUAGCUACAAAUAUUAAACUCAUACAUUUAAUUCAAAAUUAGAGGGCUGAUAUGUGCGCAUCAUCGUCCACGUUAUAGUGACACUGCGUCACCAUUCCACAACCUCUCCAAUGAAAAAUUGACAUGCUUCUUGUGCGCAUCUAAUCAGAAUCUUGAAAAUUAAUCACAAAAUUGUACUUUUAUUAUAAAAAGAAUAAAGAAACUCCAAGAAAAAAAAAAAGACUUACAUAAAUAGAUUGAAAAAUCUAGAUUUCAAGUUGUCUAUAUUAGCUUGAUAUUUUUAUUAAUAGUCAUCCUCCCAAAAAAAUUCCAUCAAAAUAUAUUUUAAUUUUAUGUUAAUUCAUAAACAUGAAAAAAUCAUUUUAGAAUUAAUUAAAACAUAAUUUAUUGUUGCUCAAAAAAGGUAGAACUUAGUUAUCAGAAAAAAGUGUCUAAAAUAUAUGUUAAAAAAAAAUCAUGGUUGGUUGGACUGAUUGAAUUUUUUUUUUCUUUUUUAAGAAUUAAGACAAUUGGAUGGAUUGAGUAAUAAUAAUACAUAUUUAUUUGGCAAAUGGCAGGGAGGCUUUCGUCUGAUGCAGAUUGAUUAGAGAGAAAAUAUAACAAUUUUAAGCUCGUCAGAUUCGAAGCUGCUUACCUGUCGUGUGGGGAUCACUUCCGUGUCUUAUUUUUCUAGAAAAAUCUGGACCAUUGGAUUUACCAUUAGUCAAUAGAGAAAUGUUGAUCUUGAUUCUUGAUCAAGAUCGAAGUUUGAUUCUAACUAACACGAUAUCAGAUUGCGAAGCAAGCAAAUUGAAAGUCACUUGUUCUAUGGAAGAAACACAAGUUCUAAUAAAACAUUCUCAUAGUAAAGUGAAUUACCAUCCAACGAUCCAACUCAUGUUUUCAAAUUGUAAAUUGCAAAUCGUGUGUUUGCUCCAUUACAGAGUUUCUUCAAUCUGAAAUAGCGAAUCAUUUGUGUUCUAGAUUAAUCGUGGGUCUAUAUCCAAAUCUAAAAAUUGACUAACUUGAUUUCUAUUAAAUUCUUAAUCCUAACAAGAAAAAUUGAAGAUUAAAAACGACUAAUUUGGUACCAUACCACUAUUGUAACAUAGGUAGAUCCUCUAUUAAUUGGAGUAAAGAUUGAAUUAUCUCAUUUAUUAAGGUUUAUCAAAAUCUUGUGUCAAAAUCUAUUAAUGAUAUAGGUUCAAGGAUGAAAAAGUCACUGCAUUACUUUUGAGUUCCCAAAUAGAUGAAUGGAUGUUAUUUUUAGAUUCCGGAGAGUCGAAAAUAUUAAGAUAGGUGCUAAAUCGAAUUAAGUUGUAGAUACGAUAGAAAUGGAUUUGGAGAGAUUGGAAUCCUAGGUAAUCCGGUGCACGUUGUCGUGUUAAAUUCUCGUUGACUUCACGUUGACUGAAGCAUUAUUGGAAGAAACAAGUUUAUUGAUGUGAGGCCUUUGAGGUUGUAAGUGUUAAAUCUGAGAAGAAUACCCACACACCCAUUAUCCUAUUACUCUUAUAUCACAUGAAGAGAAUUCAACAUUUGAUUCACACGGAAAAAAUUUGUGAGGAAUGUGAGGGUUGAUGGAAUAUAAUUUAGAUACAAAGUGUUUACCAGUGCGAUGCUUCGCAAGUGUUCUUGAAUCAAUAUAAACUCACAUUAUUUUCAUAGUGAUUGUUUCAUCUGCACGUUAAUAUAAUCACAUGUCGAGAUUUUUUUCCUUAAAUUAUGGUCUUAUUUAGUAUUGAGGUGUUAUAUCUUUUAAGGUACAAUUAUUGUUGGAAAAAAGUUACAACUAUCAAAUAAAAUUAAUACUAUGUGCUAAAUAUAAUUGUUAAAUAAUAAUUUUGACAAAAUUAGUGAAGUUAUAUAGAUUUUUUUCAUCAUCCAAGUAUAAAAUCAAAUCAACUUAACUUCUAAGUUAUAUAUCGGCUACUGUUUAUCAUAUGUUUUAGUUUUGUAACUUUUAAAUUAUAGUUACCCAACCUCAAUUCUAAACAAGACCUAUAAAGAUCAAAGAUUUCCUCAUUAAAUUAUAUGUCUUGUGAUUGCUUAUUUAAUUUAUAUUUUUGUUAUUUAUCUUUAUUAAUUAUAAUCAUCUUUUUAUAAAUUAAAAUUGAAGGAAGUUGAUUGAUGUUGUUGACACACACACGCACGCGCACGCACACACUCACAAAGAUAUAUUGGAAGUGCUUACGUCGACUCGAAGUUGUUGGGAAUUAAUGCAUGUAUUGAUUUAUUGGGAGUGUUUAAAUGAUUUUGUGAUUUACUUGAUUUAUUGAUUGAAUAUUGUUUGAUUGCUUCAUAUCCAUUCUAGAAAGUUUAUUUCUUUGUGAAAGUUCAACGAAAUAUGUUUUUUUUUUUAAAUAAGGGUGUUCUAAAUAAUUUUAAAAAAUAUAUGCUUGUCUUCCCAAAAUAGCCUUUGAAUACACAAGUAAAUGUCUAGCCUUUGGUGAGGAUAGUUUGGUCAUUGCAUUUUACAAGUAAGAUGAGUGGUGGAGAAAAAUGAGGAGUGCACAUAACUCUUCAGCAAAUCCCACCAACAAUUCCAUUUUCUUAAUUAAUUAAUCUCCUUUUUUAUCCCCAAACAAAUCCUAAUGAUACUAUUAUCAGGUUUAAAACAGUACACAAAUAGUGAAAAGCUAACUAGUCUGUAGAGUAAUUUGCUAAUUGCUAUCUCCUCUCUAUGCUCGCUGAAUAAUUUGUUGCAUGCAAACUUUUUAUUUUAUGCAAAUCAUACGUACUGUAACAUUGGAAUUGAUGUAUAAGCAAAAAUACAAUAAUAUUUAUGUCAAUACAAAUAGUUUUUUUUCCCUUUUUAAAUAAACACAACGCGAUGUUGCUCUGCUCUACAUUUUUGCUAUCUCUUUAUUAUUAUUAUUUUUUUUUGGGCUUCUUAAAGCCUCAAACUUUGAUAACCAAAACUUCAUCGACCUAUGAAAAAAUCUGCAGAUUAGUUUUUAUUAUCGGAAUAAUUGUUUGAGAAUACUAAAACAAAAUAUAAAAUAAGAAAAUACGGGGUUAAAUUUGGGGAAAACAAAAAGGCAUGUUGGAUAGAUUACUAUAGUUUAAGGGGAAAAAAAAAUUCAAUUGGAAAUUUUUUUCUUUAAUUUUUGUUUUACUUGAUUGAGAUUUCUCCUUAGUCCUUACAGUUUUAAGUUUGGAUGCCGUAGGGUUAGUAAUUUAGUAUUUCCCUUGCAAGCUGAGCUUAAGGAUGAAAUUUCUUUUAAGAAAUUAAAAAAGAUUAAAAAAAGCAUACCAAUAGGUAAUUAUAAAUAACCAUAAAUAAACAUAAACAAAAUGUUUAUGAAGUAAAUUACACAUGCACAUAUUAUUUUUUUGUUAUAUUUCUUACUUGUCUAUUUUAUUUGCUGCUUGAUAACCCGUAAAUACUAAUCUAGUACUGCUAAUUUCAGACACAAAAUGUUUAACUCUAGGCUGCAGUUUUACUCAAAAUGAUGACCACUGGCUUCGCACCAUUUAACCGGCAUACAUUUCUACAAAUUGAACAAGGCUAUUGAUUUUCAUUAUUAUUUUUUAUUUAUUUAUAAAUUACUAUUUUAAUUUUCACUUUUUAUUGGGUUGUUUACAGAUUAGUGAAGUUGGUGGUCGUGAUGCACUCACAAGGUACAAUUUUAUUUUAUAAUUUCAAAUUUGUAUUUUAAAAUGCAGGUACAUUAUGUAUACAUAAUUAUUGAUUUUCAUAUGUGGGUGUUUUGAAAUAUUGCUAAAAGACCAAACUUUAAUAAACUAUUUUUUAUCUUUUUUUUUCCUAAAGUUUGAGUGAUAUCCGCAUUUUAAAUUCAUGUGGAACAAAAGCUAAUGUAUGCUCAAAAUUCUUUUAUUUUUUCCGAGAAGAAUGGGUAAGAGAAGAAGAUUUUUCUGUUGAAAAAGAAAAACUAAUACGAUGCAAGCAUAGGAAAGAGGUCAGUGUUUUGGAUUAGAAUUUAGUAUUGAGCUGAAUUUUAUACUAAACUCUUUUAUAGUACUGCGAUUAAUAAACUCAUGAUUUGCUUUUGCUUUUACUUCAAGUGAAAGAAAGAGGAAACCGUUUGAUUUUUGUUUGAUUCUUGACUAUAGAUGUUACCUAUAUAGAGAGUUGAGGUAGCUGCCUUAAGUGAUGGUUAUAAAAAGAUUAAGCAGCGCACACAAUCUUACUGUCGUCCAGACCAUCCAGCUAUGAUGACUCUAGUUUUUUGGUUACAUUAACUUUAGUGGAAAGGAGGGCCAAUUUAACAAAGACUAGAUUUGGUGGCUUACUAUAAUGCUUAUUCUCAGGGAAUCUAAUGUUAUAAGAUGAUUUAAUGAUCUUCUAUGAUUGUGAGUAGUAUAGUAUAAUUGAAAAGAGCUUGGGCUCCUAUGAUGAAUAUUUAAUAGUAACACAGUACUGUUAUUGAAAAAAACACAGUUACAAUAAACUCUUCAUUUAUUCAUUGUGGAGAUUGAAUGGCAAACAGAGAAUAAAAUGAAGCAGAGGAAUCUCAUUGCCAGUAAAAUUGACCCUCUUUAAUGUUAUAUGGCACAGGUGUGUGUACAGCAAGAUCAAGUUACUUGCAGUUUUUAUUGUAAAAUAUAUAGGUUAUGACCAUGAUCAUUGUAGUUAGGUUUUGAUGAUUUUAGAUGCUUUUUUUAUUUUUUUUAAAAUUGUGACACCUUUGAUUUAUGGUAGCUUUGCAGAAGAAAAAUAUAUAUAUAUAAAUUAGGAGGGAUGAGUUAACUAACGAUUGCAAUCAUUACAGUAAUGUUGAUGAGUGAUACAUCAUUUGAAAUUUACUUGUCAGUUACUGAAAUGAUGAAAAAAAACAAUAAACAAUAGCAGUAAUAUUUUUAUGGAAAAUCUUGGUUUUUAUGGAAAUACUCUUGCUGAAAUUCUAAUUUUGACUUUCAACUCUUGGUUUUUAUGGAAAGUAAAAUGACUUGUUUGUUAUAUUCAUACAAUCCACUCUACAUAAUGAUUUCAUUUUAAUAAAUGCUUGAUGAUCUCCACUGAAAAACUACUUCAAUUCUUUUGUUUUAUUUAACUUUUUGGUUGUUGAAAAUAGCCUUAAUUUUCAAAUAAUUGGAGAAAGAGUAAAGAACAUUUAACAAAUUUAUGUGCCAAAAAUAAAGGAGAAAUUGAAGAGAAAGGGUGCUUGCAGAAGUGGGUGCAAAGAUAAAUCAGUCCAUAAGAAUUAUUGUGGUUAUUAAGUUUUUGGCAAUAUAAAAAUUUUUCAGCAAAUAAAAAUUGAUUUUUUCCGAUUUACUAAAAAAUUAAUUAAAAACUUCGGUGAUAGCAUUUUUUAUGGGUGCAUGUACCCUCCCUUUAAAAAAAAUAUAAUAAUUAAUACUUAAUAUAGUAUUAAAUACGAAAAUAUCAAUAUUUGACUACACAAAUUUAUAUCAUUAGGUCCUUAAAAUUUAAAAUUGAAGACACAAAAUGAAAUAUAUAUAAAUUUCAUUCUCACAGGAAAGGAUCCUCUUAUAAUCUUAAAAUAUUUGAGCUUUGAAAGAUUUUUUAAAACAAAUGUACUUUUAUUUUUGUACAAUCAAUAUUUACUUAUUUAUUAUAUUUUUAUUCAUUAACUAUCAAUCAUGUGAGUAUAUUUACUCAGAAAUAUCAUAUCAAGGAAGAAUCUUGAUCCCACGCACACACAAAUAUGUUAAUUUCUAUACGCUUCACUUACCUGUAGAAUCAAUUAUCUAAAAUGCAAGUUUGUGGCCACAAAAAAAGCCAAAGAAAGAAGAUAAUAACAAUUGACUUGUAUAUUAUACUCAUACAAUCCACUCGACAUAAUGAUAUCAUUUUAAUAAGGCAAUGGCUGAUGAUCUCCAUUGAAAAACCAAUUCAAUUUUUUUGCUUCAUUUAACUUUUUGGUUGUUGAAAAUAACCUUAAUUAUCAAAUAAUUGGAGAAAGAGUAAAGAACAUUUAACAAAUUUAUGUGCAAAAAAAAAAAAAAAAAAAGGAGAAGUUGAAGGGAAAGGGUGCUUGCAGAAGUGGGUGUCAAAGAAAAAUCUGUCCAUAAGAAUUAUUGCGGUUAUUUUUUGGCAAUAUAAAAUUUUUAUAGCAAGUAAAAAUUAAUUUUUUCCAAUUUACUAAAAAAUUAACUAAAAACUUCUGCGACAACAUUUUUUAUGGGUGCAUAUACCCGCCCUUUAAAAAAAAAAAUAAUUAAUGCUUAAGUUAGUAUUAAAUACGAAAAUAUCAAUAUUUGACUACUCAAAUUUAUAUCAUUAGGUCCUUAAAAUUUAAAAUUGAAGAUACUAAAGGAAAUAUAUAUAAAUUUCAUUCUCAUGGAAAGGAUUCUCUUAUAAUCUUAUAAUAUUUGAGUUUUGAAAUUUUUUUGAAACAAAUGUAAUUUUAUUUGUGUACAAUCAAUAUUUACUUAUUUAUUAUAUUUUAAUUUAUUAACUAUCAAUCAUGUAAGUAUAUUUAGUCAGAAAAAUUAUAUCGAGAGAGAAUCCUAAUUUCACGCAAACACAAAUACAAGACAAAUAUGUUAAUUUCUAUACUAUUCACUUUCCUGUAGAAUCAAUUAUCUAAAAUGCAAGUUUGUGGCUAUAGAAAACUCGCCAAAGAAAGAAGAUAAUAACAAUUGAGCAUUGAUAGCAAAACUAAUGCAUCAUUUUCUUCUUGACUUGAUGAGAUGGUGCCAUUACAAAACAAUAAUUACCUUAAUUGACGGGCACUGAGUGAUGUGAAUACUACCAGCCAGUUCAUCUCUUCCAGUCUUGCUUAAUCACAAUCACAAACACCACGAGAUUGACAUUUGCAUUAUAUAUAUCUUCAGCAAUCGAAACACCUUGCAUUACCAAAUUAACCGGUAACAAACAAAGCAACCUUUCAUGGAGAGAAACUUUAGUCUCAGUAUGAUCACUGUGUCAUUAACCCACUUCCUGCUUCUUUGCUUGGUUGUUGCAGCAGCAGCAGCAGCAGCAAGCAACAAUAUUACCACAGACCAACAAGCUCUUCUUGCCCUGAAAGAUCAUAUAACUUAUGAUCCAACCAAACUUUUUGCCCAUAAUUGGACCUCGAAUACCUCUGUUUGCACCUGGAUUGGCCUCAGUUGUGAUGUCAAUAGCCAUAGAGUCACAGCCUUAGAUAUUUCUCAAUUCAAUAUACAAGGCACCAUCCCUCCUCAACUUGGAAACCUCUCUUCACUCACAACACUUAAUCUUAGUCGUAAUAAGCUUUCUGGAAGCAUUCCCCCCUCCAUCUACACCAUGCAUACGCUAAAAUUUCUAGACUUCACUGAUAACCUGCUCUCUGGUUCAGUGUCUUCCUCCGUCUUCAACAUGUCUUCAAUAUUAGACAUUCGUUUGACCAAUAACAGACUUUCUGGUGAGCUUCCGAAAAAUAUUUGCAACUAUCUUCCUUACUUGAAAGCCCUUUUUCUGGACAAAAACAAGUUGCAUGGCAAAAUUCCUUCAGCUUUAUCAAAUUGCAAACAACUGCAACAAUUGCAUUUGCAGUUCAAUAAUUUAUCCGGUGCAAUACCGAAAGAAAUCGGCAACUUGACUAUGCUCAAAUGGAUAGAUCUCGGCUACAACAAACUCCACGGUAUGUUUCAUAAUGCUAUCUAAAUAUUUUAAUUUAUCACUUGUUUAUUUUAAUUUCUCACUUGUUAUUUUUCUUGAAUACUUUAGAUAAGAUCUAGUAAGUGAGAUUUUUUGCAUCUAUGUUAAUUUACCAGGUGAGAUACCCCCCGAAAUCGCUAAUCUUCGAAAUCUAGAGGCUUUGGUGCUUGGAAUGAACAACCUAGUGGGUGUGUUACCAGCUACAAUCUUCAACAUGUCAACACUGAAGGUAGUUAUCCUCAUUAAUAACUCUCUCUUCGGAAGUCUCCCAUCAAGAAUAGACCUUUCACUUCCAACUAUUGAGCACCUUAACUUGGCACUUAAUAGAUUUUCUGGAACCAUUCCUAGUUCCAUCACCAAUGCUUCUAAGCUCACCUUUCUAGAGUUGGGAGGAAACACAUUUUCGGGCUUUAUUCCGAACACAAUUGGUAAUUUAAGAAACCUUGAGUGGCUCAGCUUGGGUAAUAACUACUUGACAUCUUCAACCUCAAAAUUGAGCUUUCUUUCCUCUUUGGCAAAUUGCAAGAAAUUAAGAGACAUAGGCUUAACAGGCAAUCCACUCGACGGUAUCCUUCCAAGUUCAAUAGGUAAUCUUUCCAUGUCUUUGAAAACACUUUACAUCGGCAAUUGCAGUAUUAGUGGCAACAUUCCUCAAUCAAUUGGCAAUUUAAGCAACUUAUUGGCCUUAGUAUUAGAAGGCAAUAAAUUGACCGGACCAAUCCCAACUACAUUCGGCCAACUGCAGAAACUCCAAGGCUUAUUUCUUACAUUCAAUAAGUUGGUAGGUUCAUUCCCAGAUGAGCUUUUCCAUCUAGCUAGGCUGGAUAAAUUGGUAUUAUUGGGAAAUAAGCUUUCAGGAUCUAUGCCUUCAUGCUUAAGUAACCUCACUUCUCUGAGAUCUCUCUACUUAGGGUCCAAUAGGUUUACUUCUGUUAUUCCCUCAACUUUCUGGAGCCUAAAAGACAUCUUGUUCUUUGACUUUUCAUCAAAUUUCUUGGUUGGUACUCUUUCUUUCGACAUAGGUAAUUUGAAGGUGCUUCUAGGAAUAAGUUUAUCAGAAAAUAACUUAUCGGGUGAUAUGCCAGCCACAAUUGGAGGGAUAAAAAAACCUUCAAAUUAUGGACCUAGCAUAUAAUAGAUUGGAAGGGCAAAUUCCUGAAUCAUUUGGUGACUUGACAAGUUUGGAGGUUUUGAAUUUGUCAAAUAAUAAAAUCUCUGGGUCUAUUCCAAAAUCCAUGGAGAAACUCUUUUACCUCCGAGAGUUAAAUCUCUCUUUCAAUGAACUAGAAGGUGAGAUUCCUAGUGGAGGAAUUUUUGCCAACUUCACAGCUGAGUCAUUUAUGGGAAAUGAGUUAUUGUGUGGUUUACCAAAUCUUCAAGUCCAACCAUGCAAAGUUAGCAAGCCGAGGACAGAACAUAAAUCAAGGAAAAAGAUACUUCUCAUUGUGAUUGUUUUGCCAUUGAGUAUUGCUCUAACAAUAGCAAUCACUCUACCUCUCAAAUCUAAGCUGAUCGAAUGUGGAAAAAGAAGCACAGUGUUGUCAAAUGAUAGUGUCUUGUCAUCACAAGCAACACUAAGAAGAUUUUCAUACUUAGAACUUUUACAAGCAACAGAUAAUUUUGCUGAAAACAACGUAAUUGGCAUAGGAGGUUUUGGUUCUGUUUACGGUGGAAGACUUGAAGAUGGGAUGAAGAUUGCAAUAAAAGUGUUUCACCAGCAAUGUGCAAGCGCAUUGAAGAGUUUUGAGGCUGAAUGUGAAGUGUUAAAAAAUAUUCGCCAUCGAAACCUUAUUAAAGUUAUCAGCAGUUAUUCAAACAAUGACUUCAAAGCAUUAGUUCUAGAAUACAUGUCCAACGGGAGCUUAGGGGACUGGCUGCAUUCUAGCAAUUAUGUGCUGAAUAUAUUUCAGAGGUUGAACAUAAUGAUUGAUGUUGCAUCAGCUUUAGAACAUCUCCACUUCGAUCAUUCGACUCCUAUUAUUCAUUGUGACUUAAAGCCUAGUAAUGUAUUGUUGGACGGAAAUAUGGUUGCUCAUUUGAGUGAUUUUGGCAUAGCAAAGCUUUUAAGUGGAGAGGAUGAGUCUAUGAUGCGAACAAAAACCCUUGCCACUAUAGGUUAUAUGGCACCAGGUUUGCUUCAAACAACUUUUUUUUUUUAGUUCAUUUUAAAUUUUGCAACUUAUUGAUUUUUACGAUCCUCACAUCAAAAUGUUAUUGAUUAUUUAUCUAAUUUUGAAAUUAAUUUGAUUCAUAGAGUACGGCAUAGAAGGAGAAGUAUCUACAAAAAGUGAUGUUUACAGCUAUGGGAUUAUGUUGAUGGAAACUUUUACCAAGAAAAAACCCACAGAUGAAAUUUUUGUUGGAGAAUUGAGCUUGAAGCGUUGGGUUAAUGACUUGCUUCCUACUUCAUUAGUGGAAGUUGUGGACAAAACUCUGCUAAGUGGAGAGGAAAAACAUUCUGCAGCAAAGGAGCAAUGUCUGUUGUCUAUCUUUAGUUUGGCUCUGGAGUGUACAAUGGAAUCACCGGAAAAGAGGAUUAAUGCAAAAGAUAUUGUUACAAGAUUACUCAAGAUAAGAGACACAUUGAGUAAAAGGAUAGGAAAUUUAAGUUAAUUUCGUUUGCUUUCAUUGAUAGUUAAUUCGAAUUCAUGUAAUAAGUCUAAGAAUCUUAUAUCUUCAAAUUCGCAUUUUAAAAUGCACAAAUGUUUGUGUAUACAUAAUUAGUAAUCGAUUCUCAAGCUUUGGACAUUUAAAAGCACUGCUAAAAGACAAAAUUUUAAUUCACUAUUUUUUUGUCUUUUAAUUUUCUUUAAGUUUUAAUGAUUCCGCAUUUUAAAAUCCUGUGGAACGUGCAUGUAAAAUUCUUUUAUCUUUUAGAGGAAAAUGGGCAAGAGAAGAAGAUUUGGCAAAGGAAUUGCAACCGCAUUUGGAGCUAGUUUUAAUUUUGUCUUUUAAUUCUUUUACACUUGGCUUUUGUUAUUGAUGUUAACUUCGAUGUGUGUGCGUGUGCGACUGAAUUCAACUUACAUGCUAUUGAUGCAGCCACCAAAAAGGGGUGGUCCAUCAUCAAUCAACAAGGUUUAUUAUUAUUAAUUUCCAUAUUGAUUUUCUUAAUUAUAAAUAAUACUAAUGCUAUUUCAUAGUUAUAAAUAUAUUAGAAUUAAUCGAAAUCAUUUUUUAGUGUGGCAUGGCUAAAACUACCUUUUUUUUAUUAUAAGUAAUUACUACUUUCACAUUAAGAAAAAUACUCCUAUUUUUAAGGAAAAGUCAAGUACCUGUAGUUGUGAAGACUCGAGCUCACUCCCUUAUGAUAAAUCUUCAUAUUAAUUACGUAAAUAUCCUCUAAAAUUUUAAAUUAGCUAUUCAAAAUUUGAUGUUAUACGGGUAUUUCAUUUAUUUGAGUAGGGGUUAGGGGUCAAUUGGAUACAAAUUCAAAAUUAUCCUUACUUGAGAAGGUGAUAAAAAUUGGGGAUUUAGUUUGGAUGUCAUUAGCUACAAAUAUUAAACUCAUACAUUUAAUUCAAAAUUAGAGGGCUGAUAUAUGCGCAUCAUCGUCCACGUUAUAGUGACACUGCGUCACCAUUCCACAACCUCUCCAAUGAAAAAUUGACAUGCUUCUUGUGCGCAUCUAAUCAGAAUCUUGAAAAUUAAUCACAAAAUUGUACUUUUAUUAUAAAAAGAAUAAAGAAACUCCAAGAAAAAAAAAAGACUUACAUAAAUAGAUUGAAAAAUCUAGAUUUCAAGUUGUCUAUAUUAGCUUGAUAUUUUUAUUAAUAGUCAUCCUCCCAAAAAAAUUCCAUCAAAAUAUAUUUUAAUUUUAUGUUAAUUCAUAAACUUGAAAAAAUCAUUUUAGAAUUAAUUAAAACAUAAUUUAUUGUUGCUCAAAAAAGGUAGAACUUAGUUAUCAGAAAAAAGUGUCUAAAAUAUAUGUUAAAAAAAAAUCAUGGUUGGUUGGACUGAUUGAAUUUUUUUUUCUUUUUUAAGAAUUAAGACAAUUGGAUGGAUUGAGUAAUAAUAAUACAUAUUUAUUUGGCAAAUGGCAGGGAGGCUUUCGUCUGAUGCAGAUUGAUUAGAGAGAAAAUAUAACAAUUUUAAGCUCGUCAGAUUCGAAGCUGCUUACCUGUCGUGUGGGGAUCACUUCCGUGUCUUAUUUUUCUAGAAAAAUCUGGACCAUUGGAUUUACCAUUAGUCAAUAGAGAAAUGUUGAUCUUGAUUCUUGAUCAAGAUCGAAGUUUGAUUCUAACUAACACGAUAUCAGAUUGCGAAGCAAGCAAAUUGAAAGUCACUUGUUCUAUGGAAGAAACACAAGUUCUAAUAAAACAUUCUCAUAGUAAAGUGAAUUACCAUCCAACGAUCCAACUCAUGUUUUCAAAUUGUAAAUUGCAAAUCGUGUGUUUGCUCCAUUACAGAGUUUCUUCAAUCUGAAAUAGCGAAUCAUUUGUGUUCUAGAUUAAUCGUGGGUCUAUAUCCAAAUCUAAAAAUUGACUAACUUGAUUUCUAUUAAAUUCUUAAUCCUAACAAGAAAAAUUGAAGAUUAAAAACGACUAAUUUGGUACCAUACCACUAUUGUAACAUAGGUAGAUCCUCUAUUAAUUGGAGUAAAGAUUGAAUUAUCUCAUUUAUUAAGGUUUAUCAAAAUCUUGUGUCAAAAUCUAUUAAUGAUAUAGGUUCAAGGAUGAAAAAGUCACUGCAUUACUUUUGAGUUCCCAAAUAGAUGAAUGGAUGUUAUUUUUAGAUUCCGGAGAGUCGAAAAUAUUAAGAUAGGUGCUAAAUCGAAUUAAGUUGUAGAUACGAUAGAAAUGGAUUUGGAGAGAUUGGAAUCCUAGGUAAUCCGGUGCACGUUGUCGUGUUAAAUUCUCGUUGACUUCACGUUGACUGAAGCAUUAUUGGAAGAAACAAGUUUAUUGAUGUGAGGCCUUUGAGGUUGUAAGUGUUAAAUAUGAGAAGAAUACCCACACACCCAUUAUCCUAUUACUCUUAUAUCACAUGAAGAGAAUUCAACAUUUGAUUCACACGGAAAAAAUUUGUGAGGAUUGUGAGGGUUGAUGGAAUAUAAUUUAGAUACAAAGUGUUUUACCAGUGCGAUGCUUCGCAAGUGUUCUUGAAUCAAUAUAAACUCACGUUAUUUUCAUAGUGAUUGUUUCAUGUGCACGUGGAUAUAAUCACAUGUCGAGAUUUUUUUCCUUAAAUUAUGGUCUUAUUUAGUAUUAAGGUGUUAUAUCUUUUAAGGUACAAUUAUUGUUGGAAAAAAGUUGCAUCUAUCAAAUAAAAUUAGUACUAUGUGCUAAAUAUAAUUGUUAAAUAAUAAUUUUGACAAAAUUAGUGAAGUUAUAUAGAUUUUUUUUCAUCAUACAAGCAUAAAAUCAAAUCAACUUAACUUCUAAGUUAUAUAUCGGCUACUUAGGGAUGGCAAUGGAUUGGAUCUGACCCAAGAUCCACGUGAUCCAAAUCUAAUCGGAUCGGAUUUGGGUCAGUUUAAAAUGAAUUUGGAUCGGAUUUGGAUAUUGAUGUGCGGAUCUAAGACGGAUCUGGAGCAGGUCUGGAUCUAUCUUAGUAUCUAAAUCCAUAUCCAUAUCCACCCAUCUUUUAAUUUAAUUUUAUUUUAAAAGUUUCUUAACAAUUGUGGAAUUAUAAUGAUAAUGAAUUUUAUUCAUAGCAUAUUAGUGGUAUUUACCAUGCAUUUAAACUCUUUAAAAUUAAAGGUUAGUUUUGUAAAUUUAAAGACUAGCCAGGCCCAAAGCAUGUACAUGCAAUAUUCAAAUUGCAAGCCAAGUAAUACAACCUGGCAAUUUAUUUUAUUAUAUUGGCCAAAUAAUUUUUAAGGAAUAUAGGUAUUCAUAUAUUUUGUCAAAUAUGGUCAUAAUAAAAAUAAUAAAGGACUGAAUAUAAAUCAUAUUUUAUUUAUAUGUCAUUAUCUAAUAUUAUAAGAAUGAGGGUGGGUGUGUUGUAGAUAUUAGAAUGAUGAAUGAGACAAUAGAAUAUUAGAUUGAUCUUACUCCUGCAAUUACUUUUAAAGGAUAUUUUAUUAUCUUAUUUGUUGUUUUGGUGUAAAAGUAUAAGUUACAAUAUUUAUUAUAUUUUUGAGAAAAAUUAUAUAAUUUAUUUGUUAUCAAUACAUUUUAACCUUCAAUUUUCAUUCUAAAAAAUUAUUACUUUUUAAUUGAUGAGUUUUAGAAUUCAUGACAGAUCUAGAGCAGAUUUGGAUUUUAAUUUUUUUUUUCAGAUUUGGAGCAGAUAUAAAUAUUUAUUUCUUUUAUGGAUAUGGAUAUGGAGCGAAAAAUAUAGAUUCAUGAUGGAUCUGGAGCAGAUACGGAUCUUGAUUUUUAUUAUGGAUUUGGAUCUGGAGCAGAGUAGAUCCAACCCAUAUCUGCCCCAUUGCCAUCCCUACGGCUACUGUUAAUCAUAUGUUUUAGUUCUGUAACUUUUAAGUUAUAGUUACCCAAUCUCAAUUCUAAACCAGACCUAUAAAGAUCAAAGAUUUCCUCAUUAAAUUAUAUGUCUUGUGAUUGCUUAUUUAAUUUAUAUUUUUUUUUAUUUAUCUUUAUUAAUUAUAAUCAUCUUUUUAUAAAUUAAAAUUGAAGGAAGUUGAUUGAUGUUGUUGACACACGCACACACGCACACACUCACAAAGAUAUAUUGGAAGUGCUUACGUCGACUCGAAGUUGUUGGGAAUUAAUGCAUGUAUUGAUUUAUUGGGAGUGUUUAAAUGAUUUUUUGAUUUACUUGAUUUAUUGAUUGAAUAUUGUUUGAUUGCUUCAUAUCCAUUCUAGAAAGUUUAUUUCUUUGUGAAAUUUCAACGAAAUAUGUUUUUUUUUUUAAAUAAGGGUGUUCUAAAUAAUUUAAAAAUAUAUAUGGACUAAUUAGAAUUAAUUAUUAGGUAAUUAACUCAAUCUGUAUAGGGUGAAACAACAUUUAUCCUAAUUAUAUCAUGAUAAAUACUUUUCCUAUUAGAAUUAGGAAAUCAUAGGUUUAUUGAAUUGUUUUUUUUUUUCCUUUGCGGAAACGGAUUAGAGAAUUAGAAAACAAUCAUGUUGAUGUCAAAAUCUGAUCUAGUCGGUUAGCGACUUAAUAUCAUAUUACUGCACCAACAUUAAAUUUAUUGGGUGGAGAAUCGACUGGUCAAUUGUCAAGAUGUCCUGCAAUCACUAGCGAUUAACCUACGAAUACCUAAAAUCACAGAAGACGGUAAGAGGCACCGGAAGUUUUUUCGGCGUGAACCUUCCGACGCUCAAGUCAGUUUAUAGGUUUACCAUAAUAAAAAUAAAUAAUUUCUAUUUAAAAAAAAAUAGAGUUCAAAAGCUCAAAAAUAAAACCCAAUCCCAAUAUGAAAAUGAAUUUUUUUUUUUUUUUUUCUAGCUUGGCCGAAUCCUUCUGCCUCCUAAAGAAACAUAACAGAGAAGCAGGUAGCCAUGUUCCCUAGGUAACGCCCCACUCCCCUCUUUUAUUCCUCCCCCUCUCUUCCGUUUCCUUCUUUUGCUCACUAUCCUUCAUAAUUUUUUAUGCUUGUCUUCCCAAAAUAGCCUUUUAAUACACAAGUAAAUGUCUAGGCUUUGGUGAGGAUAGUUUGGUCAUUGCAUUUUACAAGUAAGAUGAGUGGUGGAGAAAAAUGAGGAGUGCACAUAUAACGCUUCAGCAAAUCCCACCAGCAAUUCCAUUUUCUUAAUUAAUUAAUCUCUUCAGCAAAUCCCACCAACUCUUCAGCAAAUCCUAAUGAUAUUAUUAUCAGGUUUAAAACAGUACACAAAUAGUGAAAAGCUAACUAGUCUGUAGAGUAAUUUGCUAAUUGCUAUCUCCUCUCUCCGCGCGCUGAAUAAUUUGUUGCAUGCAAACUUUUUAUUUUAUGCAAAUCGUACGUACUGUAACAUUGGAAUUGAUGUAAAAGCAAAAAUACAAGAAUAUUUAUGUCAAUAAAAAUAGUUUUUUUGGCCUUUUUAAAUAAACACAACGCGAUAUUGCUCUGCUCUACAUUUUUGCUAUCUCUUUAUUCUUCUUUUUUUUUUUGGGCUUCUUAAAGCCUCAAACUUUGAUAACCAAAACUUCAUCGACCUAUGAAAAAAUCUGCAGAUUAGUUUUUAUUAUCGGAAUAAUCAUUUGAGAAUACUAAAACAAAAUAUAAAUAAGAAAAUAGGAGGUUAAAUUAGAGGGGGGAAAAAAGGUAUGUUGGAUAGAUUACUAUAGUUUAAGAAAAAAAAAUCCAAUUGGGAAUUUUUUUCUUUAAUUUUUGUUUUACUUGAUUGAGAUUUCUCCUUGGUCCUUACAGUUUUAAGUUUGGAUGCCGUAGGGUUAGUAAUUUAGUACUUCCUUUGCAAGCUGAGUGCAAGAAUGAAAAUCUUUAAAGAAAUAAAAAAAAAAAAAAAAAGCAUACCAAUAGGUAAUUAUAAAUAACCAUACAUAAACAUAAACAAAAUGAGGUAAUUAUUAAUAUUAUUUUUUGUUUUAUUUCUUACUUGUCUAUUUUAUUUGCUGCUUGAUAACCCGUAAAUACUAAUCUAGUACUGCUAAUUUCAGACACAAAAUUUUUAACUCUAGGCUGCAGUUUUACUCAAAAUGAUGACCACUGGCUUCGCACCAUUUAACCGGCAUACAUUUCUACAAAUUGAACAAGGCUAUUGAUUUUCAUUAUUAUUUUUUAUUUUUUUAUAAAUUACUAUUUUAAUUUUCACUUUUCAUUGGGUUGUUUAACGGAUUAGUGAAGUUGGUGGUCGUGAUGCACUCACAAGGUACAAUUUUAUUUUAUAAUUUCAAAUUUGUAUUUUAAAAUGCAGGUACAUUAUGUAUACAUAAUUAUUGAUUUUCGUAUGUGGGUGUUUUGAAAUAUUGCUAAAAGACCAAACUUUAAUAAACUAUUUUUCAUCUUUUUUUUUUCCUAAAGUUUAAGUGAUAUCCGCAUUUUAAAUUCAUGUGGAACAAAAGCUAAUGUAUGCACAAAAUCCUUUUAUUUUUUCCGAGAAAAAUGGUUAAGAGAAGAAGAUUUUUCUCUUGAAAAAGAAAAACUAAUACGAUGCAAGCAUAGGAAAGAGGUCAGUGUUUUGGAUUAGAAUUUAGUAUUGAGCUGAAUUUUAUACUAAACUCUUUUAUAGUACUGCGAUUAAUAAACUCAUGAUUUGCUUUUGCUUUUACCUCAAGUGAAAGAAAGAGGAAACCUUUUGUUUUUUGUUUGAUUCUUGACUAUAGGUGUUACCUAUAUAGAGAGUUGAGGUAGCUGCCUUAAGUGAUGGUGAUAAAAAGAUUAAGCAGCGCACACAAUCUUACUGUCGUCCAGACCAUCCAGCUGUGAUGACUCUUGUUUUUUGGUUACAUUAGCUUUAGUGGAACGGAGGGCCAAUUUAACAAAGACUAGAUUUGGUGGCUUACUAUAAUGCUUAUUCUCAGGGAAUCUAAUGUUAUAAGAUGAUUUAAUGAUCUUCUAUGAUUGUGAGUAGUAUAGUAUAAUUGAAAAGAGCUUGGGCUCCUAUGAUGAAUAUUUAAUAGUAACACAGUACUGUUAUUGAAAAAAACACAGUUACAAUAAACUCUUCAUUUAUUCAUUGUGGAGAUUGAAUGGCAAACAGAGAAUAAAAUGAAGCAGAGGAAUCUCAUUGCCAGUAAAAUUGACCCUCUUUAAUGUUAUAUGGCACAGGUGUGUGUACAGCAAGAUCAAGUUACUUGCAGUUUUUAUUGUAAAAUAUAUAGGUUAUGACCAUGAUCAUUGUAGUUAGGUUUUGAUGAUUUUAGAUGCUUUUUUUAUUUUUUUUAAAAUUGUGACACCUUUGAUUUAUGGUAGUUUUGCAGAAGAAAAAAAUAUAUAUAAAAAUUAGGAGGGAUGAGUUAACUAACGAUUGCAAUCAUUACAGUAAUGUUGAUGAGUGAUACAUCAUUUGAAAUUUACUUGUCAGUUGCUGAAAUGAUGAAAAAAAACAGUAAACAAUAGCAGUAAUAUUUUUUGGCAAUAUAAAAAAUUAUUGCGGUUAUUUUUUGGCAAUAUAAAAAAAUUUUAGCAAAUAAAAAUUAAUUUUUUUCCGAUUAACUAAAAAAUUAAUUAAAAACUUCUGCGAUGGCAUUUUUUAUGGGUGCAUAUACCCUCCCUUUAAAAGAAAAAAUAAUAAUUAAUACUUAAUAUAGUAUUAAAUACGAAAAUAUCAAUAUUUGACUACACAAAUUUAAUAGUCUUGUGUAAUUAGUGAGUGAGAGAUUGGGUGUAUUGGAGUUUUGGGUAGUGAGCCAAAAUAUUACAAUACUUGUAAUCUUUAUUUCACUAGUGAAAUAUUUUCCUUCUGUUUUUGCCCGUGGACGUAGGCUAAAAGCCGAACCACGUAAUUUCUGGUGUCCUCUAUUGUACUUGUUCUUUAUUUGCUUCCAAUUUUAUUUUAACUGCGCGUCUGCUUCACCCAUCAAUUUCCUAACAAAUCUUGAUCCCAUGCACACGCAAAUAUGUUAAUUUCUAUACGCUUCACUUACCUGUAGAAUCAAUUAUCUAAAAUGCAAGUUUGUGGCCACAAAAAAAGCCAAAGAAAGAAGAUAAUAACAAUUGACUUGUAUAUUAUACUCAUACAAUCCACUCGACAUAAUGAUAUCAUUUUAAUAAGGCAAUGGCUGAUGAUCUCCAUUGAAAAACUAAUUCAAUUUUUUUGCUUCAUUUAACUUUUUGGUUGUUGAAAAUAACCUUAAUUAUCAAAUAAUUGGAGAAAGAGUAAAGAACAUUUAACAAAUUUAUGUGCAAAAAAAAAAAAAAAGAAGUUGAAGAGAAAGGGUGCUUGCAGAAGUGGGUGUCAAAGAAACAUCGGUCCAUAAGAAUUAUUGCGGUUAUUUUUUGGCAAUAUAAAAUAUUUAUAGCAAGUAAAAAUUAAAUUUUUUCCGAUUUACUAAAAAAUUAACUAAAAACUUCUGCCACAACAUUUUUUAUGGGUACAUAUACCCUCCCUUUAAAAAAAAAAUAAUAAUUAAUGCUUAAUAUAGUAUUAAAUACCAAAAUAUCAAUAUUUGGCUACUCAAAUUUAUAUCAUUAGGUCCUUAAAAUUAAAAAUUGAUGAUACAAAAGGAAAUAUAUAUAAAUUUCAUUCUCAUGGAAAGGAUUCUCUUAUAAUCUUAUAAUAUUUGAGUUUUGAAAUUUUUUGAAGCAAAUGUAAUUUUAUUUGUGUACAAUCAAUAUUUACUUAUUUAUUAUAUUUUAAUUUGUUAACUAUCAAUCAUUUAAGUAUAUUUAGUCAGAAAAAUUAUAUCAAGAGAGAAUCCUAAUUUCACGCAAACACAAAUACAAGAUAAAUAUGUCAAUUUCUAUACUAUCCACUUUCCUGUAGAAUCAAUUAUCUAAAAUGCAAGUUUGUGGCUACCGAAAACUCGCCAAAGAAAGAAGAUAAUAACAAUUGAGCAUUGAUAGCAAAACUAAUGCAUCAUUUUCUUCUUGACUUGAUGAGAUGGUGCCAUUACAAAAAAAAAAGUACCUUAAUUGACGGGCACUGAGUGAUGUGAAUACUACCAGCCAGUUCAUCUCUUCCAGUCUUGCUUAAUCACAAUCACAAACACCACGAGAUUGACAUUUGCAUUAUAUAUAUCUUCAGCAAUCGAAACACCUUGCAUUACCAAAUUAACCGGUAACAAACAAAGCAAUCUUUCAUGGAGAGAAACUUUAGUCUCAGUAUGAUCACUUUGUCAUUAACCCACUACCUGCUUCUUUGCUUGGUUGUUGCAGCAGCAGCAGCCGCAAGCAACAAUAUUACCACAGACCAACAAGCUCUUCUUGCCCUGAAAGAUCAUAUAACUUAUGAUCCAACCAACCUUUUUGCCCAUAAUUGGACCUCGAAUACCUCUGUUUGUACCUGGAUUGGCAUCACUUGUGAUGUCAAUAGCCAUAGAGUCACAGCCUUAGAUAUUUCUCAAUUCAAUCUACAAGGCACCAUCCCUCCUCAACUUGGAAACCUUUCUUCACUUACAACGCUUAAUCUUAGUCAUAACAAGCUUUCUGGAGACGUUCCAUCCUCCAUCUACACCAUGCAUUCGCUAAAAUUUCUUGACUUCACUGAUAACCAGCUCUCUGGUUCAGUGUCUUCCUUCGUCUUCAACAUGUCUUCAAUAUUAGAAAUUCUUUUGACCAAUAACAGAUUUUCUGGUGAGCUUCCGAAAAAUAUUUGCAACUAUCUUCCUUAUUUGAAAGCCCUUUUCUUAAACAAAAACAUGUUUCAUGGCAAAAUUCCUUCUGCUUUAUCAAAGUGCAAACAACUGCAAAAAUUAAAUUUGCAGUUCAAUAAUUUAUCCGGUGCAAUACCGAAAGAAAUCGGCAACUUGACUAUGCUCAAAGGCAUAUAUCUCGAAUACAACAAACUCCACGGUAUGUUCAUAAUACUAUGUAAAUGUUUUAAUUUCUCAAUUGUUAUUUUCUUGAAUACUUUAGACAAGAUCUUGUAAGGGAGAUAUUUUUGGAUCUGUGUUAAUUUGCCAGGUGAGAUACCCCACGAAAUCGCUAAUCUUCGAAAUCUAGAGGAUUUAUUGCUUGGAAUGAACAACCUAGUUGGUGUGUUACCAGCUCCAAUCUUCAACAUGUCAACACUGAAAUUAUUUGACCUCAUAAAUAACUCUCUCUCCGGAAGUCUUCCAUCAAGAAUAGACCUUUCACUUCCAACUGUUGAGUUUUUUGGCUUGGCACUUAAUAGAUUUUCUGGAACCAUUCCUAGUUCCAUCACCAAUGCUUCUAAGCUCACCGUUCUAGCGUUGGGAGAGAACACAUUUUCGGGCUUCAUUCCAAACACAAUUGGUAAUUUAAGAAACCUUGAGUGGCUCAGCUUGGAGAAUAAUUACUUGAAAUCUUCAACCUCAAAAUUGAGCUUUCUUUCCUCUUUGGCAAAUUGCAAGAAAUUAAGAUUCUUAAACUUAGCAGGCAAUCCACUUGACGGCUUCCUUCCAAGUUCAAUAGGUAAUCUUUCUGUGUCUUUGGAAACACUUUUCAUCGGCAAUUGCAGUAUUAGUGGCAACAUUCCUCAAGCAAUUAGCAAUUUAAGCAACUUGUUGACCUUAGUAUUAGAAGGCAAUAAAUUGACUGGACCAAUUCCAAUUACAUUUGGCCGACUACAGAAACUCCAAGGCUUAGAUCUUGCAUUCAAUAAGUUGGUAGGUUCAUUCCCAGAUGAGCUUUGCCAUCUAGCAAGGCUGGAUCAAUUGGUCUUAUUUGGCAAUAAGCUUUCAGGAUCUAUACCUUCAUGCCUAAGUAAUCUCACUUCUCUAAGAUCUCUCUACUUAGGGUCCAAUAGGUUAACUUCUGUUAUUCCCUCAACUUUCUGGAGCCUAAAAUACAUCUUGUUCUUUGACUUUUCAUCAAAUUUCUUGGUUGGUACUCUUUCUUUCGACAUAGGUAAUUUGAAGGUGCUUCUAGGAAUAAAUUUAUCAGAAAAUAACUUAUCGGGUGAUAUGCCAGCCACAAUUGGAGGACUGAAAGAUCUUCAAUUUAUGGACCUAGCAUUUAAUAGAUUGGAAGGCCCAAUUCCUGAAUCAUUUGGUGACUUGACAAGUUUGGAGGUUUUGAAUUUGUCAAAAAAUAAAAUCUCUGGGUCUAUUCCAACAUCCAUGGAGAAACUCAUUUACCUUCGAGAGUUAAAUCUCUCUUUCAAUAAACUUGAAGGUGAGAUUCCUAGUGGAGGAAUUUUUACCAACUUCACAGCUGAGUCAUUUAUGGGAAAUGAGUUAUUGUGUGGUUUACCAAAUCUUCAAGUCCAACCAUGCAAACUUAGCAAGCCUAGGACAGAACAUAAAUCAAGGAAAAAGAUACUUCUCAUUGUGAUUGUUUUGCCAUUGAGUAUUGCUCUAACGAUAGCAAUCACUCUAGCUCUCAAAUCUAAGCUGAUCGAAUGUAGAAAAAGAGGCACAGAGUUAUCAAAUGAUAGUAUCUUGUCAUCAGAAGCAACACUAAGAAGAUUUUUAUACUUAGAACUUUUACAAGCAACAGAUAAUUUUGCUGAAAACAACAUAAUUGGCAGAGGAGGUUUUGGUUCCGUUUAUGGAGCAAGACUUGAAGAUGGGAUGAAGAUUGCAAUAAAAGUGUUUCACCAGCAAUGUGCAAGCGCAUUGAAGAGUUUUGAGGCUGAAUGUGAAGUGUUAAAAAAUAUUCACCAUCGAAACCUUAUCAAAGUUAUCAGCAGUUGCUCGAACGAUGACUUCAAAGCAUUAGUCCUAGAAUACAUGUCCAACGGGAGCUUGGAGGAUUGGCUGCAUUCUAGCAAUUAUGUGCUGAAUAUAUUUCAGAGGUUGAACAUAAUGAUUGACGUUGCAUCAGCUUUAGAAUAUCUCCACUUCGAUCAUUCAACUGCUAUUAUUCAUUGUGACUUAAAGCCUAGUAAUGUAUUGUUGGACGAAAAUAUGGUUGCUCAUUUGAGUGAUUUUGGCAUAGCAAAGCUUUUAAGUGGAGAGGAUGAGUCUACGAUACGAACAAAAACCCUUGCCACUCUAGGUUAUAUGGCACCAGGUUUGCUUCAAACAACUUUCGUUUUUAGUUCAUUUUAAAUUUUCCAACUUAUUGAUUUUUACAAUCCUCACAUCAAAAUGUUAUUGAUUAUUUAUCUAAUUGUGAAAUUAAUUUGAUUCAUAGAGUAUGGCAUAGGAGGAGAAGUAUCUACAAAAAGUGAUGUUUAUAGCUAUGGGAUUAUGUUGAUGGAAACUUUUACCAAGAAAAAACCCACAGAUGAAAUUUUUGUUGGAGAAUUGAGCUUAAAGCGUUGGGUUAAUGACUUGCUUCCUAAUUCAUUAGUGGAAGUUGUGGACAAAACUCUGCUAAGUGGAGAGGAAAAACAUUCUGCAGCAAAGGAGCAAUGUCUGUUGUCUAUCUUUAGUUUGGCUCUGGAGUGUACAAUGGAAUCACCGGAAAAGAGGAUUAAUGCAAAAGAUAUUGUUACCGGAUUACUCAAGAUAAGAGACACAUUGAGUAAAAGGAUAGGAAAUUUAAGUUAAUUUCGUUUGCUUUCAUUGAUAGUUAAUUCGAAUUCAUGUAAUAAGUGUAAGAACCUUAUAUCUUUUACUUUGAUUUUUUUUUUCUUGAGAAAACUGUUGUAGUCAUCUUGUUUCCAUGGGCGGAGUUGAUUUAGUUCUUCCAAGAAAUGCUACUGAUGACAUUUGUUUUAUACUUUCUCUUUUUUUUUGCAUGUGUUUAGGUAGAAUAGUGGUUUGGUUGCACUCUAAGAAGUCUAACUACACUAAAAGAAUAUGAUUUAAUUUAUUAAACAAAACUUCAAGUUCAAGAAAAGUAUCUCAUUGCCCCCAAUGCUUUGGACACCUAUUGGUAGGUUUGUACGUGUCCUCAACUUUUUUUUGGAGCACAAAAUUCGAGUCCCAUAAAGGCUCAAACAUUCCUUUCCUUCAUCCCGAGGGCGCCUUCUGUCCUCUGUUUUCUGUUUCCACACACAAAUAGCAAAAAGAAAUUAGAAUGACAACUGGGACAUAUAUAAGAGUGAAAUAAUUAAAAAAAUUAUGCUUUUUUGUCUGUCGUGUUAAAAUCGUAAGUACCGAAGUACUGUGAAAGAGAUUAAUUUACAGAAACUGAAGCCAAGGGUUCAAAAAAAACUAUUGAUGUAGGUAGAAUGCAAUGUCAUAUUCAUACAGAGAUGAAGUAUAUUAUUUACGGCUGGUAAGGACUAAGAAUUGAUGUAGCUAGAAUGCAAAGAUGAUGAGGUAUGUUGUACACUAUUGUUUUUAUUCUACAAUCAAUCUUGACCCCUGAUGCUUGGCUCUCAAUCUUGUCCAUUGAUCUUCUCUGAUUUUGGAGACUUGAAGACCUUUCAGUAUCAUGCCUUGUUGUUGGUGUCUUCCGUGCUGUAGAAUUCAUAUACAAGUUUUCCCGCCGACUUGCCAAGUAUUUGUUCAUUGAUGCAUUUUAUCAAACAGUUGGCCUGCUCAGAGCAAACAGCUCCUGUUUUAACUCCCCCUCCGUAGCUCAACUAUCUGGGAAGACAAUUAAUUGAGCUUGUUUCACAAUUAUAUGAAUCUGAAAGUUCAAUUAUAUCCUCUAAUGGAGAGAACUCAUUGCCUCAGUAUGAUCACUGUGUCAUCAACCCACUCCCCGCUUCUUUGCUUGGUUGUUGCAGCAAGCAACAAUUUUACCACAGAUCAACAAUAGUUUGUCCAUUUGUUCCAGUGAGGUCGUCAUUAAAAAUUAAUUUUCAUAUUGAUUUUCUUAAUUAUAAAUAAUACUAAUGAUAUUUCAUAGUUAUAAAUAUAUUAGAAUUAAUCGAAAUCAUUUUUUAGUGCGGCAUGGCUAAAACUACCUUUUUUUUUUUUAAGUAAUUACUACUUCAAGGAAAAUACUCCUAUUUUCAAGGAAAAGUCAAGUACCCGUAGUUGUGAAGACUCGAGCUCACCCUCUUAUGAUAAAUCUUCUUAUCAAUUACAUAAAUAUCCUCUAAAUUUUUAGUUAACUAUUCAAAAUUCGAUGUUAUACGGGUAUUUCAUUUAUUUGAGUAGGGGUUCGGGGUCAAUUGGAUACAAAUUCAAAAUUAUCCUUACUUGAGAAGGUGAUAAAAAUUGGGGAUUUAGUUUGGAUGCAUUAGCUACAAAUAUUAAACUCAUACAUCUAAUUCAAAAUUAGAGGGCUGAUAUAUGUGCAUCCUCGUGCACAUUAUAGUGACACGUGUCACCAUCCUACAACCUAUCCAAUGAAAAAUUGACAUGCAUCUUGUGCGCUUCUGAUCAAAAUCCUGAAAAUUAAUCACAAAGUUAUACUUUUAUUAUAAAAAGAAUAAAGAAACUCCAAAAAAAAAAAAAGACUUACAUAUAUAAAUAGUUUGAAUAAUCUAGAUUCCAAGUUGUCUAUAUUAGCUUGAUCUUUUUAUAAAUAGUCAUCUUCGAAAAAAAAUUCCACCAACAUAUAUUUUAAUUUUAUGUUAAUUAAUAAAUAGAAAAAAAUCAUUUUAGAAUUAAUUAAAACAUUAUUUAUUGUUGCCAAAAAAAGGAAGAAUUUAGUGAUAAGAAAAAAGUGUCUCAAAUAUACGUUAAAAAAAUUAAUCAUGGUGGGUUCGAUUGAUUGAAUUUUUUUUUUUAAUCUUUUUCUUUUUUAAGAAUUAAGACAAUUGGAUUGAUUGAGUAAUAAUAAAAUAUAUUUAUUUGGCAAAUGGCAGGUAGGCUUUCUUCUGAUGCAGAUUGAUUAUAGAGAAUAUACAACAAUUUUAAGCUCGUCAGAUUCGGAACCUGCUUAUCUGUCGUGUGGGGAUCACUUCCGUGUCUUAUUUUUCUAGAAAAAUCUGGACCAUUAGGCAGUAGAGAAAUGUUGAUCUUGAUUCCUGAUCAGGAUCGAAGUUUGAUUCUAUCUAACAUGAUAUCAGAUUGCGAAGCAGGCUAGUAUGUAAAUUUCUUUUAUCUUUUAGAGGAAAAUGGGCAAGAGAAGAAGAUUUGGCAAAGGAAUUGCAACCGCAUUUCUAGUAUGUUCUGAUCAGAGAAGCGAAAUCCAUCACGGUCUUUUAUCUUUACCCAUGUGGAGAAAUCAAGGGAUUUCGAAUCAGAGAAGCGAUGGGAUUUAGUUCUGAUCUGGGAUUUUGGAGACUUAGGGAGUGUGCGGUCUUGGACCAACAUUGAUGACGAUGACGCUUCAAAUUCAAUGACUUGAAAGCAGAAAACAAAGACAGACAAAAACAGACAUGCACUACAGCAAGAAAGAUUGACUGAAUCUUGGGUUACUGUGUCUGUGGUCUCAAAUGAAACACAAGUGGGAAGCCUUGCUGCAGUUUCAGCUUUGGUUUGUGUUUGAAGUUUUGAAUGUAAAAAGAGAACCGAGCAUGUGGUUGCCGACAAGAAUGGCCUGAGGUUUCUUAAGCUUCAUUGUAAUGUUACAACUGCUACUAAUUUGGUGGGGUGGGAGGUCGCUGGGUCGCUGUCAGUCCAUUUGCUUCUUUUCUUUCUUUUUGUUAUUUGUUGAGUUUUUUCCAUUUCUACUUUUCUUAAUAUAUAAAUUAUCAUUUUUUUAACAUGCAAAAUAUAUAGAACAUUUUAUGAGUUUAUAAAUAAAAAUUAUAUUAUGGGAUAAUAGUGAAUGAGUUCCUGGUGCUUUGGAGUUCUUUAAAUUAAGGGCCCAGUUUGUCCAUUUGUUUUAGUUAGGUCCUUCUUAAAAAUUGAUUUUCUUAAUUAUAACUAAUACUAAUGAUAUUUCAUAGUUAUAAAUAUAUUAGAAUUAAUCCAAAAUAUUUUUUAGCGUGGCAUGGCUAAAACUACCUUUUUCUAUAAGUAAUCACUACUUUUGCAUUAAGGAAAAUAUUCCUAUUUAAAAAAAAAUUGAAUAUCUAUAGUUGUGAGGACUCGAACUCACUCGCUUAUGAUAAAUCUUUGUUGAUGCGAGAUUCUGGUUACCCACUCGACCACGUCCAGGAUCUCUGCUCAAUCAACUAACUCGACCACGAUCAGGAUCUCUCCUCGUAUGCUUUCUUCUUCAAAAAUUCCUGCGUACACAGAAACAAGUCAGAGCACGCCAGUUGUUUUCCCGGCGUAAACCCUCCGACGCUCAAGUCAGAUAUGAAGGUUUUGUGUUCCUGGGAACGUUAGCCACUAGUCUUAAGCUUUGCUUUUGGUAUCGAUUGCUGAAUGCUCUCUUUAUCUCAAUUUCCGUAUUAAAAGUUAACCCUUUUACCUUCGUUGGCUGCCUUUUUAUAGGCUCCACCUGAGUCCAGAUCCUCCCCUCCAUUCACGCCCGUUACCUUCCCACCUCUCGAAAGUGGAUGCUUUGUUUCCGUAAUCGUGGGUGAUUGCAUGGCCUUCGUGCCUCGAUUCUCAGGCUGGAGAGUACGUCUCGCCAACUGUCGUUGACUGGGUCUCCUCGCCUCAAACCUUAGCAGGAAUGGCUUUAUGCUUCUAACAAGAGACCGGCUUCGCGGAUGGCGUAUUCAUGGACGAGCAGAUAUUCCUGCUUAUGUUCCAAUGCUACCAGACCUCUGCUCAUCACGGCUGGUCUCGUCGAAGUACAUCCCCCAAACACCGGUCCCCCAGUUUCUGGUGUUGGGUAACAUAGUGAGCCAACAGUAGAAACUCGACAGUUCUUGCUCGCGCGAGAUAGGAAAAGACUGCCAAGAGUCGUGUCGCAUUUAAUGGCGGAUGAGGUGAUGUGGCAGAAAUCUACCCCUCCAUUUGAAUUUCAAACCGACGGUUACGAAACCCUAGGGAUUUGUGCCGUUAAAUGCCGGCAGCCCAAGAGUUUGUUCUUCAUUAGGAAAACCCAAAACCCCCAAAAGAGGAACUCGUCUUUUACUCCGUUUCUGUCUCUCCUGCGAAUGAGUCCUUCCUCUCCCUCGGCGUAAAAGCUUCCUUCCUUGUCUCUCUCCGACUAAGUCACAACUUCAGGUACUAUUUCUUUUUUCCUCGGUCGUGGAUAGUUGUAAACAAUUUCUUUUACAUUUUGCUUGGGUAGUGUUUGGUGGUGCAGUUCUGGUUAUAGUUUAGGGAAUGUCGAAAGGUAAGGAGAAAGUCAUUGAGAUUGAUGACGACGAGUUAGACUUCUUGCCUAGUCUGCUCGCCGAUUCUGCUUUCGACACCGGGAUCCCCUUAGAACCCGUUAGACCUAAUGUUGCGACUAGUGCUAGGAGGAUGUCCCCCCAAGUAACCUCCUCAACUGGAAAUAGCGACGACGAGGGUUCUUCUGGUUCGGAAGACACUUUGAGUGAAGAUCAGGGAAAUGAUUCUGGUGAGAUGUCCUCACCAGGAACAUCGUGACCAGAUAGGAGGGGCAUAGUAGGAGGUAGAGCUCUAUCACAGAAUUACACUAUUGAUUUUAUGACGUGCACGACCACAGUAGAUGAGCUAGUUAGUCUCCGGGCUAGAUACGGCAUCCCUGAUGAAAUUUCCCUUAGGAUCCCAGGAAAAAAAGAUACCCCCAGCCGGCCUCCUAGGGGAUAUAUUACUCUGUUUCUAGAGAGUUUUAAACUUGGGCUAAGGUACCCCAUACAACCCUACUUUGCCCGAAUACUCAAUGGGUUGAAUUUAGCUCCUGGUCAACUGAACCCCAAUGGGUGGUGAGUACUUUCUGGUCUGUUCAUAUUGUGAGACAGAUGUUGCCAAAGCGAGCCAACAAUUGACGAGGUGAAGCACCUGUACCAGCUAAAGAGCAGCCCCAAAGAUGUCGGCUGGUAUUACUUCCAGUCUAGUACCAAGACCAGGAAACCCAUAACCGAUCUUCCAACUGGUGGUGGUAGGACUUGGAAGAAAAAAUUCUUUUUUGCUGGGGGUCCCUGGGGUCAAGUUGCACAGAUUGACGAGAAGGAUUACCGUGUCCCACCUCAUUUCGUGGUCCCAGGUUGCCUACUCGCUUAAGAUGUUUUGUCUCCAUAGUCGUUCUCAUUUUGCUGAUUUGUUUCUAAUCCAAAAUCUGUUCGCAUUGCAGGUUCCUGGGGUGUGCACUACCAGCUUAAACCCGAGCCGCUCAAGCGAGUCGAAGCUGUACUGGCCAAUUUCUACACGAACCGAGAGCUGCUAACUACUUUCAAUUUGGUCGAAUCUCGUUUGGUGUCUACCGGCCAUAAAAUGGAGGAUGCUGUGAUCGGGGCUCUGACUCGGAAACGUCCCCAACCUCAUGCUACCAAGCAGGACCAGAAUAAAUAUGCUCCCACUGCGAAGCGGGUGAACAUUGUGCAGCAGGUUCCUCCCUUGAAGACCCUACCACCUCCUUCUGCCAAAGUCGGAGAAACUAGCGGAGCAGCCACCGAUCCCGCUUCCUCUUAUCCUCCAGUCGGGCCGAGAUCUCGUUUAUCUGACAAUCGAGCAAAACAUUUGGUCCCCUAUAUCAACGAGUUCUCUAAACUCGUGAGCAAGAGGGACCUAGAGGACUUUGACGACAGCACCUUGGGUGAGCUGGUGGGGGCCAUGCAAUAUAGCGCUUUCCAUCUCGACUGUAUGGCCACUUACUACAAGGCCAAGGUUGGUCGUUAUGACCGAAAGAUGAAGGAGGACAUUCAAUCGGCCAUGAUCAAAGCUGAUGCUGCCGAGAAGAAAGCAGGGGACUUGAAUCUCGAGAAUUUGAAGUUGAUAGAGCGAGAAUCUCUUGCUCAAGCAAAAGCCAUUACUCUCGAGGAUGAGCUAGCUAAGGUCAAGGAGGAUCUGCAAAGACAGCAGGCUAUGUACGAGGCCCAGCUCGAAUCUCUUCGGGAUUCCCACAAGGUUUAGGUCGAGAACCUGGAGAAGGAAGCUGAUAAUCAAUAUGACCAGGGGCUUCAGCACUCCUAUCAUUGCAUCAUGGCCGUCCUUGGGAAGCAGCAUCCGGAUAUGAAAAUGGACGAGCUUGCUACUGGUGUUGCUCAGCAUAUGGAUGAGGAGGCAGCAAAAGAGGACGCCGAAGAGGUGGAGCCAACUGAGGUUGAGGAGGGAAACACUCCUCCUCGUGCAAUCCUUGCUGAUGUCGCUGAGGCGAGUACCCCCCGAAUGCAACUGGUGAUACCCCCUGCCCCUGAGGUGGACCAGCCAACCAAGGCUGCUCGGCUUACUGACCCGCCGUCCUCUUGAUUGUAUUUUGUGUUGUAGUUGCUUUCUUGAAACGCUAUAUGUUAUGACUAGCAGUUUUUUCUGGUUGUUGAUUAAUAAAUAAGAAUGUUCUCAUUUGCUUUCUCGUCGUAAAUCAUUUUAAGUUUGAGGGUCUACUUGCCUUCUCUUGUACUAGCAGUUCUUGACACGCUUGGCUUCUGGUCUCGCCAUAGAACAUGCUUGUGACUUGGUGAGCCUUUGCAUGCCUUAGAAAUUUUUUCAAUGUUGGGAUUCUGCUCGCCUUCGCUUGGUCGAGCAGAUCUUGGCACGCUUGGCUUUUGGUCUCGCCAUAAAAACAGGCUUUGAAAAUUGGUGAGCCUUUGCAUGCCUUAGAAAUUUUUUCAAUGCUUGGGAUUUUGCUCGCCGUCGCUUGGUCGAGCAGAUCCUGGCACGCUUAGCUUUUGGUCUCGCCAUAAAAUAGGCUUUGAGACUUGGUGAGCCUUUGUAUGCCUUCGAAAUUUUUUCAAUGAUAGGGAUUCUGCUCGUCGUCGCUUGGUCGAGCAGAUCCUGGCACACUUGGCUUCUAGUCUCGCCAUAAAACAGGCUUUGAGACUUGGUGAGCCUUUGCAUGCCUUAGAAAUUUUUUCAAUGCUUGGGAUUCUGCUCGCCGUUGCUUGGUUGAGCAGAUCCUGGCACGCUUGGUUUCUGGUCUCGCCAUAAAACAGGUUUUGAGACUUGGUGAGCCUUUGCAUGCCUUAGAAAUUUUUUGCACAGUUACAAGUGAAUGAAAUUCCUCGACGUUUCAUUAAUUACAGAAUUCAACUUACAUAGGAAUGCAUAGCAACGAGAACAAAUUAAAGUAAUUUUUGAACAUGAGCAAGUCUUACUGGAAAUAUUUCCUGAGGUGCGCUGCGUUCCAUAGGCGUUUCACCUCGUGGCCAUCCGUGCGAACAAGCUUGUAAGCUCCGAGUCCCACUAUCUGCUUGACCCUGUAUAGCCCCUGCCAAUUCGGUCCAAGCACUCCUUGAGUCGAGUCUUUGGUGUUCUGAUUCACUCUCCUUAGCACCCAAUCUCCGACCCUAAACUGCCGUACAUUCACCUUCUGGUUAUAAUACCGAGCAACCCUCUGCUGGUAAAUGGCUAAUCGCUUCGAUGCUUGCUCCCUCUUCUCUACAAGCAAAUUCAGAUUCAAGCACAUCUGCUCGUUGUUAUCUUGCUCAUUGAAAUGAUCUGUCCGGUGCGUGGUCGUUCCUAUCUCGGCUGGUACGACCGCUUCAUGUCCGAAGGCCAAGGCGAACGGUGUUUCUCCAGUUGCUGUUUUGUAGGUUGUCCUGUAUGCCCAUAAAACACAUGAUAGCUCAUCAACCCAUGCUCCAUUUUUUGCUCCAAGCCUGGUUUUCAAAAGCCUCUUGAUCGUCUUGUUGGCUGCUUCUACUUGUCCAUUGGAUUGAGGGUGAGCAAGCGAGCAGUACUUCAACUCUAUCCCGAGGUUCUGGCAGAAAUCCCUGAAACUGUGAUUAUCGAACUGCCUGCCAUUAUCCAUUACCAAGGCAUAGGGGAUCCCGUACCGACAGACCAGGUUUCUCCAUACGAAGUCUGUUGUCUUCUUCUCUGUGAUCUUGCUGAGGGCUUCUACUUCUAUCCACUUCAUGAAGUAGUCUAUUGCUACUAUUCCAUGUGUUGUUGCUCCUCGUCCCCUUGGCAACGGCCCGAUCAGAUCAAUUCCCCACUGAGCAAAUGGCCAAGGGGAGGCUAUAGAGGUGAGCUUCUCUGGUGUUUGGCUGGAGAAACUUGCAAAACUCUGGCAGCUUAAGCAGCUCCUGGUCUUCUCCUGCGCAUCCUGGUGCAUUGUCGGCCAGAAAUAUCCCUGCCUUAGAACCUUAUGGGCAAGGGACCUCCCACCAGAAUGGUUUCCGCAAAUUCCUUCAUGUACUUCUCUCAGUACGUAGUCUGCGUUGUCCUCAUCUAAGCACCGAAGGAACGUGAGUGUAUAUCCUCGCCGAUAUAGCACCCCAUCAAUCAUUGUGUACCUUGAGUCUUGGGCUCUAAUCUUCCGAGCUCGUAGCUUAUCUGGUGGUAACACCCCGUCUCUGAUAUAUGAAAUUAUCGGAUCCAUCCACGAGCCUUUUUGUUCUAUCUGCAUCACCUUCAAAUUCUGCUCGAUGCUAGGGUUGGUUUUCACUUCCAAAGGGACCGUCUUAGGCAUUUUAGGGUCUGCUACAACUGUCAUCCUGGCCAGAAUAUCGGCUCGACUAUUUUGUUCCCUUGGGAUUUGUAUCAACUUAACCGCUUCGAACUUCCUCAUCAUCUGCCUGACUUUCUUCAAGUACUGCUCCAUCUUCUCAUCUCUCGGUUGAAAACUUUCACUGACAUGAUUUGCGACCAGCUGAGAAUAAGUUCUGAUCUUCACCCUAUCUGCUUUCAUUGCCUUAGCCAAUUCCAAACCUGCUAUCAAGGCUUCGUAUUCUGCCUGGUUAUUUGUGGCUGUGAACUCUAACUUUACAGCAUAAGAAAUCUCCUCCCCCUCUGGGUCUUUUAAGACAAUUUCUGCUCCUGAUCCUUGCUCACCUGAUGACCCAUCUACAGACAUCUGCCAUACUCGAGCUUUGCUGCUAUCUGUAGCGGUGUCCAGUUGGUCCAAACAUACUUCAAGCUCCGCGAAUUCUGCUAUGAAAUCGGCCGUUGCCUGAGCCUUUAUUGCUGCUCGGGGUUUGUAAUCUAUGUCGAACUCGCUAAGCUCUAUAGCCCACUUCACGAGCCGACCAGAAGCAUCUGGCUUGUGCAGAGUUUGACGCAAUGGCUGGUUUGUUAUUACCGUGACGGGGAAUGCUUGAAAGUACGGCCUCAGCUUCCGAGCAGCAACCACAAGGGCGAGUGUCCAUUUCUCCACCAAUGGGUAUCUGGUCUCGGCAUCGAGCAGGGUCUUGUUGGUGAAGUAUAUCGGGUACUGAACCCCUUCUUCUUCUCUUACUAGAACAGAACUUGCAGCAUGAUUUGAUACCGCCAAAUAUAAGAACAACCUAUCGUCAUCCCUUAGUGUGGACAGCAAAGGUGCUUGUUGCAAGUACUGCUUCAAGUUCUGGAAGGCUUCUUCACAUUCUGGGGUCCAUUCUGUAUUCUUUCCUCUCCUUAUCACUUGGAAAAAUGGCUGACACUUAUCUGUAGCCUUGGAUAUGAAUCGGCUUAAUGCCGCCAACCUCCCCGUAAGGCUCUGUGUCUCCUUCAGGUUACGAGGUGACCUCAUCUGCACGAUCGCCUGGAUCUUCUCAAGAUUUGCCUCGAUCCUGCUCGAACAUGGGGAUUUGGUUGUAUCCCGAGAAUGCGUCCAUGAAGCUGAGCAAGCCAUGUCCGGCUUUUAAGUCUACAAGCUGGUCAAUCUUUGGUAAUGGAAAGCUGUCUUUCGGGCACGCCUUGUUGAGGCCCGUGAAAUCCACACACAUCCUCCACUUGCCAUUAGCCUUUUUUACUAACACCACAUUCGAUAUCCACUCGGGAUAAUUGACUUCCCGAAUGAACCCUGCUUUCAAGAGCUUCUCCACCUCGCCGUUUAUAGCCUCAUACCUCUCCUGGUUGAAGCACCUCCUUUUCUGCCUUACUGCCCGAGCACCUUUCUUUAUUGCCAGUUUAUGACAUGCGACCUAAGGGUCGAUUCUUGGCAUGUCUUCAUGUGUCCAAGCAAACACAUCUGCAUGAGCCCGCAAGCAUUGCACCAACUCCUGCUUCUGCUAUUCUUUAAGCCUCAACCCAAUUCGGAUCGUUUUUCCCAGAUCCUUUGGUCCUAGGCUCACUGUCUUCAACUCCUCUACAGGUUCUUGUCUACCAGUCUUGGUUCCCACUCGGGUAUCAAGGGAUGUUAUCUGCAUUGCUUCCCUUGCUGACGAGGAGUAAUAGCUUCGUGCGAUUCUCUGGUCUCCUCAUACCACUCCAACUACCCCAUUCACCCGGUACUUGAGAGCUAGAUAAUGGUUGGAUGACACCGCUUUACUCAUCCUCAGAAAUGGUCGACCUAGGAUCAUCUGGUAAGGACCCUCUUCAUCGACUACCAAAAAAUCCAGCAUCAUAGUCCUUUCUGUCGGGGAGCUUCCAAUCGUGAUAGGCAGCUCAACCACGCCCAGGGGGACCAGCUUUCCUCCUCCAAAUCCCUUCAAGGAGGUAUUGGUGUGCUCCAACCUCAGGUCUGUUAUUCUCAUCUCCUCCAGAGUUGACUUAAACAACACAUCAACUGAGCUCCCUGUGUCAACCAGUAUCCGGUCAAACUUCUUGCUGGCGACGGUGGCCUUGAUGACUAAGGCAUCCUUGUGUGGGUAUAGAAUCCCUUAUUCAUCCUCAUCUGUCCACAUGAUUGGCACUUGUCAGACUCUUGCUCGUUUGGCUGCUGGGGUGUUGAAGAACACAUCUUUACUAGUCAUGGCAAAUUUAGCAUAAUUUUUCCUCGAUCUGUUGGAAUCUCCGGCCAACGUUGGACCCCCUAACAAUCACUCUUACUAUAGGCUGCCUGUGGCUCAAGUUCCUGUUACCCUGCUCCUCUUCACAUAUCGGGGCCACCGUCGGAAAAGUCCCAUCGAUAAACUCGUCCAGGUAUCGAUUUCUCACCAAAUCUUUAACCUGGGUCUUAAGGUCUCUUCAUUCUAUUGUGGUAUGGCCAUGAGUACCAUGGAACUUGCAAUAGUGCCCCUAUCCCUUCUGCUGGGUAGCUUUGUUAUUGGGGCUGGGAGGUACAGUAAUCCCCAGUCCUUUAUGGCCUCACAGACUUCGUCCAGUGGGAUAUUCAAGGAAGUAUACUGCCCAUAGUCCUGGUUCUGGUCGAUCAUAUGCACUGCCCUUUCUCUGUUUGUGCCAUUCUGAGUUGGAGGUGGUGGCAGCGCUUCUGGUCUGCUCCCCCUACUACCAUGGGGGUGUGGGUGAAGGUGACCGUAUGUCGCGUCAUGCCUUCUCCUAGGCUCCCUAGCUGGUGAGCGAGAAGGUUGCGCCCUGCUGUGCUGAUACUGUGGUGGCCUCUAAUGAGGUUGGUAAGCGGUUACCCGACCUCUUGUACCACUACCUAAGGCAUGGUGGUCCCUCCUCUUAAUCGGCCCAUUUCCUGGUACGGCUCUCUUCUCUUUCCUCUUUAAUCCUUCCAGCUGGUCUGUCUUAAUCCGUGCCGCCUUUUCCUCCUCUAUUUCUAUGUCUCUCUUAGCCUGCUCGUAAGCAACUGAAUAUGUCUGAAUAACUGGGCUUCUCAAGUUAUAUCACAUCCGUCUUAUCUUCACUCCUUCUUUCAAUCCCCUUAAUGCCUGAGGAUGGUUGAAGGCUCCCAAGUCGAGGACAGCACGGUGGAACCUUUUGAUGAAUUCCCGAAGGGUUUCCUCCUCUCUCUGCUUCAUGCUCGUUAACUCCAUCAUAUCAUCUUCCGGUGCCAUUACCCCACGAAACUGCUCUGCAAAUUCCUGGCACAUCUGCUCGAAGGCUUUAAUGCUCCCUCGAGGAAGUUUCCUGUACCACUCGCGUGCUCGUCCCUCUAGAGAUAGUGGGAACACCCUGCAUCUUUGGGCUUGAGAUAGUCCUUGCACCCCGGUCAUGUUGUUGAAGCGCUCUAUGUGCACCAACGGAUCAGUUCGCCCCAAAUAUCUGAGGUCUGGGAGGCGAAAAUCUCUUGAAAUGACUGCCCUCAUGAUCUCUGCCGAGAGCGGGGUUUCUCCGUCCAGCAUUAUCCUCCAACCAGGUGCUCUACUCCUUCCUUGCAUAUCAUCAAUUACUUGCGCUAGUUUGCGCACUUCCUUCUCUAGCUGCAUUGCACGACCAGGGUCACGUGCUGUAACUUGAUCCCGCUCUUUCUCUACAUCAUGUAAGUAUUGCCUGAGCUCUGUUUCCUCUGCAUUCACCACCCCAUCAUCCUCAUCAAAAAUCUAUCUUCUUGGGGAUUGCUCUUCUUCUCUAUGAAUUCCUCCCCGUAAAGAUAAGUUACCUCUCUCACCACCAAAUCUCCUGGUGGUCUGACUUCUCAUCAUACCAUCGUGCCCUGGUGCCACUCUGCCACCUCUCACCCUUUUCUCAUGGGUUCCCCUUCGUUCACUCCUUAGUUCAUGUAGGAUGGUUGUCAGGGUCUCCAUCUGCUUUUCCAUCCGUUCCAUUCGGUCAUGCAUGGCUUUUUCCCGUGCUUCAAUGGCUAUCUCCCUUAACGUCAUGGAUUCGUUAAGCCUCAUAUCACCUCCUUGUGCACUACUUCCUCCUACAUCCAUUGUUUCUUCUCUUGCUUUGUUUUUCCUUUCUCUGUCAACAGAAGUUUUUUUAUCAGCUCCCUACAGACGGCGCCAAAAUGUUGAUGCGAGAUUCUGGUUACCCACUCGACCACGACCAGGAUCUCUGCUCAAUCAACUAACUCGACCACGAUCAGGAUCUCUCCUCGUAUGCUUUCUUCUUCAAAAAUUCCUGCGUACACAGAAACAAGUCAGAGCACGCUGGUUGUUUUCUCGGCGUAAACCCUCCGAUGCUCAAGUCAAAUAUGAAGGUUUUGUGUUCCUGGGAACAUUAGCCACUAGUCUUAAGCUUUGCUUUUAGUAUCGACUGUUGAAUGCUCUCUUUAUCUCAAUUUCUGUAUUAAAAGUUCUAACCCUUUUACCUUCGUUGGCUGCCUUUUUAUAGGCUCCUCCUGAGUCCAGAUCCUCCCCUCCAUUCACGUCCGUUACCUUCCCACCUCUCGAAAGUGGAUGCUCCGUUUCCGUAAUCGUGGGUGGUUGCAUGGCCUUCGUGCCUCGAUUCUCGGGCUGGAGAGUACGUCUUGCCAACUGUCGUUGAUUGGGUCUCCUCGCUUCAAACCUUAGCAGGACCAUUAUGCUUCUAACAGGAGAUCGGCUUCGCGGAUGGUGUAUUCGUGGACGAGCAGAUAUUCCUGCUUCUGUUCCCAUGCUACCAGACCUCAGCUCAUCACGGCUGGUCUCGUCGAAGUACAUCCCCCAAACAAUCUUCAUAUUAAUUACGAAAAUAUCCUCUAAAUUUUAACUUAACUAUUCAUAAUUCAAUGUCAUUCGGAUAUUUCGUUUAUUUGAGUAGGGAUUAGGGGUCAAUUUGAUACAAAUUCAAAAUUAUCCUCAUUUGCGAAGGUGAUAAAAGUUAGGGAUUUAGUUUGGAUGUCACUAGCCACAAAUAUUAAACGCAUGCAUCUAAUUCAAAAUUAGAGGCAUUAUCGUUAUAUUGACAUGUGUCACCAUCCCACAACCUCUCCAAUGAAAAAUUGACAUGCAUCUUGUGUGCUUCUUAUCAAAAUCCUGAAAAUUAAUCACAAAAGUUAUAUUUUUAUUAUAAAAAGAAGAAAGAAACUCCAUGAGUGAAGAAAAAAAAAAAAGACUUACAUUAAUAGUUUGGAUAAUCUAGAUUUCAAGUUGUCUAUAUUAGCUUGAUAUUUUUAUAAAUAUCAAGAUUUCAAGUUGUCUAUAGUAGCUUGAUAUCUUCUAAAAAAAACUCCAUCAACAUAUAUUUUAAUUUUACGUUAAUUAAUAAAUAGAAAAUCCAUUUUAGAAUUAAUUAAAGCAUUAUUUAUUGUUGCCAAAGAAGGAAGUAUUUAGCGAUAAGAAAAAAGUGUCUCAAAUAUAUGUUUAAAAAAAAAUAAUCAUGGUUGGUUGGACUGAUUGAAUUUUUCUUUUCUUUUUUCUUUUUUAAGAACUAAGACAAUUGGAUUGAUUGAGUAAUAAUAAAAUAUAUUUAUUUGGCAAAUGGCAGGUAGGCUUUCUUCUGGUGCAGAUUGAUUAGAGAGAAUAUAUAACAAUUUUAAGCUCGUAAGAUUCGGAACCUGCUUAUCUGUCGUGUGGGAAUCACUUCCGUGUCUUAUUUUUCUAGAAAAAUCUAGACCAUUGGAUUUACCAUUGGGCAGUAGAGAAAUGUUGAUCUUGAUUCCUGAUCAGGAUCGAAGUUUGAUUCUAUCUAACAUGAUAUCAGAUUGCGAAGCAAGCUAGUUGUGAGUAACUUGUUCUAUUUUGAUGGAAGAAACACAAGUUCUAAUAAAAAAUUCUAAGUAUACAUUUUUUUUUUUAAUUUUUUUAUUGUGAUCAAUAUAACUAGUCAAAUCUAUUUUUAAACAUUUUUUUUAAAUAUUUUGUUAACAAUGAUAUGAAAAUAUUCGAACCCCUCCUCAUAUAGUAAAGUGAAUUACUAUCCAACGAUCCAACUAACGUCUUCAAAUUGUAAAUUGCAAAUCGUGUGUUUGCUCCAUUACAGAGUUUCUUCAAUUUAAAAUAGAGAAUCGUUUGUGUUCUAGAUUAAUCGUGGGUCUAUAUCCAAAUCUAAAAAUUGACUAACUUGAUUUCUAUUAAAUUCUUAACCCUAACAAGAAAAAUAGAAGAUUAAAAAUGACUAAUUUGGUUUCUAUUAAUUUGAGUAACGAUUAAUAUUUAUCAUUCAAUAGUCACUUAUAUUAUCAAAAUCUUGGGUCGAAAAUAUUAGGAUAGGUGAUAAUUGGAAUUAAGUUGUAGAUAAGAUAGAAAUGGAUUUGGAGAGAGAUUGGAAUCCUGGGUAAAUCCGGUACACGUUGGUGUGUUAAAUUCUCGUUGACUUCACGUUGACCGAGGCAUUAUUGGAAGAAACAAGCAAGCUUAUUUUCUUCUCUCAUUUUUAACCUUUGUCUAAAUUUAUUGGUGUGAGGCCUUUGAGAUGGUAAAGUGUUAAAUCUGAGAAGAGUACCCACACUAUUACUCUUAUUUUAUCACGUUUUAUCACAAUAUUACUCUUAUAGUCAAUGUUUGAUUCGCACGAAAAAAAAUUUGCGAGGAUUGUGAGGGUUGAUGCAAUAUAAUUUAGAUGCAAAGUGUUUACAAGUGCGAUGCUUCGUAAGUGUACUCGAAUCAUUAUAAACUCACGUUAUUUUCAUAGUGAUUAUUUCAUUUGCACGUGAAUAUAAUCAUAUAUGUGGAGAAUUUUUUUUCCUAAAUUAUGGUCUUAUUUAGUAUUGAGAUGUUAUAUCUUUUAAAUUAUAAUUAAUAUUAGUAAAAAAACUGCAACUAUAAAAUAAAAGUUAAUAUUAUGUCCUGAAUAUAAUUGUUAAAUAAUAAUUUUGACAAAAUUAGUGAAGACAUACAGAUUUUUUUAUCAUAUAAGUGUAAAAUUCUAUCAACUUAGCUUUUAAGUUAUACAGCAUCUAUUGUUUACCAAAUACUUUAGUGUUGUAACUUUUAAGUUAUAACUGUCUAACCUUUAACCUCAAUCUCAAACGAGGCUUAUAAAGAUCAAGGAUUUCCUCAUAAAAAUUAUUACGUCAUGUGAUUGCUUAUUUAAUUUAUAUUUUCGUCAUUUAUCUUUAUUAAUUAAACAUGCACAUAUUAUUUCCUUUUAUUUUCUGCUUGGUAACCCGUAAAUACUAAUCCAGUACUACUAAUUUCAGACAGAAAAUUUUGAACUCUAGGCUGCAGUUUGACUCAAAAUGAUGGUCACUGGCUUCGCACCAUUUUACCGGUAUACAUUUCUACAAACUGAACAAGGCUAUUGAUUAUUAUUAUUAUUAUUUUAAUUUGUUUAUAAAUUACUAUUUUAAUUUUCACUUUUUAUUGGGUUGUUUAACGGAUUGGUGAAGCUGGUGGUCGUUGAUGCACUCACAAGGUACAAUUUUAUUUUAUAAUUUCAAAUUCGUAUUUUAAAACGCAGGUACAUUAUGUAUAUACAUAAUUAUUGAUUUUCGUAUGAGGGUGUUUUGAAAUAUUGCUAAAAGACCAAACUUUAAUAAACUAUUUUUGAUCUUUUUUUUUUUUCCUAAAGUUUGGGUGAUAUGCGCAUUUUAAAUUCACGUGGAACAAAAGUUAAUGUAUGUAUAAAAAUUCUUUUAUUUUACUGAGCAAAAUAGGCAAGCGAAAAAGUUUUGGCAAAUGAGUUGCAACUGAAUUCAAAACCAAUACAAUGCGAGCAUAGGAAAGAGGCCAGUGUUUAGGAUUUGAAUUUAGGUAGCGUUUACUUUUUGGAUUGGAUUGGGAAUCCUGGGGAGUGGGAAUCCUAGGAUUGAGAGUGUGGAGUGGGAGUGGGAGUAGGUUGUUUACUUACACUGGAAUGGAAGCAUGGAAUGGAGAUCAGAAUCCAAUUUAUGUGUUUACUUUGUCUUGGAUUGGGAGUAAAUAGUUUCAAAUUACAAUUUUAUCCUUAUUUAAAGAAUUAUAAUUUUAAUUACAAAACUAAUAAAAUAUAUAUUUAAUGAAUAAUAUUUAUUUUAUUAUAUUUGUAAAUUUAUUAUAAUUAUUAAUAUUCUUAAUUAUGAACAAUAAAUUAUUAAUUGUAAUUUUAAUAUAAAAUGAAAUGUUAUUUUAUUUAAUAUAAUUAUAUUAAAUUUAUUAUUAUAUAAAAUAAUAAUAUAAUAUUAUUUAGUACAAAAUUAAUAUUUUCUUAGAAUAAAGUAUUUAUUAUUAUUAUUAAAUAAAAUAUAGUACUAUUAUUUUUAAAAUAAAUAUAAUAAUAUUAUAUUUAUUAAUUCUCUAUUAAUAUAAUAAUAUUAUUUUAAAAUAAUUUUAACUUAGAAUCAAUGUAAAUUAUUAUUUAGUUAAAUAUAAUAUUAUUAUUUAAAUAAAUAUAAUAUUAUUAUUUAAAUAAAUAUAAUAUUAUUUAUUUUAUUUUAUUAAUUAUAAAACAUAAAAUAAAAAAAAAAAGGGUAGAAAUGGGAGAGGUGGGAGUGGAUUCCCACUCCCACCUCCCCCAAUGGGAGUCCCACUCCCACUCCCCACUCCAAAAAUGGGUGGGGCCCACGGAGUGGGACUCCCAAUUCCUUCUCAUUUUAAGUAAGUAAACGCUGGAGUGGGAGGAAUCCACACUCCUCACUCCCACUCCAGCAAGUAAACACAACAUUAGUAUUAAGCUGAAUUUUAUGGUAAGCUCUUUUAUAGUACUGUGAUUGAUAAGCUCAGCCCCGGAUUUGCUUUUGCUUUUGCUUUUACUUCAAGUGAAAGAGAGAGGAAACCUUUUGUUUUUUUCUUUGGUUUUCAACUAUGUUACCUAUACAAAGAGUCAAGAUACCUGCCAUAAGUGAUGGUGUUAAAAAGAUUAAGCAGCGCACACAAUCUUACUGUCGUCUAGACCAUCCAGUGAUGACUCUAGUCUUUUGGUUACGUUAGCUUUAGUUGAAAGAAGGGCCAAUUUAACAAAGACUAGAUUUGAUGGCUUACUAUGUUUAAUGUAAUGCUAAUUCUCAGGGAAUCUAAUGUUAUAACUUAUAAGACGAUCUCCUAUGAUGAAUAACAGUAACACAUUACUGUGAUUGAGAAAACUCAGUUACAAUAAACUAUUCAUUUACUCAUUGCGGAGAUUGAAUAGCAAAUAGAGAAUAGAAUGAAGCAGAGGAAUCUCAUUGCCAAUAAAAUUGACCCUCUUUAAUGUUAUAUGGCACAGGUGUGGAGGAAGAACAAGUUACUUGCAGUUUUUAUUGUAAAAUAUACAGGUAUGACCAUGAUCAUUACAGUUGGGUUUUGAUAAUUUCAGAUGCUUUUUAAAAAAAAAAAAAAUUAUGACAUCUUUGAUUUACGGUAGUUUUGCAGAAAAAAAAAUAUAAAAAUUAAGAGGGAUGAGUUAAACUGACGAUUACAAUCAUUCCAGCAAUGCUGAUGAGUGAUACAUCACUUGAAAUUUACUUGUCAGUUGCUGAAAUGAUGAAAAAAAAACAAUAAACGAUAACAGUAAUAAUGUUCCGUUGCUGAAAUUCAAUUUUGACUUUCUACUCUUGGCUUUUAUGGAAAGUAAAAUGACUUGUAUAUUAUCCUCAUACAAUCCACUCUACAUAAUGAUAUCAUUUUAAUAAGGCAAUGGCUGAUGAUCUCCAUUUAAAAACUACAUCAUUUUUUUUGCUUCAUUUAACUUUUUGGUUGUUGAAAAUAACCUUAAUUAUCAAAUAAUUGGAGAAAGAGUAAAGAACAUUUAACAAAUUUAUGUGCAAAAAAAAAAAAGGAGAAGUUGAAGAGAAAGGGUGCUUGCAGAAGUGGGUGUCAAAGAUAAAUCGGUCCAUAAGAAUUAUUGUGGUUAUUUUUUUGGCAAUAUAAGAACUUAUGCGAUAGCAUUUUUUAUGGGUGCAUAUAACCUCCCUUUAAAAAUAUAUAUAAUAAUUACUGCUUAAUAUAGUAUUAAAUACAAAAAUAUCAAUAUUUGACUACUUAAAUUUAUAUCAUUAGGUCCUUAAAAUUUAAAAUGGAAGAUAUGAAAGGAAAUAUAUAUAAAUUUCAUUGUCCUGGUAAAGGGCCCUCUUAUAAUCUUAUAAUAUUUGAACUUUGAUAGAUUUUUUGAAACAAAUGUACUUUUAUUUGUGUACAAUCAAUAUUUACUCAUUUAUUAUAUUUUAAUUUAUUAACUAUUAAUCAUGUAAGUAUACUUAGUCAGAAAAAUUAUAUCAAGAGAAAAUUCUAAUUUCACGCAAAAACAAAUACCAAAACAAAUAUCUCAAUUUCUAUACUAUUCACUUUCCUGUAGAAUCAAUUAUUUAAAAUGCAAGUUUGUGGCUACAGAAAACUCGCCAAAGAAAAAAGAUAAUAACAAUUGAGCAUUGAUAGCAAAACUAAUGCAUCCAAUUCUUCUUGACUUGAUGAGAUGGCGCCAUAACGUAGACACAAGUACCUAAAUUGACCGGCACUGAGUGAUGUGAAUACUACCAGCCAGUUCAUCUCUUCCAGUCUUGCUUAAUCACAAUCACAAACACCACGAGAUCGACAUUUGCAUUAUAUAUAUCUUCUGCAAUCGAAACACCUUGCAUUACCAAAUAAGCCCGUAACAGACAAAGCAAUCUUUCAUGGAGAGAAACCUUAGUCUCAGUAUGAUCACUGUGUCAUUAACCUACUGCCUGCUUCUUUGCUUGGUUGCUGCAGCAGCAGCAGCGGCAAGCAACAAUAUUACCACAGACCAACAAGCUCUUCUUGCCCUGAAAGAUCAUAUAAUUUAUGAUCCUACCAGCCUUUUAGCUCACAAUUGGACCUCGAAUACCUCUGUUUGUACCUGGAUUGGCAUCACUUGUGAUGCCAAUAGCCAUAGAGUCAAAACCUUAGAUAUUUCUCAAUUCAAUCUACAAGGCACCAUCCCUCCUCAACUUGGAAAUCUCUCUUCACUCACAACACUUAAUCUUAGUCAUAACAGGCUUUCUGGAAGUGUUCCCUCCUCCAUCUACACCAUGCAUACGCUAAAAUUUCUUGACUUCACUGAUAACCAGCUCUCUGGUUCAGUGUCUUCCUUCGUCUUCAACAUGUCUUCAAUAUUAGUAAUUCGUUUGACCAAUAACAUAUUUUCUGGUGAGCUUCCGAAAAAUAUUUGCAACUAUCUUCCUUAUUUGAAGGCCCUUUUCUUAAACAAAAACAUGUUUCAUGGCAAAAUUCCUUCUGCUUUAUCAAAGUGCAAACAACUGCAACAAUUAAAUUUGCAGUUCAAUAAUUUAUCCGGUGCAAUACCAAAAGAAAUCGGCAACUUGACUAUGCUCAAAGGGAUAUAUCUCCUCUACAACAAACUCCACGGUAUGUUCACAAUACUAUAUAAAUAUUUUAAUUUAUCACUUAUUAUCUUUCUUGAAUAAUUUAGUUAAGAUCUUGUAAGAGAGAUUUUUUGCAUCUACGUUAAUUUACCAGGUGAGAUACCCCACGAAAUCGCUAAUCUUCCAAAUCUAGAGGCUUUAGCGCUUGGAAUCAACAACGUAGUUGGUGUGUUACCAGCUCCCAUCUUCAACAUGUCAACACUGAAGGUACUUAUCCUCAUAAAUAACUCUCUCUCCGGAAGCCUUCCAUCAAGAGUAGACCUUUCACUUCCAACUGUUGAGCAACUUAACUUGGCACUUAAUAGAUUUUCUGGAACCAUUCCUAGUUCCAUCACCAAUGCUUCUAAGCUCACCUUUCUAGAGUUGGGAGCAAACACAUUUUCGGGGUUUAUUCCAAACACAAUUGGUAAUUUAAGAAACCUUAAGUGGCUCGGCUUGGCUAAUAACUCCUUGACAUCUUCAACCUCAAAAUUGAGCUUUCUUUCCUCUUUGGCAAAUUGCAAGAAAUUAAGAUUCGUAAACGUAAUAGGCAAUCCACUGGACGGCUUCCUUCCAAGUUCAAUAGGUAAUCUUUCUGUGUCUUUGGAAACACUUGGCAUCGGCAAUUGCAGUAUUAGUGGCAACAUUCCUCCAGCAAUUAGCAAUUUAAGCAACUUGUUGACCUUAGUAUUAGACGGCAAUAAAUUGACUGGACCAAUCCCAACUACAUUCGGCCAACUGCAGAAACUCCAAGGCUUAGAUCUUGCAUUCAAUAAGUUGGUAGGUUCAUUCCCAGAUGAGCUUUGCCAUCUGGCAAGGCUGGAUCAAUUGGUCUUAUUUGGCAAUAAGCUUUCAGGAUCUAUACCUUCAUGCUUAAGUAACCUCACUUCUCUAAGAUCUCUCUAUUUAGGGUCCAAUAAGUUUACUUCUGUUUUUCCCUCAACCUUCUGGAGCCUAAAAGACAUCUUGUUCUUUGACUUUUCAUCAAAUUUCUUGGUUGGUCCUCUUUCUUUAGAUAUAGGAAAUUUGAAGGUGCUUCUAGGAAUAAGUUUAUCAAAAAAUAAUUUAUCCGGUGAUAUCCCAGCCACAAUUGGAGGACUGAAAGAUCUUCAAUUUAUGGACCUAGCAUAUAAUAGAUUGGAAGGCCCAAUUCCUAAAUCAUUUGGUGACUUGAUAAGUUUAGAAGUUCUGAAUUUAUCAAAUAAUAAAAUCUCUGGGUCUAUUCCAACAUCCAUGGAGAAACUCUUUUACCUCGGAGAGUUAAAUCUCUCUUUCAAUAAACUAGAAGGUGAGAUUCCUAGUGGAGGAACUUUUGCCAACUUCACAGCUGAGUCAUUUAUGGGAAAUGAGUUUUUGUGUGGUUUACCAAAUCUUCAAGUCCAACCAUGCAAAGUUAGCAAGCCGAGGACAGAACAUAAAUCAAGGAAAAAGAUACUUCUCAUUGUGAUUGUUUUGCCAUUGAGUAUUGCUCUAACAAUAGCAAUCACUCUAGCUCUCAAAUCUAAGCCGAUCGAAUGUGGAGAAAGAAGCACAGUGUUGUCAAAUGAUAGUAUCUUGUCAUCACAAGCAACACUAAGAAGAUUUUCAUACUUAGAACUUUUACAAGCAACAGAUAAUUUUGCUGAAAACAGCAUAAUUGGCAGAGGAGGUUUCGGUUCCGUUUAUGGAGCAAGACUUGAAGAUGGGAUGAAGAUUGCAAUAAAAGUGUUUCACCGGCAAUGUGCAAGCGCAUUGAAGAGUUUUGAGGCUGAAUGUGAAGUGUUAAAAAAAAUUCGCCAUCGAAACCUUAUCAAAGUUAUCAGCAGUUGCUCGAACGAUGACUUCAAAGCAUUAGUCCUAGAAUACAUGUCCAACGGGAGCUUAGGGGAUUGGCUGCAUUCGAGCAAUUACGUGCUGAAUAUUUUUCAAAGGUUGAACAUAAUGAUUGACGUUGCAUCAGCUUUAGAAUACCUCCACUUCGAUCAUUCAACUCCUAUUAUUCAUUGUGACUUAAAGCCUAGUAAUGUAUUGUUGGACGAAAAUAUGGUUGCUCAUUUGAGUGAUUUUGGCAUAGCAAAGCUUUUAAGUGGAGAAGAUGAGUCUACGAUGCGAACAAAAACCCUUGCCACUAUAGGUUAUAUGGCACCAGGUUUGCUUCAAACAACUUUUUUUUUUAAGUUCAUUUUAAAUUUUCUAAAUCAUUGAUUUUUACGAUCCUCAUAUCAAAUUGUUAUUGAUUAUUUAUCUAAUUGUGAAAUUAAUUUGAUUCAUAGAGUAUGGCAUAGGAGGAGAAGUAUCUACAAAAAGCGAUGUUUACAGCUACGGGAUUAUGUUGAUGGAAACUUUUACCAAGAAAAAACCCACAGAUGAAAUUUUUGUUGGAGAAUUGAGCUUAAAGCAUUGGGUUAAUGACUUGCUUCCUAAUUCAUUAGUGGAAGUUGUGGACAAAACUCUGCUAAGUGGAGAGGAAAAACAUUUUGCAUCAAAGGGGCAAUGUCUGUUGUCUAUCUUUAGUUUGGCUCUGGAGUGUACAAUGGAAUCACCGGAAAAGAGGAUUAAUGCAAAAGAUAUUGUUACCGGAUUACUCAAGAUAAGAGACACAUUGAGUAAAAGGAUAGGAAAUUUAAGUUAAUUUCGUUUGCUUUCAUUGAUAGUUAAUUCGAAUUCAUGUAAUAAGUGCAAGAAUCUUAUAUCUUUUCCUUUGAUAUAUUCUUUUUCUUGAGAAAACUGUUGUAGUCAUCUUGUUUCCAUGGGAAGAGUUGAUUUAGUUCUUCCAAAAAAUGCUACUGAUGACCUUUGUUUAAUACUUUCUCUUUUUUUGCACGUGUUUAGGUAGAACAGUGGUUUGGCUGCAGGCUAAUAAGUCAAGCUACGCCAAAAGCGUAUGAUUUAAUUUAUUAAACAUAACUUCAAGUUCAAGAAGUGUUUCUCAUUGCCACCAAUGCUUUGGACACCUGUUGGAAGGUUUGUUGUCCUCAGCUUUUGUUUAGAGCAAAAGUUCGAGUCCCAUAAAGGCUCAAACAUUCCUUUCCUUCAUCCCGAGGGCGCCUUCUGUCCUCUGUUUUCUGUUUCCACACACAAAUAGCAAAAAGAAAUUAGAAUGACAACUGGGACAUAUAUAAGAGUGAAAUAAUUAAAAAAAUUAUGCUUUUUUGUCUGUCGUGUUAAAAUCGUAAGUACCGAAGUACUGUGAAAGAGAUUAAUUUACAGAAACUGAAGCCAAGGGUUCAAAAAAAAACUAUUGAUGUAGCUAGGAUGCAAUGUCAUAUUCAUACAGAGAUGAAGUAUAUUAUUUACGGCUGGUAAAGACUAGGAAUUGAUGUAGCUAGAAUCCAAAGAUGAUAAGGUAUGUUGUGCACUAUUGUUUUAUUCUACGGUCAAUCUUGACCCUUGGUGCUUGGCUCUCAAUCUUGUCCAUUGAUCUUCUCUGAUCUUGGAAACUUCAAGACCUUUCACUCUCAUGCCUUAUUAUUGGUGUCUUCCAUGCUGUAGCUUUCAAAUACAAGCUUUCCCGCCAACUUGCCAAUUAUUUGUCCGUUGGUGCAUUUUAUCAAACAGUUUGGAUACUUAUACCAAACGCCUUCUGUUUUAACUCCCCCCCUCAAGCUCAAGCAUCUGGGAAGACAUUAAUAAGCUUGUUUCUCAAGUAUAUAUAUCUGAAAAUUAAAUUUUAUAAAUUAUAUUCGGACUCUACAUUUUCUAAUGAACAUUGGUUUGGCUUAUAAGCUUAUUAUACUCAGGUUUGGUAGGAGCCAUAUCACAAUGUUAACGCUAACCAGCAGUACUGCCAAAGCUGGCCAACUCAGCCUGCAAGUUCAUAGCAACCAUAGUUACAGUCCUAGUCCGGUACAAAAAUCGUAAAUAUCAUUUACAUUACAAUGGUGUGGGGGGGGGGGGGGGGGUUUGUUGGGUGGCUGGAGAGGGAAUCAACAAAGAUCUAGAACGAAGGGUAGGCUUGUAUCCGUAACCCAUGUCACAGUGUUAAUGCUAACCGUGGACCUUAUUAUAUUAGUUGCUGGACUAUUAUUACUUUUGAAUUGCCAUCUUUGAAUUUACGUUCAUUUCUGCCUCGACAAGAUGUUUGUAAAAAUAUGCUAAUUAUUAAUGUGCCGUGUACAAAUAAGCAUGUUACUGUGCAAGGAUUGUAGUCAUGAUACAGUGGUGCAAAAUGUACAUGCUACUUCUUCUUUUCCUCAGUUAGGAUCACCGUCGUCACCAUUUAAUUCUAAGUCCACCCAUGCGGCCUAUGCAAUUGAAAUCAUGUGACCAUGUAAUUUUAGGUUCUGAUCUUCCUUGUGGGGUUAAACCUCAAAACUGUGACCAUUUUGGGACUUUUAAUCAGUUCCAAUCAUUUUCUGGUUCCCAUUCGUCCACCCAAGCCUUGAUUCCCCCGAUAUAGCAUUGCAAUAUAUAUAGGAAUAUUAAGGUUGUGUACAGUUUUUUUCUUUUCUGUUUUUAAUUUGAUAUAAAUUAUCAAUCAUGAAUCUACAUAAAGUUUCAACUAGGCUACUACCACAAUAAACAUUUGGAUGAACUAUUAUUGAAACCUUAUUGAGAAGUAGGACAUGUCGCAUACCAAUGCACUGACAUAUCUUCAAAUAGUGGUAACUCCACACAACAUGGCACAAUAAAUUAAGAGUUAUAUAGAUAAAAUCUUUCACUCUUUGGUAAUCAUCAAUGUCGGCAUGACAAUGCGUCCCACAAAUAUGGCUCCUUAUCAAAAUUCAUAAAUCAAAACAAAAAUAGAGAAUCAUAUUUGUUCUAGAUUGUAGUGAUGGUUGUUGAUGCACUCACAAUUUACAAUUUUAUUUAAUAUCUUCAAAUUCGCAUUUUAAAAUGCCCAAAUGUUUGUGUAUACAUAAUUAGUAAUCGAUUCUCAAGCAUGGCCAUUUAAAAGCAUUGCUGAAAGACAAAAUUUUAAUUUACUAUUUUUUGUCUUUUAAUUUUCUUUAAGUUUUUAAUGAUUCCGCAUUUUAAAAUCCUGUGGAACGUGUAUGUAAAAUUCUUUUAUCUUUUAGAGGAAAAUGGGCAAGAGAAGAAGAUUUGGCAAAGGAAUUGCAACCGCAUUUGGAGCUAGUUUUAAUUUUGUCUUUUAAUUCUUUUACACUUGGCUUUUGUUAUUGAUGUCAACUUCGAUGUGUGUGAAGACUCGAGCUCACUCCCUUAUGAGCUAGUUUUAUUUUUCUACUUUCACAUUAAGAAAAAUACUCCUAUUUUUAAGGAAAAGUCAAGUACCUGUAGUUGUGAAGACUCGAGCUCACUCCCUUAUGAUAAAUCUUCAUAUUAAUUACGUAAAUAUCCUCUAAAAUUUUAAAUUAGCUAUUCAAAAUUUGAUGUUAUACGGGUAUUUCAUUUAUUUGAGUAGGGGUUGGGGGUCAAUUGGAUACAAAUUCAAAAUUAUCCUUACUUGAGAUGGUGAUAAAAAUUGGGGAUUUAAUUUGGAUGUCAUUAGCUACAAAUAUUAAACUCAUACAUUUAAUUCAAAAUUGGAAAGCUGAUAUAUGCGCAUCAUCCCACAACCUCUCCAAUGAAAAAUUAACACGUUUCUUGUGUGCAUUUGAUCAGAAUCCUGAAAAUUAAUCACAAAAUUGUCCUGGAAAAAAAAAUGCUUACAUAAAUGGUUUGAAAAAUCUAGAUUUCAAGUUGUCUAUAUUAGCUUGAUAUUUUUAUAAAUAGUCAUCCUCUCAAAAAAAUUCCAUCAAAAUAUAUUUUAAUUUUAUGUUAAUUCAUAAACAUGAAAAAAUCAUUUCAGAAUUAAUUAAAACAUAAUUUAUUGUUUCUCAAAAAAGGUAGAACUUAGUGAUAAGAAAAAAGUAUCUCAAAUAUAUGUAAAAAAAAAAAAAUCUUGGUUAGUUGGAAUGAUUGAAUUUGUUUUUUUUUUCUUUUUUAAGAAUUAAGACAAUCGGAUUGAUUGAGUAAUAAUAAUAUAUAUUUAUUUGGCAAAUGGCAGGUAGGCUUUCGUCUCAUGCAGAUUGAUUAGAGAGAAAAUAUAACAAUUUUAAGCUCGUCAGAUUCGAAGCUGCUUUCCUGUCGUGUGGGGAUCACUUCCGUGUCUUAUUUUUCUAGAAAAAUCAGGACCAUUGGAUUUAUGCGAAUCGUACUGAACAUUGGAAUUGAUGUAUAAGAAAAAAAUUCUGUAGUUUAAGAAGAACAAAAAGGCAUGUUGAAUAGAUUACAAUAGUUUAAGGAAAAAAAUUAUUCAAUUGGGAAUUUUUUUUUCUUUAAUUUUUGUUGUACUUGAUUGAGAUUUCUCCUUAGUCCUUAGAGUUUUAAGUUUGGAAACCGUAGGAUCAGUAAUUUCGUACUUCCUUUGCAAGCUGAGUAUAAGGAUGAAAUUCUUUUAAGAAAUUAAAAAAGAUAAAAAAAAAGCAUACCAAUAGGUAAUUAUAAAUAACCACAAAUAAAUAUAAACAAAAUGUUUAUGAAGUAAAUUAAACAUGCUCAUAUUAUUUUCUUUUAUUUUCUGCUUGGAAACCCAUAAAUACACUAAUCCAGUAUUACUAAUUUCAGACAGAAAAUUUUGAAUUUAACCAGUAUACACUAAUCCAGUAUUAUUUUUAUUAUUAUUUUAAUUUGUUUAUAAAUUACUAUUUUAAUUUGUUUAUAAAUUACUAUUUUAAUUUUCACUUUUUAUUGGGUUGUUUAACGGAUUAGUGAAGCUGGUGGUCGUUGAUGCACUCACAAGGUACAAUUUUAUUUUAGAAUUUCAAAUUCGUAAUUUAAAAUGCAGGCACAUUAUGUAUACAUAAUUAUUGAUUUUCAUAUGUGGGUGUUUUGAAAUAUUGCCAAAAGACCAAACUUUAAUAAACUAUUUUUGAUCUUUUUUUUUCCUUUGUACCUAAAGUUUGAGUGAUAUCCGCAUUUUAAAUUCAUGUGGACCAAAAGCUAAUGUAUGCACAAAAUUCUUUUAAUUUUUUCCGAGAAAAAUGGGUAAGAGAAGAAGAUUUUUCUCUUGAAAAAGAAAAAAUAAUACGUUGCAAGCAUAGGAAAGAGGCCAGUGUUUUGGAUUUGAAUUUAGUAUUGGGUUGAAUUUUAUGCUAAGCUCUUUUAUAAUACUUUAUAGAAUAAAAAUGUAAGGGAUAUUUGGCUAGGCAUGUACUUUAUAGAAUAAAAAUGUAAUAAUGUAAGUCAGUGCAAUGAUCUGCUGUCAUAGUAGUUAUAAAUAUUUAUGUGUAAUACAGUAACAUGAUGCUUAAUCAGUUAAAAAAAAAUUGUAUAUCUUUUUUUAUUUUUUUUAUUGUGAUCAAUAUAACUAGUCAAAUUUAUUUUUAAAUAUUUUUUUAAAAAUAUUUUUAUCGUGUGUUUGCUCCAUUACAGGGUUUCUUCAAUUUAAAAUAGAGAAUCAUUUGUGUUCUAGAUUAAUCGUGGGUCUAUAUCCAAAUCCAAAAAUUGACUAACUUGAUUUCUAUUAAGUUCUCAACCCUAACAAGAAAAAUAAAAGAGUAAAAAUGACUAUUUUGGUUUCUAUUAAUUUGAGUAACGCUUAAUAUUUAUCAUACAAUAGUCACUUAUAUUAUCAAAAUCUUGGGUCGAAAAUAUUAGGAUAGGUGAUAAUUGGAAUUAAGUUGUAGAUAAGAUAGCCUUUCAAAAAAAAGAAAAGAAAAAAAGUUGUAGAUAAGAUAGAAAUGGAUUUGGAGAGAGAUUGGAAUCCUGGCUAAUCCGGUGCACGUUGUUGCGUUAAAUUCUCGUUGACUUCACGUUGACCGAAGCAUUAUUGGAAGAAACAAGCAAGCUUAUUUUCUUCUCUCAUUUUUUACUUUUGUCUAAAUUUAUUGAUGUGAGCCCUCUGAGAUGGUAAAGUGUUAAAUCUGAGAAGAGUACCCACACACCCAUUUGUUGGAGGAUUAACAAUUAAAACACACUAUUUUAUUUCUUCAACAACACUCCUCACCAAUUACAACUCUUAUUUUUCACUCUCUACACCUUAGAGAUUUUGCUGCUUCACUUGAUGUUUAAACCAAAAGGGAGAGGGGGUAUUUAUAUAUGAAACAAACUAAUCACAACCAUUCAUUUAUUCAACUAAUAAACACAUCCUCACCAUCCAUUAAAACCUACCACUCACCUACUUCACCAACCACACCUAACACACCUAACACAAAUAAUUCAAACCUCACCAACCAUACCUACUCAUGGAACCUUCCAUGAGUUGGGCUUGAUUUAUUCAUCUUGGAUCAAGUUUAUGAUCCAACACCUCUCCUUAAACUUGAUCCUGUGACACCAAGCAAACUUCUGAAUCUUACAAAGUCUUCUUGUUUGAGUGGUUUAGUGAAGAUAUCAGCUGCUUGAUCUUGUGAUUUUACAUACUUGAUUUGCACUUCUUUUCUUGCAAUACACUCUCUUAUGAAAUGAUAGCGAGUGGCUAUGUGUUUACUUCGAUCAUGAAAGACUGGAUUCUUGGAUAGGGCAAUUGCUGAUUUGUUAUCAACACAAAUCUCAGUUGGCUCUUCUUGUGCCAAACUCAACUCCUUUAGCAAAUUUCUGAGCCAAAUUGCAUGACAAACACUUGAUGUGGCAGCUACAUAUUCAGCUUCACAGGUGGAUAGCGUGACAAUUGGUUGCUUCUUUGACAUCCAUGUGAAAGCAGUAUCUCCUAUGAAGAACACAAAUCCUGUGGUGUUAUUUCGAUCAUCUACAUCUCCACCCCAAUCGCUAUCGCUAUAUCCAACAAGCUUGUAGUCAUUAGAAAAUGAGUAUAGCAAGCCGAAAUUAGUUGUACCUUUGAUGUAGCGAAGGAUUCUUUUUGCAGCUUUAAAAUGGGUGGUCUUUGGAUUCUCCAUGUAUCGGCUCACAAGUCCAACAACAUAAAGGAUAUCUGGUCUUGUGCAUGUCAAAUAACGUAGGCUUCCAACCAAACUUUUAAAGAAUGUUGGAUCUAUAUCUUCGCCUUCAUCAUGUUUGGAUAACUUGACUCCGCAUUCCACUGGCGUGCUUAUAGGCUUACAAUCAUUCAUCUUGAACUUCUUGAGAAUCUCCUCUGCAUAGCUUUCUUGGGAGAUAAAUAUGCUUUCUUCCUUUUGCUUGACUUCAAUGCCGAGGUAAUAUGCCAUCAGUCCGAUGUCAGUCAUCUCGAACUCUUUGAUCAUCACUCUCUUGAACUCUUCAAACAAGCCUGGAUUACUUCCAGUGAAAAUGAGAUCAUCCACAUACAGGCACACAAUCAAAAUAUCUCCAUAUUUUUCUUUGACGUAGAGAGCAUGUUCAUAUGGGCAUUUGGUGAAGCCUUUCUCUUGAAAAUACUUGUCAAUUCUGCUAUUCCAUGCCCUUGGUGCUUGCUUUAACCCAUAAAGAGCUUUCUUCAAUCUCAAAACUUUGUCCUCGUGUCCUUUCACCACAUAGCCUAAUGGUUGUUCGAUGUAAACUUCUUCUUCAAGGAAUCCAUUCAAGAAAGCAGACUUCACAUCCAUUUGAAAAAUCUUCCAUUUGUUCUGAGCAGCCAAAGAAAUAAUAAGUCUAAUAGUUUUAAGUCGAGCUACAGGAGCAAAUACCUCGUCAUAGUCUAUGCCAGCCUUUUGACUAUAGCCUUUUGCAACUAGCCUCGCCUUGUGCCUUUCAAUUUCUCCCUUCGCAUUUCUUUUUGUUUUAUACACCCAUUUGACACCGAUCGCCUUGUGACCUUUUGGAAGAGUAGUAAGCUCCCAAGUAUCAUUCUUCACAAUGGCUUUGAUUUCUUCAUCCAUUGCAAUUCUCCACUUCUCAUCUAGUGCAGCUUCUUGGAAGUUGACUGGCUCACAAUCAGCAAAGAGGCAAAAGAGAGUGAGAUUAUCAUGUCUCUCAGUUACCUCAUAGAGAUCUUGAAGACUCCUUGCACGUUCUUCGGUUCUUUCAUUUAAGAAAGACGGCGGUGAAUCUCCGCAUGUGGUUGGUGCUGGUGAGAUAGGUGGAGUGGCAGGCUCUUGUUGUUCGUCUACUUGUUUUACCUGUGUAUGAUCAUCUUCUUCAAUGGGAAAGAAGUUGAAGUCAUCCACACCAGAGCCAAAAUCUCAUUCUCCUUCUUCAUCAAAAAUUACAUCUCGACUGAUCACAAUCUUUCCGUUGUUUGGAUUGUAAAGCUUGUAUCCUUUGGAGUUGUUGUCGUAGCCGAUGAAGAUGAACAACUCACUUUUGUCAUCCAGCUUGGCUCUACUUUCGUCUGGUACAUGUACAUGGGCAAUGCUUCCGAAAACUCUUAGAUGGGUGAUGCCAGGUUUUCUUCCACUCCAAGCUUCUUGUGGCGUCUUGCCCCACACGCUUCUUGUUGGAGAUCGAUUGGAUAAGUAGAUUGCACAUGCAACUGCUUCAGCCCAAAAUUCUUUAGGUAGCCUCUUACUCUUAAGCAUGCUUCUUGCCAUGUCGAGGAUGGUUCUGUUCUUCCUUUCUGCAACACCAUUUUGUUGGGGGGAUCUUGGAACUGUCAAAGGGCGUCGAAUUCCAUUUGCUUCACAAAACUCUAAAAAUUCUUUGGAAGUGAACUCUCCACCUCGAUCAGAUCUCAUGGCUUUAAUCUGGUAUCCACUUUCUUUUUCAACUGCAGCUUUAAACUUCUUGAAAGCUUCAAAGACUUCUGAUUUUUGCUUCAAAAAAUACACCCAAGUUUUUCUUGAAAAAUCAUCUAUAAAAAGAAUGAAGUAGUUACUUUUACCAAGGGAGUUUGGCUUGAAUGGACCGCACACAUCAGUAUGAAUGAGCUCGAGUGGCUUCUGAGCUCUUGAGUUUGACUCCUUUGGAAAGCUCUUUCUGAACUGCUUGCCAAGUAAACAUCCUUCACAAAGUUGAUCAGGGUGAUUGAUGUAUGGUAAGCCUUUCACCAUGUUCUUCUUAGAGAGUAGCUCCAGUCCUCUAAAGUUGAGAUGCUCAUAUCGAAGAUGCCAAGUCCAGGAUUGAUCUUUGUGACAGGCUUUGAGACAUUUUGCAACAUCAUUUUGAAUAUUUAAAGGAAACAUUCUAUUCUUUGACAUUCUCACUUUUGUAUUUAGAUUUCCUUUUUCAUCUCUUAGAAAAAGACUAUAAUCUUUUAAGUGAAUAUCAUAGCCCUUUUUCUAAAAGUUGACCUAAACUAAGAAUGUUGCUUUUCAUAUUGGACACAUAGUAAACAUUCGAAAUUAUUUGGUGGCUACCAUCUUUUGCACGAAAAAGAAUGUUACCUCUACCCUUCACUGGUACUUUUGAAUCAUCUCCAAAAGUGACACUGCCAUUCACAAAUUCACUUAGUUGCACGAACAUGCUUCUGUUUCCACUCAUAUGAUUGCUAGCACCUGUGUCAAGAUACCAUGUAUUUUCUUGACCUCCAUUUGUGUCAUUGCGUGCUAGUAAAAGUGUGUCAUCUUCACCAUUUUUCUCUUCAGCAUAGUUCACUCUCUCUUUAAUUCUGGUGCUUGGAGCUCUGCAUUCUGAAGCAUAAUGCCCAAACUUUUGACAAUUAUAGCACUGUACUUGGGAUUUGUCAUACCUCGAUCUUGAAUUGCCUCUGCCUUGUUCUCUGGUUGAGCUUUCUCCUUUGGCAUAAUUGGAGUUGUUGUUGUUGAAAUUCCAACCUCGUCCAUGACCACGACCUCUACCUCGUCCUCGACCUCUACCUCGGACAUAGUGCCUUCUCUCAUUGUCGGAGCUUUCUUCUCUUUUCUUUGGAUUGACUUCCAUCUUGAGAAGUUGUUCUUCGAUUCCUUGCUUCUUUUUUUGUUUUUCUUCAUAGGCUUGCAACCUUCCUUGAAGUUGCUCGAUCGUCAUAUCCUCCAGAUCUCUUGUUUCUUCAAUUGUCAUAACAAUAUGAUCAAACUUCGAGUCUACUGAUCGAAGUAUCUUUUCAAUGAUCCUUACCUCUUUUAACUCCUCGCCAUUUCUUUUUAAUUCAUUGGAAACGGUCACAACUCGAGUAAAGUAGUCAGAAAUUGACUCCGACACCUUCAUGUGUAAGGACUCAAAUUCUCCUCGUAAUGUUUGGAGACGAACCUUCUUAACUUGCUCUGCUCCUUUGUAAGAGGUCUUUAGUUUCUCCCAUGCUUCUUUUGAGGAGGUUGUACCAGCAAUCUUUUCAAAAGCAUCUUCAUCUAAUGAUUGAAAGAUGAGAUACUUUGCUUUAUUCUCUUUCUUCUUCAAGUCUUUUAAAUUCUCCUUCUGCGCCGCAGUUAAAGUGGCUUCAUUUUCUGGCACAAUAAAGCCUUUCUCCACGACAUCCCAUACGUCAUGUGCACUCAAUAGAGCCUUCAUUUUAAUACUCCAAUUGUCAAACUUACUUCCUUUUAAUUGUGGAACUUGAAAUGACAUCAUCAUACCACCGUUUGCCAUAACUCACAAAUUGAGUGAGAAUUUGGAGAUUCUGAAUGCACAGAUGGAUCCGGCACGUCGAAAAACCUUGGGAAGGACUCGAGUCAACUUUCGGUCAACGGUCAACGUCGGUCAACGGUCAACACCGGCUUGGUAGUCUCGGUUCGGUCCGGAUUGGUUCAGCUCGAGUUGGCUCGGUUCGACUUGAUUCGGUUCAGCUCGGCUCGGCUUGGUUCAGUUCGGCUCAGCUUGGUUCAACUCGGUGAGUCGACUCAGCUUCAGGACAUAAAACUUCCGGCGGCAGGUGUGGGCGCGUACGGUCUCGGAUCGGGAUGAUUUUUGCGGCGUCACGUUCCUCUCGUCGAGAUCUUCGAUUUGAUAUGCUAUAUGACUAUAUAUAGCAUCAAACACUAGCUCUGAUACCACUUUGUUGGAGGAUUAACAAUUAAAACACACAAAAAACACACUAUUUUAUUUCUUCAACAACACUCCUCACCAAUUACAACUCUUAUUUUUCACUCUCUACACCUUAGAGAUUUUGCUGCUUCACUUGAUGUUUAAACCAAAGGGGAGAGGGGGUAUUUAUACAUGAAACAAACUAAUCACAACCAUUAAUUUAUUCAACUAAUAAACACAUCCUCACCAUCCAUUAAAACCUACUACUCACCUACUUCACCAACCACACCUAACACACCUAACACAAAUAAUUCAAACCUCACCAACCAUACCUACUCAUGGAACCUUCCAUGAGUUGGGCUUGAUUUAUUCAUCUUGGAUCAAGUUUAUGAUCCAACACCAUUAUCCUAUUACUCUUAUUUUAUCACAUGCAGAGACGUCAACGUUUGAUUCGCACGGAAAAAAAUUUGCGAGGAUUGUGAGGGUUGAUUCAAUAUAAUUUAGAUGCAAAGUGUUUACAAGUGCGAUGCUUCGUAAGUGCACCCGAAUCAUUAUAAACUCACCUUAUUUUCAUAGUGAUUAUUUCAUCUGCAUGUGAAUAUAAUCAUAUGUGGAGAUUUUUUUUUUCCCUAAACGAUGAUCUUCUCUAGUAUUGAGGUGUUAUAUCUUUUAAAUUAUAAUUAUUAUUAGUAAAAAACUGCAACUAUGAAAAAUAAAUUUAAUAUUAUGUCCUGAAUAUAAUUGUUAAAUAAUAAUUUUGACAAAAUUAAUGAAUAUAUACAGAUUUUUUUAUCAUAUAAAUGUAAAAUUAUAUCAACUUAGCUUCUAAGCUAUACAACGGUUACUAUUUACUAAAUACUUUAGUGUCGUAGUUUUUAAGAUAUAUUUAUCCACCCUCAAUCCCAAACAUAACCUGUAAGGAUAAAAAAUUUCAUCCUAAAAAUUAUACGUCUUGUGACUUAUUUAAUUUAUAUUUUUGUUAUUUAUAUUUAUUAAUUAUAGUCAUCUUUUAAUAAAUUACAAUUGAAGGAAGGUGGUUGAUGUUGUCGAGACACACACACAAAGAUAUAUUGGAAGUGCUUAUGUCCACUCGAAGUUGUGGGGAGUUAAUGCAUGUAUUGAUUUAUUGGGAGUGUUAAUGCAUGUAUUGAUUGAUUGAGUGAUUGAAUACUGUUUGAUUGCUUCAUAUCAAUUCUAGAAAGUUUAUUUCUUUGUGAAAUUUCAACGAAACGUGUUUUUUAGAAUAAUAAGGGUGUUUUAAGUAAUUUUAAAAAAUGAAUGGACUAAUUAGAAUUAAUUAUUAGGUAAUUAACUCGAAUUGUAGAGGGUAAGCAAACAUUUAUCCUAAUUAUAUUAUGAUAAAUCCUUUUCCAAUUAGAAUUAGGAAACCAUAGAUAUACUGAAUUUUUUUUUAUUUCCCUUCGCGAAAACGGAUCAGAGAAUUAGAAAACAAUCCUAGUGAUACUAUUGUUAGGUUUAAAACACUGCAUAGAUGGUAAAAACAUUGGAAUUGAUGUAGAUUAAUUUGUUAAUUGCUAUCGUACUGAACAUUGUUUUAUGCAAAUUAAUUUGAGAAUUAGAAAAAAGUUUGUUGCAUGCAAACUUUUUGUUUUAUGCAAAUCGUACUGAACAUUGGGACUGAUGUUUAAGAAAAAAAUUCUGUAGUUAAAGAAAAACAAAAAGGCAUGUUGAAUAGAUUACGAUAGUUUAUUCAAUUGGGAAUUUUUUUUCUUUAAUUUUUGUUGUACUUGAUUGAGAUUUCUCUUUAGUCCUUUCGUACUUCCUUUGUAAGCUGAGUAUAAGGAUGAAAUUCUUUUAAGAAAUUAAAAAAGAAAAAAAAGCAUGCCACUACGCAAUUAUAAAUAACCACAAAUAAAUAUAAACAAAAUGUUUAUGAAGUAAAUUAAACAUGCACAUAUUAUUUUCUUUUAUUUGCUGCUUGGAAACCCAUAAAUGCACUAAUCCAAUAUUACAAUUAAUUUCAAACAGAAAAAAUUGAACUCUAGGCUGCAGUUUGACUCAAAAUGAUGACCACUGGCUUCGCACCAUUCAACCGGUAUACAUUUCUACAAACCGAACAACGCUAUUGAUUUUUAUUUUUUUUUUUAAUUUGUCUAUAAAUUACUAUUUUAAUUUUCACUUUUUAUUGGGUUGUUUAACGGAUUAGUGAAGCUGGUGGUCGUUGAUGCACUCAUAAGGUACAAUUUUAUUUUAGAAUUUCAAAUUCGUAUUUUAAAAUGCAGGCACAUUAUGUAUACAUAAUUAUUGAUUUUCAUAUGUGGGUGUUUUGAAAUAUUGCCAAAAGACCAAACUUUAAUAAACUAUUUUUGAUUUUUUUUUUCCUUUUUACCUAAAGUUGGAGUGAUAUCCGCAUUUUAAAUUCAUGUGGAACAAAGCUAAUGUAAGCACAAAAUUCUUUUAUUUUUUCCGAGAAAAAUGGGUAAGAGAAGAAGAUUUUUCUCUUGAAAAAUGAAAAAAAAUACAAUGCAAGCAUAGGAAAGAGGUCAGUGUUUUGGAUUUGAAUUUAGUAUUGAGCUGAAUUUUAUGCUAAGCUCUUUUAUAGUACUGCGAUUAAUAAGCUAGCUCAGGAUUUGCUUUUGCUUUUACUUCAAGUAAAAGAAAGAGGAAGCCUUUUGUUUUUUUGUUUGAUUUUUGACUAUAUAUGUUACCUAUAUAGAGAGUUGAGGUAGCAGCCUUAAGUGAUGGUGAUAAAAAGAUUAAGCAGUGCACACAAUCUUACUGUCAUCCAGACCAUCCAGUGAUGGCUCUAGUUUUUUUGUUACGUUAGCUUUAGUGGAAAGAAGGGCCAAUUUAACAAAGACUAGAUUUGGUGGCUUACUAUGUUUAAUGUAAUGCUUAUUCUCAGCGCACACAAUCUUACUAUGUUUAAUGUAAUGGUUAUGUUGAAUGAUCUUCUAUGAUUGUGAGUAGUAUAGUAUAAUUGAAAAGGGCCUGGGCUCCUAUGAUGAAUAACAGUAACACAUUACUGUGAUUGAGAAAACUCAGUUCCAAUAAACUCUUCAUUUACUCAUUGCGGAGAUCGAAUGGCAAACAGAGAAUAGAAUGAAGCAGAAGAAUCUCAUUGUUAGGUUUUGAUGAUUUCAGAUGCUUUUUUUUUAAAAAAAAAUUGUGACAUCUUUGAUUUACGGCAGUUUUGCAGAAAAAAAAAACAUAUAAAAAUUAAGAGGGAUGAGUUAACUGACGAUUACAAUCAUUACAGCAAUGCUGAUGAGUGAUAUAUCACUUGAAAUUUACUUGUCAGUUGCUGAAAUGAUGAAAAAAAACCAACAAACGAUAACAGUAAUAAUGUUCCCUUGCUGAAAUUCAAUUUUGACUUUCGACUCUUGGCUUUUAUGGAGAGUAAAAUGACUUGUAUAUUAUACUCAUACAAUCCACUCUACAUAAUGAUAUCGUUUUAAUAAGGCAAUGGCUGAUGAUCUCCAUUUAAAAACUACAUCAAUUUUUUUGCUUCAUUUAACUUUUUGGUUGUUGAAAAUAACCUUAAUUAUCAAAUAAUUGGAGAAAGAGUUAAGAACAUUUAACAAAUUUAUGUGCAAAAAAAAAAAAAAAAGGAAGAAGUUGAAGAGAAAGGGUGCUUGCAGAAGUGGGUGUCAAAGAUAAAUCGGUCCAUAAGAAUUAUUGUGGUUAUUUUUUGGCAAUAUAAAAAUUUUUUAGCAAGUAAAAAUAAUUUUUUUUCCGAUUUACUAAAAAAUUAACUAAAAACUUCUGCGAUGUCAUUUUUUAUGGGUGCAUAUACCCUCCCUUUAAAAAAUUUAUAAUAAUUACUGCUUAAUAUAGUAUUAAAUACGAAAAAUAUCAAUAUUUGACUACUCAAAUUUAUAUCAUUAGGUCCUUAAAAUUUAAAAUGGAAGAUAUGAAAGGAAAUAUAUAUAAAUUUCAUUGUCCUGGGAAAGGACCCUCUUAUUAUCUUAUAAUAUUUGAAAUUUGAUAGAUUUUUUGAAACAAAUGUACUUUUAUUUGUGUACAAUCAAUAUUUACUCAUUUAUUAUAUUUUAAUUUAUUAACUAUCAAUCAUGUAAGUAUACUUAGUCAAAAAAAUUAUAUCAAGAGAGAAUUCUAAUUUCACGCAAAAACAAAUACCAAAACAAAUAUCUCAAUUUCUAUACUAUUCACUUUCCUGUAGAAUCAAUUAUUUAAAAUGCAAGUUUGUGGCUACAGAAAACUCGCCAAAGAAAGAAGAUAAUAACAAUUGAGCAUUGAUGGCAAAACUAAUGCAUCCAAUUCUUCUUGACUUGAUGAGAUGGCGCCAUAACGUAGAAACAAGUACCUAAAUUGACCGGCACUGAGUGGUGUGAAUACUACCAGCCAGUUCAUCUCUUCCAGUCUUGCUUAAUCACAAUCACAAACACCACGAGAUCGACAUUUGCAUUAUAUAUAUCUUCUGCAAUCGAAACACCUUGCAUUACCAAAUAAGCCCGUAACAGACAAAGCAAUCUUUCAUGGAGAGAAACCUUAGUCUCAGUAUGAUCACUGUGUCAUUAACGUACUGCCUGCUUCUUUGCUUGGUUGCUGCAGCAGCAGCAGCGGCAAGCAACAAUAUUACCACAGACCAACAAGCUCUUCUUGCCCUGAAAGAUCAUAUAAUUUAUGAUCCGACCAGCCUUUUAGCUCACAAUUGGACCUCGAAUACCUCUGUUUGUACCUGGAUUGGCAUCACUUGUGAUGCCAAUAGCCAUAGAGUCACAACCUUAGAUAUUUCUCAAUUCAAUCUACAAGGCACCAUCCCUCCUCAACUUGGGAACCUCUCUUCACUCACAACACUUAAUCUUAGUCAUAACAAGCUUUCUGGAAACGUUCCCUCCUCCAUCUACACCAUGCAUACGCUAGAAUUUCUUGACUUCACUGAUAACCAGCUCUCUGGUUCAGUGACUUCCUUCGUCUUGAACAUGUCUUCAAUAUUAGACAUUCGUUUGACCAAUAACAGACUUUCUGGUGAGCUUCCGAAAAAUAUUUAGAGCUAUCUUCCUCAUUUGAAAGCCCUUUUUUUGGACAAAAACAUGUUUCAUAGCAAACUUCCUUCUGCUUUAUCAAAGUGCAAACAACUGCAACAAUUAAAUUUGAAGUUCAAUAAUUUAUCCGGUGCAAUACCAAAAGAAAUCGGCAACUUGACUAUGCUCAAAGGGAUAGACCUCGGCUACAACAAACUCCACGGUAUGUUCAUAAUACUAUACAAAUAUUAUCUUUCUUGAAUACUUUAGAUAAGAUCUUGUAUGUGAGAUUUUUUUGCAUCUAUAUUAAUUUUCCAGGUGAGAUACCGCACGAAAUCGCUAAUCUUCCAAAUCUAGAGGCUUUAGCGCUUGGAAUGAACAACCUAGUUGGUGUGUUACCAGCUCCAAUCUUCAACAUGUCAACACUGAAUGUACUUAUCCUCAUAAAUAACUCUCUCUCCGGUAGUCUUCCAUCAAGAAUGGACCUUUCACUUCCAACUAUUGAGCAUCUUAACUUUGCACUUAAUAGAUUUUCUGGAACAAUUCCUAGUUCCAUAACCAAUGCUUCUAAGCUCACAUUUCUAGAGUUGGGAGGAAACACAUUUUCGGGCUUUAUUCCAAACACAAUUGGUAAUUUAAGAAACCUUGAGUUGUUCGGCUUGGUUUUUAACUACUUGACAUCUUCGAGCUCAAAAUUGAGCUUUCUUUCCUCUUUGGCAAAUUGCAAGAAAUUAAGAGUCAUAGGCUUAACAGGCAAUCCACUCAACGGCAUCCUUCCAAGUUCAGUAGGUAAUCUUUCUAUGUCUUUGAAAACACUUCACAUCGCCAAUUGCAGUAUUAGUGGCAACAUUCCUCCAGCAAUUAGCAAUUUAAGCAACUUGUUGGCCUUAGUAUUAGAAGGCAAUAAAUUGACUGGACCAAUCCCAACUACAUUCGGCCAACUACAGAAACUCCAAGGCUUAGAUCUCGCAUUCAAUAAGUUGGUAGGUUCAUUCCCAGAUGAGCUUUGCCAUCUAGCUAGGCUGGAUGAAUUGGUCUUAUUUGGCAAUAAGCUUUCAGGAUCUAUACCUUCAUGCUUAAGUAACCUCACUUCUCUGAGAUCUCUCCACUUAGGGUCCAAUAGGUUUACUUAUGUCAUUCCCUCAACUUUCUGGAGCCUAAAAGACAUCUUGUUCUUUGACUUUUCAUCAAAUUUCUUGGUUGGUCCUCUUUCUUUAGACAUAGGAAAUUUGAAGGUGCUUCUAGGAAUAAAUUUAUCAGAAAAUAACUUAUCGGGUGAUAUGCCAGCCACAAUUGGAGGACUAAAAAACCUUCAAAUUAUGGACCUAACAUAUAAUAGACUGGAAGGGCAAAUUCCUGAAUCAUUUGGUGACUUGACAAGUUUGGAGGUUUUGAAUUUGUCAAAUAAUAAAAUCUCUGGGUCUAUUCCAAAAUCCAUGGAGAAACUCUUUUACCUUCGAGAGUUAAAUCUCUCUUUCAAUGAACUAGAAGGUGAGAUUCCUAGUGGAGAAAUUUUUACCAACUUCACAGUUGAGUCAUUUAUGGGAAAUGAGUUAUUGUGUGGUUUACCAAAUCUUCAAGUCCAACCAUGCAAACUUAGCAAGCCAAGGACAGAACAUAAAUCAAGGAAAAAGAUACUUCUCAUUGUGAUUGUUUUGCCAUUGAGUAUUGCUCUAACAAUAGCAAUCACUCUACCUCUCAAAUCUAAGCUGACCAAAUGUGGAAAAAGAUGCACAGUGUUGUCAAAUGAUAGUGUCUUGUCAUCACAAGCAACACUAAGAAGAUUUUCAUACUUAGAACUUUUACAAGCAACAGAUAAUUUUGCUGAAAACAACGUAAUUGGCAUAGGUGGUUUUGGUUCUGUUUAUAG
rnacentral:lncRNA from 1 species